UUAGGGGUUGCGUAUAUCUUAGAGAAUUGCCUGCGGGGAUUGGGAAGUUAAUGAACAUGAGGAGUUUACUGAAUGGUGAAACUGAUUCGUUGAAGUACCUACCAAUAGGGAUUUCUAGAUUGACCAGCCUUCGAACAUUAGAAAAGUUUGUUGUGGGUGGAGGUGUUGAUGGUGGCGGCACGUGUAGGCUUGAAUCUCUGAAAAAUCUUCAACUCCGUGGUAAAUGUUGUAUAGAAGGGCUGAGUAAUGUGUCGCAUGUAGAUGAGGCUGAGAGGUUACAACUUUACAAUAAGAAAAACCUCCUUCGUUUGUAUCUUGAGUUUGGUGGAGCCGUAGAUGGGGAAGGCGAAGCAGGGAGGAGGAAGAACAAUGAGAAAGAUAAACAACUUCUUGAAGCCUUACAACCGCCUUUGAAUGUAGAGGAGUUAAGGAUUAUAUUCUACGGAGGCAACAUUUUUCCCAAAUGGUUGACUUCACUAACCAACCUAAGGGAUUUAAUACUUUUCUUCUGCGUUAACUGUGAGCAUUUGCCUCCUUUAGGAAAAUUGCCUCUGGAAGAACUCGGACUAUUGAACUUGAAAAGUGUAAAAAGAGUGGGAAAUGAGUUUUUGGGAAUAGAAGAAAGCACUGAGGAUGAUCCAUCUUCAUCUUCAUCGUCAUCAUCAGUUAUUGCCUUCCCCAAAUUGAAAUAUCUCGAAAUUUGGGGAAUGGAAGAAUUGGAAAAGUGGAAUUACAGGAUUACAAGAAAGGGAAACAUCUCCAUCAUGCCACGUCUUUCUGCCUUGUCGAUUUGUGAUUGCCCCAAAUUAAAGGUGCUGCCGGAUUACAUUCUUCAAACAACGACACUGCAGGAAUUGAGGAUUGAGGACUGCCCUAUUCUAGAAGAACGUUACAGAGAGGGGAAAGGAGAAGACUGGCAUAAGAUUUCUCACAUUCCCCACAUCAAGUGGUCGCCGUAAGAUAUCACUCGCCGGUAAUUCCUCCUCCUCUGAUUUACUUCGUUAUUGCUUGUAAUGAAAUUAAUGAAAAUAAUUAUAUUUUGAAUUAAAAUUCUAUAUUAUUAUUAUUUCUCUCCUCGAAUGGUUGAAAUUUCACUCGCCCCGUAAAUUCUCGAAUGGUUGCAAUUACUAUCACCCGCCGGUAAUUUCUCUCCUCUGUUUUACUUCAACCAUUAAUUUAAUGGGUCACUCUAUGAUGUUGUUAUAAAAAUUAUAGAAUCAAUCAUGGUAUAAAUAUGUACUGUUAGAUUUAAUCAAUGGUUCAUGAAGUUAAAAGUUAAUUAGGAUAAUAUUUUAAAUUCAAUUAUUUAAAAUUUAAACUUCCUAGUUAUUAAAUCUAUUAAACUUGUUUUAUCAAAGCUAAAUAAUUAAAAAAAAAGUAUAGUCUGUUGAAAUUUCUAUAUUUUCUUUUAAAAAACAUGUAGUCUUUUGUAAAAUUUCAUACAACAUCAUAGAAAACCUAACGUAUUUUAUUUUUUAAUGCACGAAAAUUUGUUAUGUGUAACUUCCUGAGAGACAAAAUCUCUGUGAUGCAUUUGCAGUAAUGUUGAAAACUAAAUUAUCAAUUUUAUCUUGUAUAAUGAUAAUCGUGUUUUUUUAUAUAUAAUUUAUGUGACAUUAAUUCUUUAAAGUAAUUGUGUAAUUGUUUUUAGUAGUACAUUAGCCCACUUUGUUUUAUUUCAUACGAGUUUAAUAAUGUUCGCCAGGGAUUCGAGGAAAUGUCAGAACUACACUAAGAAUUCACAGGUCCAAGCUAAUUUAGUUUUAAUGAUGCAGGUAGGAGAGCAAGACUAAGAAAAUGAAAAGUUUAGCCAAAAGAUUACUAAAAUGUUCUGCUGGUAAUUCACUUGCCUUGUUUAAUAGAAUUUCAUUUCCAUCUUCUUCUAUUGAUAUCUUGUUGUGAAUAAACAAGAACAUAGAAGUAAAUAAUUGAAACGCAGAGAAGUAAAGAUAUAUCAAAAUUCGCUAUUAUGAUGAUGUUAAAGCAAGCUCAAGCAUUGCAUUUUUAUUUUAUUUAAUUUAUAGAAUUUUCAUUUCCACCUGCAUUGCAUUUUUACUUCAUUUUUAGGUUGACGUUGAAGACUCUUAUGGAGAACAUUGGAGUAACCAAGGAUUAUUACUGUGGUUAUUGUGCAACGUUUGGUUGCUGGACUUUGAAGAAGGAAGUGAUGGCCGGGUCUGCUCUGUUUCAAUUGAGGAUGGAUAGCUGCCUGAAAGACAUGAUGAUUAUUAUUGCAUGAUGUUUAGGUGCUAAGAUCAUCAUUUCUAUCUUGCUUCAUUCUUGGAAUCAUUUAUCCUAUAUAAACAUAUUGAAUUGUGCUAAUAUUAUCACUUGUGUCAAUGGAGGCAGGAAUUUGGUGCUGAAACUAUUAUGCAGGUAACCACACUUGAUAAUUUACACAAAUUUGCGUUGUCAGAAUAUCCUUUAAUAUUCAUUGUGUUUCUUUGUGUUAUCAGGUUAUCAUGGUAUAUAGAGUAUCAUUUUCAAGGAUUUGUAAGAGCUUUCGCAGUAAAGUUAGUCAUCACCACCUUGUGCAAUUGCACAUACAUUCAUAGUACUUCAAUAUUAGAUUUUCAAGGUUUGUAUGUUUAGUUGAGAUUAAAAUGUUUAGUCACUCAUUCUUAAUCUUUUCUGAUUUUCAAGUUCUUUAGGGCCAUAAACAGUUUUUCCAACUCAUUCUUAUUUUUUAGGUUGAUUUCGAGUACUCUGUGGAGAACAUUGGUGAGACAAAGGAUUAGACUGGCGAUGGAACUGCUGCCUCUGCUGUUAUUGUGCAAGGUUUGAUCACUGGACCUUGAACAAGAAAGCCUUACACGCAUUCUGUAAUUCAAGCGUUCUCUAAAACGAACGAGCAGUAGAAGGAAUAGUAUGACCGGAUCUGCUCUAUUUUAAUUGAAAAUCUCUGUGAUGUUGACGAGCUUAAAGUAGUUGAUGCUUUUUGAAAAUUGUUAUUACGAAUGAAUUCAUUCCUGAAGACGAGUAGCUAAUGAUUGUUAAGGCUUAUUUUCUUAAAGUUCCUUUCUUAACAAAUGUUUCAAUGCUGGCUGUAGUAACAUUUUCAUAUCUUGCAUCUCUCGGGUGCAUCAUGUUCGCGGGUUUGAAAAAGCAUUUUUGGUAAAGUUUCAAAGGUUGUACAACGGCUGUGAAAAGGCAUAUUCAAUUCGGUACGUUUUGGUGUGGUCUCCUAAUGCUAAUAUCAUAUUUUGUAUAGCAAUUAAAAUUUAGGUAUACAAUCUUAAUAUGCAAUAAAUCAUUGUGUACAAAGUUUUCUAUUAAUUAUAUGGUGACUGAAAUUUUAAUUAUAAUUUUAAUUAUCAUAUCAAUCUUAAAUUUUUUUGUAACUCUUUUUUACUUUGCUUGUACAGAGUACCUGUUUUGGCUGAUAUGUCUAGUUCGUAGAAAUUCAUUUCCACUGGUUUCCAUUUGCUUUAGCACAAACAGAAACAGAGCUCUGGGGAAAAGUUUGACUUCUUGUGGUAUUAUGCCGUUGUUUCUUCAUUCAUCAUAUUAUUCGAAUUCAUGCUCUCAUUCAGAGGGUGAAGCCUUUUCUAGGCUGCUUUGUAGCCAAAUUUUUACGCCAUUGAUGCAUGACUGUCAUUUAGAUUUUCCAAAUAACUGCUAGAUUAGAGAAGAAUAAGAAGAUAUUGUUAAAAGGGUAUUUAAUUAGCGCCCUCUGAAUUUAGUUGCCAAUAAUGCAUUGAAAUAGUCGGGGAAAGUUAUUUUCUUAAUUAAAUUACAGGUGAUAAGAUGCUGCUUCAAUUUUGCAAGCAUCUCGUAUUGCGAAGAUUUUGCCCACAUGAGAUCCCACUAUUCUUGACAUCAGGGUAACGCAGGUCAAAUUUUAGUAUCAAUAUAUAUCUUCUUCUUUACUGUUCUGCCUCUAAAUAUUAAACUUUAGGCAAGUUGUUUUUGUUUGUGUAAGUUAUCAGGUUCAGGAUACUAAGCAGCUUAAUUGUUCGCCACACCUAGUAUGAAUGAUGGCCAGGAACAUUAAUUGUUCACAAGCCAAUUUGAUUAGUGUUAGAUUUUUUGCCUUCCUUCGAAAGAUAUCAUCAUCAAAUUUGAGUUGAGAAUAUUUGAAGAGAAUUUUGUUUUGAGAGUUUCACUGUAGUGAAUUUUGGGUUUGCGUUUGAGCACACACAAAGGAUGCACUAAAUAUAACAAAAGUAUAUUUCUACUUCUUGUGGUUAUUUUAAUUUUGUUUCUCGUGUCAUCAUAUUUGAUUAAUUCGUUCGAAUUCACACUCACACAUUUCCAUGAAUAAUUGUUAGGCUGGUGGAGAUAUUUUUAAAAGGGCAUUAACCUACCUUAUGGAAUUGGAAAGUUAUUAUUUCUUGAAAGCAGGCAGCAUCUUCGUUGCGUAGGCUUUCCCCACUUGAUAAGAUGCUGACAUUGUUACCGGCCCCUUAAUUAUUUAUUAACUCAGGUAUUUAUUAUCAAGUACAUCAUCUUAUUCAACAUUUUGGCUAUAUAUAAAGAUUAUAAUUUCUAACAGUUGUUUCGGAUUCUUGUGUACUCAGGUUAAUAGGGCAAAUGUCAGAAUGAAGACUGUUCAGUUUAACCCGUAUAGCAAGGAUGAUAGCGGUGAGGAAGAUUGUUGGCAAGCCAAAUAGAGCCCUCCAUUUUGAGAAAUAUCAUCCGCAUAUUUGAAUUGUUGAGCAUGUGAAGUGAACCUUCUUAUGGAAAUACCUUCCUGUUUGACUUGCAAAAUACAUUACAAAAGCUCCCAAACAGUAUAUUUGAACAGAGUUACCCAUUUUGAGAAUUUUGACUCCCAAACAAGACUGCAGAGUUGUGUAUGGUGGGAUUAGCUGCAGGAGCAGUGCAAGAUUCUUUGUCAAACUAUCUGGCUGGUAAAAAGACUGUUGCCAAACUUCCUUUUCAUUCCUUUGUUCACUUACUCGUUAUAAAUAAAGUAAAAUUAGAAUAUUGUUCCGUUUACUGUCUAAGCCGGUCUAACAUUUGUUUAAUUUGGGCAAUUUUUAAUGCCUGACAGGUUAUCUGUGACAAACCCAUCUGUGAGUACUAAUGUGCUUGGUUAUGGUGCUUUCAUUGGACUACAUGCAAACAUGAGAUAUCAGCUAUUGUGUGGAUUUGAUAGAGACGUCGCCAACCAUUUUGAAGUUAUUGGAGUAGCAAUGUUGUUAAGCACGGCUUUGAGGUCUCUCCCACCCUCUUUUACGUAUUUGUCAAUGAUCGACAUCUCUAUAUAUACAUUGAUACACCAAAUUACUCUUGUUUUAAUGUUUUGUUUGUUGAACUUUGACUGGGUUAUUUGUUUAUUUGUCUCAUAUGAUGUUAAUGCGGUUCCUAUAAAAGUGGAUAUAGAUCUAUCACCUCAAAGUCUGAUUUCAACUUUCCUUCACUUAAUCAACUAGCAUCCUUUCCAAGUCCAGAUACUUACCAAUAGUGAGACUUUGCUACGGAAGUACAAUUUCUCUUGUUUUACAGUUAAAUAUGUAAGAAUAGUUUCAAAUUUACAGAAUUCUGAUAUAGUUCUCUAAGGAAAUGCAGGUGGUGAAUAUGGUUCCAACUUUUAAUAGGCUUUAAUAGGCCCAUUUGUUCAGCCACAGUGAUUGCGGUCUAAAUUCUUCUUUACUGUCUGUAUGUGUUGGAGUUUGUCUAUUGUCCAACUUCUCCAAUGGAUUCCAUGCAGGGUUUUGGAUGUCUAAUUAGGAGAAAGAUCGACAGAUGACCUUUUGAAGAAGGCUUACACAACAGGCCAUCUCAGGAUGUCAUGGCUCAGCACAAAAGUGCCCAGGUGGUUACUGAGCAAGAUAGAGAGAGAAGUUUUUUCUUCUUCAGGCUACCUUCCGCAGCUGUGGCAUACAUGAACUAAGUAGCUACGCGAUCAACAGAAAGUUAGUGACGUGACUUGGGGAUCGAGGGAUUGAUACCAAAGAAUGCCAUUUUUCUGAGCUUGGGCUCCUUGGCUUCAAACAAAACAGUGUUGACUCUAUUGAAGGGGAAAUAGGGGCAACUAAAGCUCGAAGAAAGAGGAUAGUCCGGAGGAAGGUGACUGCAUAAAUUUCUUGGAGUUAAUGUAGUCAAUUGCCCAAUUUUGCUGCCUGUCGAAGAGACACAGCAUGGAAGUCCUCAUCAAACUCUGAGACACCUAAGAACUAGUAGGAGGUGGUGGUAUUCUCCAUAUUUCCUGACAAGUAUAGUUAAUUUUGUUUUAGCUAUGAAUUGUUUCCUAGAUAAUAAUAAUUGCCUUGUUCCUUUGGAGUCUUAUUUACUCUCCGUAACUCAGUUCAAUUUUGCAAAUUCUAUUUCAGAUUUCUUAUAUAGUGUGUCUUUGUUACUUUUGUGAUGCCUUUUUUAUCGCAAGUUUCCAUUUGAAGUAUCCGAUAUUCUUUACAGACUAAUUAUCUAAUGAUUAUUUUAUACAAAAAAAAUCAUAACUUUAAUCAAUUGAUCAUACUCAACUUAGGUCUUGUUUGAUGUUACUAGCUGUUGUUAAAAUAAAAAAAGCUGAAAUUUGACAAUGUGUAAUAAAUGUAAGACUUUUAAAUAAUAAUUUUUAAUACAAUUAAUAAAGAUAUUAUAAGUUUUUUUAUUAUAAUAAAAUAUGAGAUCAAAUCAAAUUAAUUUUUAAGUUACAAUAGCAAAUAUUUACCAAAACUGUUUAAUUAUGUAGCUUAAAAAGUAUAGUUCUCCAACCUCAACAUUAUAUAGGGAUUUUCCAGACUCUACCAGACUUUAGUUGUACUCACUCGAUCAUGCAAAUCCAUACUCAAUGUGCUUGGCCAUACAAGAUGUUACUCAACUUUAACAAGUCUUACUCAAACUUUGCAUGUUUGGCAUGCCGGAUGGAAUAUGAUAGUAUAUGAUGUGGUAGAAUAUUAUAGGAAUAGUAAUAACAAGAUUACAUGUAGUACUAGGUUACAUUUUACGUGAUGUGGUAUAUGAAUGGAUUAUAUUACAAAUUUUUUUGUUAUAAUAAUUAAAAAUUUGAAUUAUUUUAUUAUUGAAAAAAUGUAAUAUGUUAAAUAACAGUUAUUUUUAUUAAGUAAUUUCUUUGUAAUGAAUUAUACUUUUAAAAUAUAAUCGAAAAUUCUUAUUACUAAACUAAUAAAAAGUUAAUUAUUUGAGUUAUCUCCUAAACUACUUAGCUCACGGGAUAAAUUCACUUAGUUUAGAACGAAACAGUGGAUUUUAGAGCAUCACCAAAAGACUCUUCAAAUAAGAUUUUAUUACUUAUUUGAAGAACCACAUCAACAUUUAAAACUCCAAAAAACACUUCAAUUAAAACUUUUCAAAUAAAAAAUGAUUCUCUUUCUUCAAAUUUGGAGAGUUGCUUUCUCCCUCUUCAAUUUAUAUUUUAUUACUUUUUAUUAGAGAGAGAAAGAGAAGUGCUUUAAUUGCUAUUAACUUUUCCUCUAAAAAAAAUAAUUAUUUGAUUAAAAUAAUAUUAACUUAUUUUUAUUUGAAGAGUUUUUUGGCGAGUAGUAUAUUUUUUACCUUUCUAUUUACCACAUAAGUAAGUAAAUAAAUAGUUGAAAAGUAAAAUGUAUUAAAACUUUGAGUGGGACUACUGGCACCCCUCUAAAUACCUUUUAACACCCCUUUAGUUAUUUUAUAAUUUUAACCUUUAUUAAAAUUACAUAAUAAGACAAUCAUGAAUUUUACAAUUCUAAAUACCUCUUAACACCCCUUUCUUUUGUUUUUAUUUUAUUUUUUUAACAUUUCCGAGUUUACUCCAACUGCAAAUUAAUUUAUGAAUUAUGAUCUACAUACUAUAAAUUUAAGUAAUGCUACAAGCGACUGUAAAUAUUAAAAUAUCAGCAGAAAAAUAAAAAUAUCUUGAUUAAGAGACAAAAUAAAUAGUACCUGAAAUUGAAAUUCAGCAUUUUAAAAAUUAAGAAAGUUACUUUUUCAUCUUAUUUUCUGGUGAGGAAUUAUCGACAUCAGCAACUCAUCAUCAACAAACUUCAGAGAAGAAACUGAGACCUAUGAGGGAAAUUAAGAAAAAAGAAGGUAAUUAUGAAGCAAAGGACGAGCUUAACAAUCAUCAGAAUUAUUUUCCCACCGACAUGUUUUCCAGUGCCCCAGUUGUCUUUCUCCACAAAGGCACGCAGUCUUUCGAAGAAUUCGUGAUUCUGCAUUUUCAGAAGCUUGUGCUCAACAUCUUCAUCAGUAAACCAAAUUAGCACUUGGCCUUAUAAUUACACGCAUGGUAGCCAAGUGUUUGCAAGGUGUCAUUAUCAAUUACAAUGAGUUUAAAGUGCUGGCCAUGUGGUGUUUCAAUGAUUUGCCACAUUGAAGUCGAAGUUUCGUGGAGCAAGUUCCCUUUUCCUUUUUUUUUUUCCUUCUCUCUCUCUUUUUUUUCAAUAGAUGAUUAAUUGUCUCAAAAUCAGUCAAAAAUUAAAUGGGGUUUAUAUUAAUAAAUUUGAAUUAAGGAUAUUUUUAUCAUUAAAAGGGUGUUAAAAGAAUUUUAUAAUAUUUUUAAAUAUUUUAAUAGGGUUAAUAAAAAAAAGAGGUGUUGAGAGAUAUUUAGAGGGGUGCCAAUAGUCUCACUCAAAAACUUUUGAAGAUGCUCUUACUAACAUAAUUUUCUCCCAUUUCCAUAAUGUCCGCGUUGAGUGCAUGUAAUCCACGAGUUUGAUUGAGCAGAAUAGCCGAAAGUCUAAUGAUACCCACAUCCAACUUUGUCACAAAGGCCUGGACGCCAUUCCUUAAGCCCAUGUUGUUUCGGUUUUGAUGUUGUAUUAUCAUUUCACGGGUUUUGGUGCUCUAGGAUUUGGGGAUGGUGCUUCAACGCUGUGUUUAAUGCGUCCCUUUUGGCACUUUUUGUUAAUUUUUAUUCCAAGAGCUAUGCUAAGAAAAAGAAGCAGGGAUGAUCAAAGUGUUGUGAUUGUUUUGUGUUUUCUUUUUUAAUUUAUUUGAUUUUGGUUAAUUAUGAAUGGUGGUAAUUGGUUGAAUGCAAUUGAAGAGAUGCUUUCAAUUGCCUAAACUUUGUUUUUUCAAUUUUUGUAAUAAAUGUCAUUUGUCACCACAUUUUUUUAGUCUCUCCCUUUUAAAUUCCCUCACACAAACUUCGGAUUUGUAUUUUGUAAACUAGUACUUUUCAUUUUCGUUAAUGUGUUAGCUAUUAUUAUCUACAGUUAUGUCAUACGACACACAUGUCACAUUAGCUAAAAUUAGAUUAUGAAUUUUGGGCACAGGACCAAGUCCCACCGUUUGGUAGGAAAUAAGUGUUGGAUCAUAAACUUGAUCCAAAAUAAAUAAAUUCAAGUCCAACUCAUGGAAGAUUCCAUGAGUAGGUAUACUUGGUGAGGUUUGAAUUAUUUGUGUUAGGUGUGGUAGGUUUUAAUGGAUGGUGAGAAUUUGUGUAUUAGUUGAAUAAAUAGAUUGUUGUGAUUAGUUUGUUUCAUGUUUAAAUACCCCCCUCCCCUUUGGUUUAAAUAUAAAGUGAAGUAACAAAAUCUCUAAGGUGUAGAGAGUGAAAAAUAAGAGUUGUAAUUAGUGAGGAGUGUUAUUGAAGAAAUAAAAUAGUGUGUUUUAUUUGUUAAUUCUCCAAAAAAUGGUAUCAGAGCUAGUGUUUGAUGCUAUAUAUAGUAAUAUAGCAUAUCAAAUCGAAGAUCUCGACGAGAGGAACGUGACGCCGCAAAAAUCAUCCCGAUCCGAGACUGGACGCGCCCACACAUGCCGCCGGAAGCUUUAUGUCCUGAAGCUAAGUCGACUCACCGAGUUGAACCAAGCUGAGCCGAACCGAACCAAGCCGAGUCGAGCUGAACCGAAUCAAGUCGAACCAAGCCAACUGGAGCUGAAUCAAUCCGGACCGAACCAAGACUAUUAAGCCAACGCUGACCGUUGACCGUUGAUUGAAAGUUGACUCGAGUCCUUCCCAAGGUUUUUUGAUGUGCCAGAUCCAUCUGUGCUUUUAGAAUCUCCAAAUUCUCACUCAAUUUAUGAGUUAUGGAAAAUGGUGGUAUGAUGUCAUUUCAAGUUCUACAAUUAAAGGGAAGUAAGUUUGACCAUUGGAGUAUUAAAAUGAAGACUCUAUUGGGUGCACAGACGUAUGGGAUGUCAUGGAAAAAGGAUUUAUUGUGCUAGAAAAUGAAGCUACUUUAACUGUGGCGCAGAAGGAGAAUUUAAAAGACUUGAAGAAGAAAGAGAAUAAAGCAAAGUAUCUCAUCUUUCAAUCAUUAGAAGAAGAUGCUUUUGAAAAGAUUGCUGGUACAACCUCCUCAAAAGAAGCAUGGGAGAAACUAGAGAUCUCUUACAAAGGAGCGGAGCAAGUUAAGAAGGUUCGUCUCCAAACAUUAUGAGGAGAAUUUAAGUCCUUACACAUGAAGGCGUCGGAGUCAAUUUCUGACUACUUUACUCGGGUUGUGACCGUUUCUAAUGAAUUAAAUAGAAAUGGCGAGGAGUUAAAAGAGGUAAGGAUCAUUGAAAAGAUACUUCGAUCAGUAGACUUGAAGUUUGACCAUAUUGUUGUGACAAUUGAGGAAACAAGAGAUCUAGAGGAUAUGACGAUCGAGCAACUUCAAGAAAGGCUGCAAGCCUAUGAAGAAAAACAAAAAAAGAAGCAAGGAAUCAAAGAACAACUUCUCAAGAUGGAGGUCAAUCCAAAGAAAAGAGAAGAAAGCUCCGACAACGGAAGAAGACAUAUUUAUCUCCCAUGAAAGCUAUACAAAGGAGAUUCUAAAAAGGUUCAAGAUGAAUGAUUGCAAGCCUAUAAGCACGACAAUGGAAUGCAGAGUCAAGUUAUCCAAACAUGAUGAAGGGGAAGAUAUAGAUCCAACAUUCUUUAAAAGUUUGGUCGGAAGCCUAUGUUAUUUGACAUGCACGAGACUAGAUAUCUUUUAUGUUGUUGGACUUGUGAGCCGAUACAUGAAGAAUCCAAAGACCACCCAUUUUAAAGUUGCAAAAAGAAUCCUUUGCUACAUCAAAGCUACAACUAAUUUCGACUUGUUAUACUCAUUUUCUAAUGACUACAAGCUUGUUGGAUAUAAUGAUAGUGAUUGGGGUGGAGAUGUAGAUGAUUGAAAGAGCACAACAUGAUUUGUGUUCUUCAUGGGAGAUACUGCUUUCACAUGGAUGUCAAAGCAGCAACCAAUUGUCACGCUAUCCACUUGUGAAGCUGAAUAUGUAGCUGCCACAUCAAGUGCUUGUCAUGCAAUUUGGCUUAGAAAUUUGUUGAAGGAGUUGGGUUUGCCACAAGAAGAGCCAACCAAAAUUUAUGUUGAUAACAAAUCAGUAAUUGCCCUCUCCAAGAAUCCAGUCUUUCAUGAUCGAAGCAAACACAUAGGCACUCGCUAUCAUUUCAUAAGAGAGUGUAUUGAAGAAAAGAAGUGCAAGUCAAGUAUGUAAAAUAACAAGAUCAAGCAGUUGAUAUCUUCACUAAGCCACUCAAGCAAGAAGACUUCGUAAAAUUCAGAAGUUUGCUUGGUGUCACAAGAUCAAGUUUAAGGGGGGGUGUUGGAUCAUAAACUUGAUCCAAGAUGAAUAAAUUCAAGCUCAACUCAUGGAAGGUUCUAUGAGUAGGUAUGGUUAGUGAGGUUUGAAUUAUUUGUGUUAGGUGUGGUAGGUGUGGUUGGUGAAGUAGGUGAGUGGUAGGUUUUAAUGGAUGGUGAGGAUUUGUGUAUUAGUUGAAUAAAUGAAUGGUUGUGAUUAUUUUUGUUUCAUGUAUAAAUACCCCCUCUCCCCUUUGGUUUAAAUAUCAAGUGAAGUAACAAAAUCUCUAAGGUGUAGAGAGUGAAAAACAAGAGUUGUAAUUAGUGAGGAGUGUGGUUGAUAGAAUAGAAUAGUGUGUUUUUUUGUGUGUUUUGUUUGUUAAUUCUCCAACAAUAAGGAGCAUUAAUGAAAUAUGUUUAAUUAAGUAAUAAUUUGUUAUUUUAGAGUGAAAAAUAAGGGUAAAUUGUAUUCUACCCCAUAUUAGAUUGACAAACUUCAAUUUACCCCCUAAAAGUACAAAAACUUCAACUUAUCUCCAAAUACCAUUUUCUUCCCGUUAAAUUCAACUAUCGAAAGCAUAAAAUUAUAGUCUUACAUUCUCUUAACAGUCAACUAACGGAUAAGGUAAUUUCCAUAAAACCCAAAUGUAGGGGCGGGCAACGGUUUGGUUUAGAAGUUAGGAACCGAAUGGUUUGAAAACAAACGAACCGAUUGGUUUAUAUUUGGUUUAGUUUGAACUGACAAACCGAUUGGUUCGCUUCAACUUAAUUAAAAAUACAUUUAUUUUAAAAUAUAAAUGCUUAAAAUAUUUUUUUUUUCAUUUUUCAGUUUCCUAAUCUAAAAAUGUUUCAUAACCCUAAAUCAACAGCCAUCUCUCUCAAGUUCGGCGGAGGCACAACAAGCUCUCUCGGUCUCUCCCUCGCAAUCUCAUGGUGAUUGAAUUCUUGUGAUGUCUCCACUUUUGUUUCUUGUUCUUGUGUGAUCGAAUUCUCUCUAUACACACAUACCCCAGCCUCUUGUUCUUUGGCUUAAUGGAGUUUCGUUUCUUUUCUCUCAGUUUCUUUCCUGUUGAAUUCUCGUGAUGUUUCUAUUUUUUUCUUGUUUUUUAGACGUGUUUUCGAAAUUGGCAUAAUGCGAACCAAACCCGAACUGAAUUUCAAAAUCGAAUCAAAUUGAACCAAACUGAAAUUUUUAUGUUCGGUUUGGUUCAAUUAAAAAAUUUGGUAUGCAUUCGGUUCUCUUUCUUAAGAACCAUUUGGUUUUAGUUCAGUUCGGUUUUGGUCUAGAAAAGAACCGAACCGAACCAAAACAAACCAUAUACUGGCCACCUUGCUCAAAUGUUUCAACAAAUUUCAAUGCACACUUAAACAUGUCAAUAAAAUUCGCUUUGUACCCAAAUUGAUAAUUUUUAUUUUUUAAUUAGUUAAUUUUUAACUGCAGAAGCAUAAAAAAUUAUUUCUUUUUAAAAUAAGAAAAAUAAUUUUUUUUCUAACUUUUUUCCUUUUUUUAUUUUCUAGUUAAUUUCUUUAUCUGGUUCGGUUCAUUUUUCCCUUUUUUAUUUCUUACUGUUUUCUGCAUGUUCUCCACGCUUCAACUUCGCCAAGCAUCAUAAGGCCACAAUAGCCAUGCCAGCAAUGGUGCAGCAACGUUAACGCCACUGUUCCAAGUCUUGGCCCAUCAUCUGCUUUUCAACAAACCUUAGCUUCUUCCCAAAUUCAUCAAUGAACCCCAGAACCAGACUAAUCAUUAAAAUUAUUAACAACCAUUUGCUUGGAUCAAUGUAUGCUUGGCAUGUCUAUGGGCUUACUUGUUAUGGUCGCUGAUGGCCUUGGGCUUGCCUGGAAUGGUCGCAACGCGCAGCCAUGGGCUUGCUUGGAAUGCCCGAACCCAGCUGCCAAGGUUUUGCUAGCGUAUCCAUGGAUUUUGCUGGACAUGGCAGUGCGAGGCCAUGGGUGUUGCCGGGCAAUGGACAUGGGUUUUGCUGGGCUGAUUUGGAAUUAACAGUGGCUAUGGAGUUGUUAAGUGUGUGAAAGAUAAAAAAAAAACGAACCAAGAAGAAGAUGAACAGGGAAUAGAACGAAGAAGAUGAAGAAAGUAGAAGAGAGGGAAAAAAUAUUUUGCUUUUUUAUAAAUUUUCGGAUUUUUAUUUCAAAAUUUAUAAUUUUUGUUUAAAUUUGAGAAUCUUAAGGGUAAAAUUUUCUUUGUAACUAUGUAGAAGGAGGUUUUCAGAUGGUUUUUGGUUGGGUUAACAUGAAAUAUGCUUGUUUUAUGAAAUAUUAUUAUUGAGGUUUUGUUUUAUUUUCUAAAAGUUAGAUUAGAGGAUGAUUUUCAUUAAUGACAUCCAUAAAGUUUGAAUUAGUUAUAUUAUAGAAAAAUAGGGAUUUAAAUGAUAUAUCUUUCCAACAUAAAUAUAUCAGUAACAUAAGUUAUUCUAUAAUUAACAGGGGUAUUAUCGUAUUUUAGUGAGUCAAUAUUGGUUGAUAGUUAAAUUUAACAGAUUUUAGAGAGUAAAUUGAAGUUUUUAUUUUUAUUUUUGAGUAAAUUAAAGUAUGUCAAUCUCAUAAGGGGUUAAAAUAUAAUUUACCCAAAAAUUAGUGUUAAAAUUUUAUAGAUGAGUGUAUAUUAAGAUGUUCAAAGUAUUAGGACAUAAUGAAUAUUAUCCUCAACCUCAAGAGAAACAUAUCAAUAAAAUAUACAAAAAUAGAAUGCAUUAGUACAUGUCAAUAAGAAGACCAAUUAGAUCAUGUCAUAUUUGUUAUGUGGUUAUUUUUAAAUUAAGAAAAGGAACAAUGAUGGUUUUACAAAGUUUGAAUAUAAAAUUUAUAAUCUAAAAUUAAUGAUAACGUGUUAUUAAGCUAAUAGAGUAAGAAGUCCCNNNNNNNNNNNNNNNNNNNNNNNNNNNNNNNNNNNNNNNNNNNNNNNNNNNNNNNNNNNNNNNNNNNNNNNNNNNNNNNNNNNNNNNNNNNNNNNNNNNNUUAGCUAUAGAGUAGAGUCCCAAAUGCAUGUACAUCAUAUCUUGGUAAGAAAUUGGUUCUACCCAAAAUACUUCUUUGUAUUGAAAUCAAUGAUGAUUGCUUGUUUAAAUCAUGAAAGUUAAAAUAAUUUUGUAAAUCAUUUCAUUCUUUAAUUUACGGUAUAAAAAUAAAUUAAAAAAAUGUUAAUUUCUCCCAUACUUUUAGGACUCAAAAAAUAACAAAAAGUCUUAACAUAUUUAAUGGUUAUAUAUAAAUCAUCCGUAUGUAUUUUUCUUGAGAGAAGCUCAAUUCGAUAGGCAAUGCUCCCCAUAGUUUUCUUUUCUAAUUAGAUAAAAGAACAAAAGAAAUUGAUUACAAUAAUUCACGGCGAAGUCACCUUGGUCUACCUGAUAUAUAUUACAGAGGUAAGCUUCUUUUUAAUGCCAAACUAGAAUAACAAACUUUAAUUUACUUCUUAAAGGGUAAAAACCUCAAUUUGUCCUUAUAUUUGUUCAAAAGAUACAUUUUGUCUUCUUAAUAUAAACAAGUUAAAUUGAUGUUUCACAUCUUUUAGAAAUAAAUUAAAAAUUGUUAUUCUAAGUAGGAGGUAAAUUUCAAAUAAAACAUGUGUUCAUAUGAUAGAUGUGCAUUUUACAAUAAUUAAUAAACAAAAAGGGUAGUGAUAUUUUCACCCUGCAAUUUUUGUAAAUCCACCCCCACUCCCAAGAAAUAAUUACAAUAAAUUCACAUAAUUUUUUAAAAACUCAAUAAAGAAAAUUUUUGGAGAUUUAAACUAUUAUAUACAAGAGGAUAGGAGUAAACAUUUUUCAUGCAGUAUAAAAAGAAUGGUGACACUCCUUUUCUUUCGGUAUUUUCGCACAAAAGCACGCUUAAUAACUGAUCAAAAUUAUUUCUCCUUUUCUUUGAUCGCUGAUUCGCUUCCCCUCUCCUGGAGCUGCUGAACUCCUUUGUUGCUGAUGAAGUGAACAGGUGAGGCUUUUCAAAUGACCACAAUAUGUAUAAAGACGAACUAAUUACACUAUCAGUGGCUCAAGGUUACCUUAAUGCAGAAGAGGGCAAAGAGAUGGAGAUUCGAUUCGAUUCGAUAAUAGUAGUUUAUUUUAAUUUUUAUUCAUUUAAUUUCAUAGCAGAAAUUUUUAUUUUCAUUUUUUUGUUGAAAAUUGGUAAAAACGAACUAAAAUGAGAUAAUUACAUUAAAACAAUCUUCAAUGACUAAAGUAAUUUGAAAAAAUAAAAAUAAAAAUAAACAAGCUCAAAAUUUACCCCUAAUCCGAACAUUAUCCGAAUUCAGCCUAAUUGACCCAAAUCUAAUUGUAAUCCAAACUUGACAUGACCCGCAAAUAAUUAUAACUCGAUCAGAUCCAAACUCAACCUGAAUUUUUAAUUCAAUACGAUCCAAUCCAAAUAUUCCAACCCCAUCAAAUUGAAACUUGAUCGGGUUGAUCCGAACCCGAAUUUGCCACUUCCGGAGGAGACCAUGACCCUAAAAGCUUUGAAAUAAUCUUUGCGGUUUCUUAAUGAAAUAUUAAAAGUUAUGUGCAAAAAGACUGAUUUGACCCUAGAAUACAUGAUAUAUAAAUUUCAGACAUUAUAUUCUGUGAAAUAAAGUCAAAGUAAACUGGUCGUUUGAUUUUUUAUUAAUUAUUUUCCAUUAAGACAAAAUGACAAAUAGACUUUUUUAAAAGUUUAAUAAAGUUUGGGCCUAACUCCUUGAUUUUUAUUUUUUAAUUAUUUUUCAUUUUGUUUUUUACUUGCAACAUUAGCUUUAAUUAUCAAUCAGUCUCCAAAUCAAAAUGACUGAAACCUGUAGCUACAAGCAAAAUUCUCAAAUUUUGAAAUUUCUAACGACUACUUAAUAGCUAUAAAUAGAAAAAUCAUCUAAAAUUAAUCCUCCUUCAGAGGCAGAUUAAAUUCUUAGUAAUUUCAUAUAAUUUCAUUUCAUCAGAACAAUUUUUCAAAAGCAAUUUUAUAAAUGGUUGUCGAAAGCUUUAUCCCUUAAUCAUAUUUCACGUAUUUUCUUUGUAAUAUGAGGCGCGUCCAUAGACCAUAGUAUGAUAUUUAUUGUAAUUAAAAUCAUUAUGGAACUGAUUUUAUUCUUGUUUCUCAAACAAAGUAUCUAACUGCAGAUGUAAUAAAUUACUAAUUGCCAUUAUUUGAGUCGCGCUCUUUGAAUUCGAUCUUGGAGUUUCAAAUGACCAAAUGAAUUAGUAAGAUAAUGGCUUUUCGUUCCGAGAGCUAUGCUAAGAAAAAGCAGGGAUGAUCAGAACAAAUAGUGUGUUGUGAUUGUUUUGUGUGUGUGUGUGUGUGUUUUUUUUUUAAGUUUUAUUUUGUUUAAUUAAGAAGGGUUAUGAUCUGUUCAUUGCAAUUGACAGAGAUGUUUUCAGUUGCCUAGACUUCGUAUUUUCAGUUUUAGUAAUACAUGUCGUUUUUCACCACAUUUGUUUAGUCUCUCCCUUUUAAAUCCCCUCACACACAAAAAAUUAGGAUUUGUAUUUUGUAAACUAAUAUUUUUCAUUUUGUUAAUGUAUUAAUUAUUAUUAUCUACAUUUAUGUGAUAGGGCACAUGCCACAUAAACUAAAAUUAAGUUAUAAAAUUUUGCAGCCCCUGAGCACUCAAUGUUUGUAGGCACAAGUUCAAGUCCCACCAUUUGUUAGGAUUUAAAUAAAGAACAUUAUAACCAUGCGUCCAAGAACUUAAAGUUAGCUUAAGUGCAUGGAUUCGAGUCCUAGUUAUUGUUGAAAUUCGAUUUCCUUUCUAAUUAAAUUAAGUAAGGGUAAAAUUAUCUCUCAAUUAAUAAAGACAGAGUAGAUAUCUCUCUUGAUUUUCCUCCCAAUUAAAUUAGUUAGAAGUAAAAUUAUCUCUCGAUUAGUAAGAGUAGAAUAAAUAUCUCUUUAGUAUUAUGCAAGGGUAGAAUUUUGGGUUGUACCAUGUUAGAAUUAUCAAGGAUAGUUUUGAUAGAAUUCUAAUUGUAAUAUAUAAGUGUAUAAAAAAAAUGAACAUUAAUGAAAGAUGUUUAGGUAAGGACUAUCUUGGAAUAGAAUUUUGAUUGUAAUAUAUCAAUAUAUAAAAAGAAAUUUAUGAAAAAUGUUUAACAAGGACUGUUUUGAUAUUUUAAUGAGUAGUAAAAAUUAAUGUUAAAAUUUGAUAGAACUUAUAUAAAUAAUCCUAGCUCUAAUAAAAUUUUGCUACAUAAUUAGUUUAUCCCUUAAAGAAACAUAUCAAAAAAAUAUACAAAAACACAAUGCAUGAGUACAUGUCAAUCACAAAUGAAAGCAAUUAAGAUAAAGAAUAUGAUUUAUUUUAUUUUAUUUUAGUUAUUUUUUUGUUUCUUUUGAAACAAGACCAAUUAGAUCAUGCAAGAAGUAAUUUUUUUUAAAAAAAUAAAAAAAGGACAAAUGAUGAAACCCACGUCUAAAGAUGCCGUUGUCGCGGAGGCCUAGAUCUCACUACACCCCAUCCCCUUCUACCAUAUUUUAUAAUUGAAGAGGUCAUUAUUGAAUUGAAAAAUUAUGAUUCAAAAAUCCAAAAGUAGAAAAAGAAAAGCAAUUGUUGGAAACACACUCGGAGUUUUAAAUUGACAUGAGAAAAGAAUAUAUUCAUCAACCUCAUACGUUAAAGAUGCGACGAGUUUAAGAAUAUAUUCCUAACGUGUGGGAAUUUAAAGAUGUUACUACAAAACAUGUGUUCGUCGGUGGAGUAGAAUCAGGGAAAUUAAAGAUGCUACUACAACCACUAACGUGUGGGUGGAGAUAAGCAUAACUUUUUUCAUCAAAUGCCAAAUCCCCCCAGGUGGAGAGUGGGGACUCCUUCGCAUAAAUGUUGAUAAAAUUUUGACUAUGAUGUUAUUAGAAAUUAGGGAAAACUUAUGGUGCAACUGUGAUAUCGUGUCAUAGUUGUAUCCAGCCGUUGGAUGUCAAUGGACUCUACCCAUACAAGUGUAUCCAACGGCUGGAUGUAAUUAUGGCACGGUACCACAGUUGCAUCGUAGCCGGACCCUAAAAAUUAAGAUAUUCUCUCUCUACGUAUGUCUGCACGAAAUAAUAUGCAAAUAUAGUAUUUUAGUUUAUUAUUAAUAGUUUUACAAUAAUAAAAAUCAUUUUGAUAGACAGGAAAAUGUCAUAUUCGCAUUUUAUUUUGUACGGACGUCUGCGAGAAAGAACAUAUAUAUAUAUAUAUAGAGGAACGUGUAUUUAAGAUUUAGCUAGUGUGAAGUUGGGAAAUUUUUUUUUUUGAACCCAAGCUAAAAUUAUUUCAAUAAAUUUUGAUCAUGGAGACUAACAAGAUUUUUUUAGUUAUAUUUAUUAAUUUUUUAGGGACUAAUAAAUUUUGAUCAUGGAGACUAAUAAGAUUUUUUAGUUAUAUUUAUUAAUUUUUUAGGGACUAACAUGAAUAUUAAUAAUUUUAUUGAGAUUAUUAAAAAAACAAUGUGCUAUUUUACAUCUAUGACUUUUCCAAUCUUUUUUUCUUUCGUUAUUUAUUCCUUUGUGAAUUUUAGUUAAUGCUUGAUAUUAUUUUUUUGCUCAUUUUUUAAAGUAGUAAUUAAAUCUGAACCCUUACAGUAGAAGAUUAUGAAAAAGUAAAGACACAAAAAUCAUAAAAAUCAUUAGUAGGUCCAAAUUUGUGCUAUUUUCAUACAUAACUUGAGAAUAUUUAUAAUUACGCAUCAGAACUAGUGGAGUAGAAUCAGGGAAAUUAAACAUUCUACAAUCAUUGACGUGUGGGGUGGGGAUAAGCAUAAACAUUUUCUAUGCAGUAUAAAAGAAUGCAAUAACUCCUUUCUUUCAUAUCUUCGCAACAAAAGCACAUCUAAUAACUCUUCAGAAUUCUCGUCUUCUUUGUCAGAAUGGUUGAUGCGAUCGUUUCCUCUCUCCUGGAGCAGCUGAUCUCUGUUGCGGCUGAUGAAGUGAAACAACAGGUGAGGCUUGUGACUGGUGUCCGAGAAGAAGUGAAAAAGCUUACCAGCAAUCUUCAAGCCAUUCAACUUGUGCUGGAAGAUGCAGAGAAAAGGCAAAUGCAGGACGACAAAGCUGUUACUUUUUGGCUGGAUCAGCUCAAAGGCGCAUCUUACGACAUGGAAGAUGUGUUGGAGGAGUGGACCACUGCAAGGCUCAAAUUGCAGAUUGAGGGCCUUGACGAUGACAAUACUCUUGCUCUUCCUGCUCAUAAGAAGAAGGUAUGUUCCUUCUUUCCUUCUGCCUCAAACUGCUUCGGUAGUUUCAAAAAACUCAGUCUUCGUCAUGACAUUGCAGUCAAGAUUAGAGAGAUCAAUAAAACGCUGGAUGAUAUUACCUCUCAAAAAGAUAGGUUUAAAUUUGCUGAGAAUGUGAGUAACAAUGUCAAGAAGCCAGAGCGAGUGGGAACCACCUCCUUGGUUGAUGAGGGAGAGGUUUGCGGUAGAGUUGAUGAGAAAAAUGAGCUCUGCAAGUUGUUGUGCGAAAGUAGUGAACAACAACAAGGCUUUCAUGUCAUUUCACUAGUUGNNNNNNNNNNNNNNNNNNNNNNNNNNNNNNNNNNNNNNNNNNNNNNNNNNNNNNNNNNNNNNNNNNNNNNNNNNNNNNNNNNNNNNNNNNNNNNNNNNNNNNNNNNNNNNNNNNNNNNNNNNNNNNNNNNNNNNNNNNNNNNNNNNNNNNNNNNNNNNNNNNNNNNNNNNNNNNNNNNNNNNNNNNNNNNNNNNNNNNNNNNNNNNNNNNNNNNNNNNNNNNNNNNNNNNNNNNNNNNNNNNNNNNNNNNNNNNNNNNNNNNNNNNNNNNNNNNNNNNNNNNNNNNNNNNNNNNNNNNNNNNNNNNNNNNNNNNNNNNNNNNNNNNNNNNNNNNNNNNNNNNNNNNNNNNNNNNNNNNNNNNNNNNNNNNNNNNNNNNNNNNNNNNNNNNNNNNNNNNNNNNNNNNNNNNNNNNNNNNNNNNNNNNNNNNNNNNNNNNNNNNNNNNNNNNNNNNNNNNNNNNNNNNNNNNNNNNNNNNNNNNNNNNNNNNNNNNNNNNNNNNNNNNNNNNNNNNNNNNNNNNNNNNNNNNNNNNNNNNNNNNNNNNNNNNNNNNNNNNNNNNNNNNNNNNNNNNNNNNNNNNNNNNNNNNNNNNNNNNNNNNNNNNNNNNNNNNNNNNNNNNNNNNNNNNNNNNNNNNNNNNNNNNNNNNNNNNNNNNNNNNNNNNNNNNNNNNNNNNNNNNNNNNNNNNNNNNNNNNNNNNNNNNNNNNNNNNNNNNNNNNNNNNNNNNNNNNNNNNNNNNNNNNNNNNNNNNNNNNNNNNNNNNNNNNNNNNNNNNNNNNNNNNNNNNNNNNNNNNNNNNNNNNNNNNNNNNNNNNNNNNNNNNNNNNNNNNNNNNNNNNNNNNNNNNNNNNNNNNNNNNNNNNNNNNNNNNNNNNNNNNNNNNNNNNNNNNNNNNNNNNNNNNNNNNNNNNNNNNNNNNUAGAAAAGAAUGUUUGUGGGUAGAAAUUAAUGGUACCAAAGAAUCAGUCAUAAACUCUUUUGGUGACAAAGUCCAUCACUUAGGGUUAAAGUUUGAAGAAGGCGCUUCAUUUCCUAUGUCCAUUCAUGGACUUAAUAGAUUGCGUACCCUCUUAAUUUAUGACCAAAGUCCUUACAAUCCGUCUCUUAGUAGUAGCAUCCUUCCGGAGUUAUUUAAUAAAUUGGCGUGUUUAAGGGCAUUAGUUAUAAGGCAAUCGUACUUAUUAUUUUUGUAUCCUGAGGCAAAUAGGAUUAGAGAAAUUCCAGAAAAUGUCAGAAAAUUGAUACAUUUAAAAUAUCUUAAUUUGUCUGAAUUACACAUAGAGAGACUGCCUGAGACUUUGUGUGAAUUAUAUAAUUUACAAAAGCUAGAUAUUAGGCGGUGCCCAAAUCUUAGGGAAUUACCUGCGGGGAUUGGGAAGUUAAUGAACAUGAGGAGUUUACUGAAUGCUGAAACUCGUUCGUUGAAGUACAUGCCAAUAGGGAUUUCCAAAUUAACCAGUCUUCGAACAUUAGAAAAGUUUGUUGUGGGUGGAGGUGUUGAUGGUGGCAGCACGUGUAGGCUUGAAUCUCUGAAAAAUCUUCAACUCCUUCGUGAAUGUAGAGUAAAAGGGCUGAGUAAUGUAUCGCAUGUAGAUGAGGCUGAGAGGUUACAACUUUACAAUAAGAAAAACCUCCUUCGUUUGGGUCUUCAGUUUGGUAGAGUCGUAGAUGGGGAAGGCGAAGAAGGGAGGAGGAAGAAUGAGAAAGAUGAACAACUUCUUGAAGCCUUACAACCGCCUUUGAAUGUAGAGGAAUUAGAGAUUGAAUCCUACCGAGGCAACAUUUUUCCCAAAUGGUUGAAUUCACUAACCAAUCUAAGGAAUUUAUAUCUUUCCUCGUGUUUUAACUGUGAGCAUUUGCCUCCUUUGGGAAAAUUACCUCUGGAAAAACUCGAAAUCAUCCACUUGAAAAGUGUAAAAAGAGUGGGUAAUGAGUUUUUGGGAAUAAAAGAAAGCAGUGAGGAUGAGCCGUCUUCAUCUUCAUCAUCAUCAUCAGUUACUGCCUUCACCAAAUUGAAAUCUCUCAAUAUUUGGGACAUGGAAGAAUUGGAAGAGUGGAAUUACAGGAUUACGAGGAAGGAAAACAUCUCCAUCAUGCCCCGUCUUUCUUCCUUAACAGUUGGUUCUUGCAACAAAUUAAAGGCGCUGCCGGAUUACCUUCUUCAAACGACGGCACUACAGAAACUGAAUAUUAAUUGUUGUGAAAAUUUGGAAGAACUGCCCAUUCUAGAAGAUCACAGGACAACAAGUGUAGUCUGUUCCUUGAUGAUUUUGGAUUGCCCCAAAAUAAAGGUGCUGCCGGAUUACCUCCUUCGAACGACGACACUGCAGGAAUUGACAAUUGUGGGAUGUCCUCUUCUACAAGAACAUUAUAGAGAAGACUGGCAUAAGAUAUCUCACAUUCCCCACAUCAUGGUGCCGGUAAUUUCUCCUCCUCCGAUUUACUUCGUUGUUGCUUGCAAUAAAAUGAAUAAAAAUAAUUAUAUCUUUAAUUCUAUAUAGAAUCAAUCAUGGUAUAAAUAUGUAAAACUUCCUAGUUAUCAAAUCUGUUAAACUUGUUUCCUAAAGAUUAAAUAAAAAAAAAAACAAGUGUAGUCUGUUUAAAUUCGAUAAUUACUUUUAAAAAAAUAUGUGCUCUUUUGUAAAAUUUCAUGCAAUCUCAUAGAAAAUCCCAAUGCAAUUUAGUUUUUAAUGUACAAAAAUUUGUUAUGUGUAACUUCCUGAGAAACAAAAUCUCUGUGAUACAUUUGCAGUAAUGUUGAAAACUAAAUUAUCAAUUUUGCCUUGCAUACUGAUAAUCGUAUUUUUUUAUAUAUAAUUUAUGUGACAAUAAUUCGUUAAAGUAAUUGUGUAAUUGUUUUUAGUAGUACAUUAGCCCACUUUGUUUUAUUUCAUACGAGUUUAAUUAUGUUCAUCAGGGACUCGAGGAAAUGUCAGAACUACACUAGCAAUUCACAUCGUCAUCAUCGUCAUCAUCGGUUACUGCCUUCCCCAAGUUGAAAGCACUCAAAAUUAAUUAUUUGGAUGAACUGGAAGAGUGGAAUUACAGGAUUAGGAGGAAGGAAAACAUCUCCAUCAUGCCACGUCUUUCUUCCUUGUGGAUUCGGUAUUGCCCCAAACUAAAGGUGCUGCCGGAUUACCUUCUUCAAUUGACGACACUGCAGAAAUUAAGGAUUGAGCUAUGUCCUCUUCUGGAAAACCGUUAUAGGGAGGCGAAAGGAGAAGAUUGGCAUAAGAUAUCUCACAUUCCCCACAUCGAGAUAUCACCCGACGGUAAUUUCUUCUCCUCCUCUGAUUUACUCUGUUGUUGCUUGCAAUGAAAUUAAUAAAAAUAAUUAUAUUAUGAAUUAAAAUUCUGUAUAUUGCCAAUGUGUGACAGGAAUAUAUUAUAUAUUUCUAAUAUUUUGAUUUGCAUAUUGAAUUUAACUAUUUACUUCAGCCAUUAAUUUGCCAAUAAUUUAAUGGGUCACUCUAUGAUGCUGUUAUAAAAAUUAUAAAACCAAUCAUGGUAUAAAUAUGUACGGUUUGAUUUAAUCAAUAGUUCAUAAAUUUAAAAGUUAGUUAGGAUAAUAUUUUAAUUUUAUUUAUUUAAAAUUUAAACUUCUUAGUUAUCAAAUCUGUUAAACUAAUUUUCUAAAGAUUAAAUUAUUAAAAAAACUGUAAUCUGUUGAAAUUCCUAUAUUUUCUUUUAAAAAAUAAGUAGACUUUUAUAAAAUUUCAUACAACAUCAUGGAAAAUCCUAAUGUAAUUUAUUUUUUAAUGUACCAAAAUUUAUCAUGUGUAACUUCCUGAGAGACAAAAUCUCUGUGAUACAUUUGCGGUAACGUUGAAAACUAAAUUAUCAAUUUUAUCUUGUAUAAUGAUAAUCGUAUUUUUUUGUAUAUAAUUUAUGUGACAUUAAUUCUUUAAAGUAAUUGUGUAAUUUUUUUAGUAGUACAUGAGCCCACUUUGUUUUAUUUCAUACGAGUUUAAUUAUGUUCACCAGGGAUUCGAGGAAAUGUCCGGUCCAAUCUAAUUUCGUUUUAAUGAUGCAGGCAGGAGAGUAUGCUAAGAAAAUGAAAAGUUUAGCCAAAGGAUUGCUAAAAUGUUCUACAGGUAAUUCACUUGAUUUAUUUUAUAGAAUUUCAUUUCCAUCUUCUUCUAUUGAUAUCUUGUUGUGAAUAUACAAGAACAAAGAAGUAAAGAUAUAUCAAAAUUUACUAUUACGAUGAUGCUAAGGCAAGCUCAAGCUCAAGCAUUGCAUUUUAUAUUUUAUUUAGUUAAUAUAAUUUUCAUUUCCACCUGCAUUUCAUUUUUUGGUUGACUUUGAAGACUCUAUGGAGAACAUUGGGGUAACCAAGGAUUAUCACUGUGGUUAUUGUGCAACGUUUGGUUGCUGGACUUUGAAGAAGGAAGUGAUGGCCGGGUCUGCUCUGUUUCAAUUGAGGAUGGGUAGCUGCCUGAAAGACAUGAUGAUUAUUAUUGCGUGAUGUUAAGGUGCUGAGAUCAUCAUUGCUAUCUUGUUUCAUUCUUGGAAUCAUUUAUCCUGUAUAAACAUUUGUUUUAACAAAUGUUUCAAUGCCUGCUGUAGUAACAAUUUCAUAUCUUGCAUCUCUCGGGUGCAUCGUGAUCACGGGUUUGAGAAAGCAUUUGUGGUAAAGCUUCAAAGCUUGUACAAUGGCUGUGAAAAGGCACAUUCAAUUCGGUACGUUUGGUGCGGUCUCCUAAUGCUACUACCAUAUUUUGUAUAGCAAUUAAAAUUCAGGUAUACAAUCUUAAUAUGCAAUAAAUCAUUGAGUACAAAGUUAUCUAUUAAUUAUAUGGUAACUGAAAUUUUCAUUAUAAUUUUAAUUACAUAUUAAUAUUAAAAUUUUUUGUAACCCUCUUUUACUUUGCUUGUACAGAGUACCUGUUUUGGCUGAUAUGUCUAAUUCGUAGAAAUUCAUUUCCAUCGGUUUCCAUUGGUUUUAGCACAAACAGAAACAGAAAUCUGGGAAAAAGUUUUACUUCUUCUGGUAUUAUGCCUUUAUUUAUUCAUUCAUCAUAUUUGUUCGAAUUCAUGCUCUCAUUCAGAGAGCAGCCUUUUCCAGGCUACUUUGUAGCCAAAUUUUCAUGCCAUCGAUGCAUGAUUGUCAUUUAGAUUUUCCAAAUAAUUGUUAGAUUGAAGAAGAAUAAGAAGAUAUUGUUAAAAGGGUAUUUAAUUAGCACCCUCUGAAUUUAGUUGCCAAUAAUGCAUUGAAAUGGUUGGGGAAAGUUAUUGUCUCAAUUAAAUUACAGGUGACAAGAUGCUGCUCCAAUUUUGCAAGCAUCUCGUGUUUCGAGAUUUUGCCCACAUGAGAUGCUAUGAUUUUUGACAUCAGGGUAACAAAGGUCAAAUUUUAGCAUCAAUAGAUAUCAUCUUCUUUACUGUUCUGCUCGAAAUAUUAAACUUUAGGCAAGUUGUUUUUGUUUGUGUGAGUUAUCAGGUUAAGGAUACUAAGCAGCUUAUUAAGGCAAAUGUCAGAAUGAAGAUUUUUCACCGCACCUGGUAUGAAUGAUGGCGAGGAAGAUUAAUUGUUCACAAGCCAAUUUGAUCAGUGUUAGAUUCUUUUGCCUCCCUUCGAGAGAUAUCAUCAUCAAAUUUGAGAAGAGAGUUUUGUUUUGACAUUUCACUGUAGUGAAUUUUGGGAGCUUGAACCCACUUCAGUGAAAUAUUAGGGAAUACUGGGGAUAUGGGUUAUGAGUGAUCGUUAUCCUUCAAAUAUUUGUAAGCUCUCACUUGUUAGUAAAAUCAUCUUCGUAUAUUGACUUUGUUUCUUUGUUGUCAGGCCGAGUGUGAUCUUCAAGGUUUGAGAAAGUCUUCGCAGUAAAAUUUCCACCACGUGCAAUUGCUGUGAAGGGGCAUAUACAUUUGAGUAAUUCAGUUUCAGAUUUUCAAGGCGCGUUUGUUUAAUUAGUUUCGAUUAUAAUAUUUAGUCACUCAUUCUGAAUCUUUUCUAAUUUUCAAGUUCUUUAGGGCCGCCGACAGUUUUUUAAGUCUACAUGUGGUUGCAAAAAGAUUGAUGGUCAUCAAAUUAUCUUGAGCCUUGAGGCAUUGCGUUCGAGCACAAAAGGAAACAGAACUAAGGGAAAUGAAGACAGUAGGAGAUGCUCUGAAUAUAACAAAAGUAUAUUUCUACUUCUUGUGGUUAUUUUAAUUUUGUUUCUCCUGUCAUCAUAUUUAAUUAAUUCGUUUGAAUUCACACUCUCACACAUUAUUUAAAACCAUCUGCAGGUGGUUUGCAAGCUAGCUAAGUUAAUCCAAAAACAAUACUCUAGACAAAGAUGAGCAAAUUGAAGGCGACAAAUGCAAAUUGGAUUUCCAUGAAUAAUUGUUAGGCUGGUGGAGAUAUUCUUAAAAGGGCAUUAAGCUAUCUUAUGGAAUUGGAAAGUUAUUAUUGCUUGAAAGCAAGCAGCAUCUUCGUUGCGAAGGCUUUCCCCACCUGAUAAAAUGCUGAGAUUGUUACCGGCCCCUUAAUUAUUUAUUAACUCAGGUAUUUAUUAUCAAUACAUCAUCUUAUUCACCAUUUUGGCUAUAUAUAAAGAUUAAAAUUUCUAACAGUUGUUUCGGAUUCUUGUGUACUCAGGUUAAUAGGGCAAAUAUCAGAAUGAAGAUUGCUCAGUGCAACCGAUAGAGCAAGGAUGAUAGUUGUGAGAAAGAUUGUUGGCAAGACAAAUAGAGUCCUCCAUUUGGAGAAAUAUCAUCCUCAAAUUUGAAUUGUCGAGCAUGUGAGGUGAAGCUAAAGCCUUAAUAAUGAGACCUUCCUGUGGAAGUUUCAUUUGAAUGAAUUGAACGUUCUUAGUGAGUGAGAAAUUAAGUAUAUAUCAGCGAUUUUGGUCGUCUGUGAAUGUUUCCCUUCAAUAUUAAUACACUGGCAUUUCUUAGUAAAUUCGCUUCACGUCACUUCCUCCUUGUUGGUGGGACUAGUAAACAAAUGUCAUUUCUUAGUACAUUUUGAGAAUUUUGAUUCCCAAAUAAGCCUGCAGAACGGUGUAUGGUGGGAUUAGCUGCAGGAUUCUUUGCCAAAAUUCCUUUUUAUUCCUUUGUUCACUUAUUCGUUAUAAAUAAAGUAAAAUUAGAAUAUUGUUCCGUUUACUGUCUAAGCUGGUCUAACAUUUGUUUAAUUUGGGCAAUUUUUAAUGCCUAACAGGUUAUCUGUGACAAACCCAUCGGUCACUAACAAUUUUGAAGUUAUUGGAGUAGCACGGCUUUGAGGUCUCUCCCUCCCUCUUUUACGUAUUUGUCUAUCGAUCGACAUGUCUAUAUAUACAUUGAUAGACCAACUUACUCUUGUUUUAAUGUUUUGUUUGUUAAACUUGACUGGGGAAUGUUUAUUUGUCUCAUAUGAUGUCAAUGUGGUUCCAAUUGAAGUGUAUAGAUCUGUCACCUCAAAGUCUGAUUUCAAUUUUCCUUUACUUCAUCAACUAGCAUCCUUUCCAAGUCCAGAUACUUACCAAUAGUGAGACUUUGCUACGGAAGUACAAUUUCUCUUGUUUUACAGUUAAUUAUGUAAGAAUAGUUUUAAAUUUACAGAAUUUUGAAAUAGCUCUCUUAAGGAAAUGCGAGUGGUGAAUAUGGUUCCAACUUUUAAUAGGCUUAAUAGGCCCAUUUGUUAAGCCACAGUGAUUGCGGUCUAAAUUCUUCUUUACUGUCUAUAUGUGUUGGAGUUUGUCUAUUGUCCAACUUCUCAAAUCGAUUCCAUGCAGGGUUUUGAAUGUCUAAUUAGGAGAAAGAUUAACGGAUGACCUUUUGAAGAAGGCUUACACAACAGGCCAUCUCAGGAUGUCAUGGCUCAGCUCAAAAGUCCCCAGGUGGUUAAUGACAAUGUGCCAUUGUUUCUGGGCUUGGUCUCCUUGGCAUCAAACAAGAUAAUGUUGACUCUAUUAAAGGGGAAAUAAGGGCGACUAAAGCGCGAAGAAAGAGGAUAGUCCGGAGGAAGGUGACUGCAUAAAUUUGUUGGAGUUAAUGUAGUCAAUUGCCUAAUUUUGCUGCCUGUCGAAGAGACACAUCAUGGAAGUCCUCAUCAAACUCUGAGACACCUAAGAAAUAGUAUGAGGUGGUGGUAUUCCCCUGGUGUUAAUUUCCUGGCAAGUGUGGUUCACAGAUAGAGGGAUUCUUUUCUUGAUGUCUAAAUACCGUAUGUGAUACAACGUCGUAUAUUCUAAUUUUCCUUGAGUUAAAUUCUAGUCAGUUAGGAAAGUUAAUUUUGUUUUCGCUAUGGAUUGUUUCCUAGAUAAAAAUAGUUUCCAUGUUUCUUUGGGGUCUUAUUAACUCUCUGUAACCCAGUUCAAGUUUGCAAAUUCUAUUUCAGAUUUCUCAUAUAGUGUGCCUUUGUCACUUCUGUGAUACACUUUUGAUCACAAGUUUCCAUUUGAAGUAACCAAUAUUCUUUAUAGACUAAUUAUCUAAGGAUUAUUUUAUACAAAAAAUCAAAACUUUAAUUAAUUGAUCAUACUUAACUUGGCUUUUGUUUGAUAUUACUAGCUGUUGUGAGAACCAAAAAAAUAGCAGAAAGUUGACAAUGUGCAGUAAAUGUAUGACUUUUAAAUAAUAAUUUAAUAAAAUUAAUAAAGAUAUUAUAAAUUUUUUAAUAAUAAAGUAUGAGAUCAAAUCAAAUUAAUUUUUAAGUCAAAAUUGUUUAAUUAUGUAGUUUAAAAGUAUAGUAUCCAACCUCAACACAAUAGAGAGAUUUCUAUUUACCAAACUCUACCCAACUUUGGUUGUACUGACUCGAUCAUGCAAGUCCAUACUCGACGCGUUGACCAUACAAGAUGUUACUCAACUUUAACAAAUCUUACUCAAACUUUGCACGUUUAGCAUGCCGAAUGGAAUAUGAUAGUAGAUGAUGUGAUAGAUAUUAUAGGAAUAGUCGUAACAAAAUUAUAUUUAGUACUUUUUUAUAUUUUAUGUGAUGAACAGAUGUAGUAUAUGAAUGGAUUAUAUUACAAAUUUUAGUGUUAUCAUAAUUAAAAAAUUGAAUUAUUUUUUAUUAUUGAAAAACUGUAAUAUGUUAAAUAACAGUUAUUUUUAUUAAUUUUUUUUAAUGAAUUAUACUUUUAAAUUAUAAUCGAAAAUUCUUAUUACUGAACUAAUAAAAAAUUAAUUAGCUCAAGAGAUAAAUUCACUUAGUGUAGAACGAAAUGGUGUGUUAUUUUUAUGUGGGAUCCACAUCCUUUCCACAUCAACCUCAACAUCCAAACAUGAAAUUGGACUAAAAAUAGUUCUUUCCCAUGUAUUUACGUAACCUCCUCCCACUAAACGCAAAUAUUUAUUCUUGAUUUUACUAACAUAAUUUUCUCCCAUUUCCAUAUUGUCCGCGUUGAGUGCAUGUAAUCCACAAGUUUAAUUAAUUUUUUUUUUUUUGAGAGAGGUAUGUUAAAAUGAAUAUAUCACAUUUUUUUCUUUUUUCCUUUUUUUUGCGUGAGUGAUGGCUUCGUUGAAUGACAGUUGGCUGAUAAUAAGUUAUCUUUUAAUUUUGUUUUUGAUUUAAUAGAAACUAUUAAUUUUUGUAGUUUCGGUAGAUGAAAUUUCGAAUCAAAUAUUAAUAUUGUUAAAGUACGCAACCCAAUAUUUACUUAAAUUACAAAAAAGAUUAAUUGCUUUGCAUAAAAAAGAAGUGAUCACUUGAUUUAACUUCCUUUACUAAAUUUACGAUUUAAAAUCCAAAAUAAAAAAAAGAGUUUAUUAUUGAUUAUCUUUUUCCCAAAUUUAAGCUAAGACAGUAAUAUGUCCAAAAUACCCUCCACGUUAUCCUAAAACUUUAUGAAUUCCCCCGUUCCUCUCAACAUCAUCUCUUCCAAAUCUUUCUUCCCCAAAAAACCAGCCAUGGCUUCAUAUUUAGUUACCUCAACACUCCAAUAUUGGCUUGUAAACAGCAGCGGUUCAACCUCUAGGCAACUUAGGUGGUUGCAUAGGACUCCGCUUUAUAUGAAAGCCCUACAAGAUGAUUAUUUUGUAUAUAAAAGAGGAAAAUGAAUUUAAAAGUCAUUAUUAUUCAUUUAAUUUAUUAUUAUUUUGUAAUUAUCUUUUUCUAAAUAAACUAUCAAAUUCUUAUCAAGUUUAUUUAAUGUAGUACUUAAUUGUUUUAAUUUCUACAAAACCAAUAAAUUAAUAGUUUCAAUCCUAAAAAUUCUCUAUUUCAUUGUUAGAAUUAAUAAGUUAUAUUUCAAAAGUUUUAUAUUUAUUUUAAACCUCUAUAAAAACCCCACAUUUUAUUACUUAUCCAUUAAAUUUUUCGUUCAACAAUCAAGACAUCUUGGUGUUUGAGAGAAAGAAAGAGAGAGGGAAAAAAAUCUUGCUUCCUCUACUUUCUACUCUAGAAGAAAAAGAAAAAAUCAAAUAUUUUUCUCUAUUUUCUAUGACUAUUGGUUGCUACUCAAAUUUUCAAACAACAGCCUUAAUAUAAACAUAAGUUAAUUUAUGAUUUCAUCUCAAAUUUCUGAUUUUAUCUUUUUAUUAUUCUCUUAAUUAAUUGUGUUGUUAUUUGUUCUUAUUUCUUUUUAUAUAUUCUUUUCUUCAUCUACUUUUUUUGUGCUUGUUUUAUCUAUUUUGAAAUAAAACUAUAUCAAAAAAUUUUAGACAAUAGGAGAAUAAAAAAAUUAGAUUAAUUUAAAAAAAUAGUAAAAAAGAUAUAAUUUAACUUAAAAAAAAGUGAAAAUGUUAUAAUUGAAUUAAAAUUUUAUGACUUAACAACAAUAGAAUAAAUUUGUAUUUAAUAAUUUUAUAUUUUAAAGUAUUUAAAGAAUUAAUUUUUAAUAAAUAAUAUUAAUAUAUAUAUAUAUAUAUAUAUAUAUAUAUAUAAGUUACUUAUCUCUCCAUCCGCACUUACCUCUCCCUCACAUUCAUCCUCAACCACACAUCAACAUCAACAUCAACAUCACCUCUCAUUGGACCCCACAUCCUCAAGCCCAUCACAGCCGUCCAUAACCUCACCCUCCUCCUCCUCUCCCUCAUCAUGGCCGUUGUUUGCCCUCUCUCCAUCAUCCUCCAUUUACCGCACCUCCGUUACACCCUCUGUUUCCUCCUUACCAUUUCUCCGUCUGGCACGGCCUAAUUCCGACGGAAUCAACGACGGUCGUGAUGGGUUUUGGCUGCGACUAUUCGCGCUUCAAACGGCGGCGUUUCGGUUGGUUUUUGGCGACAGUGACGGUGGGAAAGUGAUGGCUGGCUCAGGAGCUUUCGUUGCUACCAUCCAUGGCCGGUGAGGUGGCCGAAAAUCGGAUAUAUGUCUGCGUCGGGUUCGCAGUUUUGGGUCGGGUUUUCCGGGUCAGUUUGACAGCUUCCUCUAUCCCUCUCCCCCAUAAAACAUUACCCAGCUUCCUCUUAUUAUUAUUUUUUUUUUCACAUACGUUACAGAACAUUAAUGAGAGAUGUUUAGUAGUAAGGACUAUUUUGAUAUUUCGAUGAGUAGUAAAAACUAAUGUUAAAAUUUUAUAGACGAAUGUAGAGUAAGAUGCUCAAAGUACUAGAACAUAUAUAAAUAAUCCCAGCUCUUAUAAAAUUUUGCCACAUAAUGAGUUUUAUCCCUUAAGCAAAACAUAUCGAUAAAGUAUACAAAAGCACAAUGCAUGAAUGAUGGUCUUACAAAGUUCGAAUAUAAAGUUUAUAAUCUAAAAUUAAUGAUGUGACAAUUAACCUAAUGGAGUAAGAAGGCCCAAAUAGAUUAUAUUUUGCUAAAGAAGUAAAUUCUACCAAGAAUACCUCUUUCUAUUGAAUUUAAAUGAUGAUUAUUUGUUUAUAUCAUAAAAACUAAAAUAACUGUGUGAGUAAUUUGAUUCUUUUACAGUAUAAAAAUAAAUUCAGAAAAUGUUAGGGCAUGUUCUGUGUUUUAUUUUUAAAUUUAUAUUAUGAGAAUGAAAAUGGUGUUUUCAAGUUGAUAAAUUUUCAAUUGAAAUAUGUGUUUGUUAUUAUUUCAUUUAUCCUAUAUUUUCAAAAUGAAAAUAACCGAUAGAUAAAGUUAAAAAUGAUAAAAUAAUGGAUAUAUUAAGCAAUUUUACUACAUGCAAAUUAUUUUCUGUGUUUAAAGUUCAUAUAAAGCUUGUUUAUUUUUCAACAUACCAACUUACAACAAUAAUAAUAAAAUUUUUGUGAUAUCCAAUAUUAACUUUUUAAAGUAAUUAUUUUUUGUUAAUGUGUCCGCUGUUCAAUCGAUCUUCCUACUUUCUAUGCUUGAGAUUAGAUCAUUUGCUUCAAAGAUUCGAACUGGACUUAUAGUAGGAAAAAGAAUUUUCUUCAAUAUGAACUCUAAUUCUCUUUUAUAUAUAUAUAUAAAAAAAUCUAAUUCUCCUUUCAACAUUUUAACAUUUUGAUGAAAUAAAAAAUUAUUGGCGAAAGAUUACAUGCUUCCUUACUUUAGAGAACCAAAUACUCAGAUAGGUAGUGUAAAUCUCUACUGAUCGUUGGUGAUUUUAUCAAAAUAAAAUUCAAUAAAAUGUAUAAGAACACUUAAAUCCGUCCAAAAAAAAAAAUGACCCAGCAAAUAAAGAAAAGUACUGUGAAGUAAAAAUUGAACAAACCUAGAAAGAAGAGAAGAAGAAGAAUGGAAGAAGGAGAUUCGGUUCAUAAAUCAUGGAGGGAGAUGAGACUUAAGAGAUAGGGUUAGUGAGACAGACGAGGUCCUAGAGUCUUAAAGAUGAAGACUAUCUAUUAUUAGUUACUUAUUAUAAUGAUGUUUAUUAUUAUAAUUUAUUUUACAAUUUUUUUUUAUGAAACAAGUAAAACAUGUUUAAGUUGUUUUGUAAUUUAUAACUGUUAGAGGCAAGUCAGAUUCUGUGUUUUACAAUUAAAUUUUAUGAGGACUACUGAACGCUUAUUUUACUUAGAUUUAUAAAACGAAAAUGAGAAUGGCCAGUAAAAAACAAUACCGAAUGCCCACUUACUUCAUCUCAUACUCUUAGGUCACAAAAAUAGCAAUAACUCUAACAAAUUUAUUAUUGAAUGUGAAUGGUUAUAUAUCGAUCAUUUGAUACGUAUUUUUCAAGACAGAACCUCAAUUCAAUGGACAAAAGCUCCUCUUAAUUUUUCUUUUCUAUUUAAAUAAAAGAACAAAAGAAAUUGAUUACAGAGCCAUUACUUUUCCAAGAAUUAAUAAACGAAAAGGCCCAUAAUUUUUGUAAACCCACCCCACUCUCAAGAAAUAAUUACAAUAAGUUCAAAUUAUUUUUUAAAAAUUGAAAUAAAGAAGAUGUAAUUACAAUAAUUUGGAGAUUGAAUCAAAUAAAAUAAAAGGGUUAUUUUUACAUACCUCCCCUGAGGUUUCACCUAAUAUCAGUUUAAUAGAAAGUAUCUCCGUAUUUUUACAUCCCUCCCCUACAGUUAGUAUAAAGUUAUGUAUAUCAUCAGUACACAAGGCUAAAAUCGUAAAAGCUCAUUUAAAAUUCGUUUUAAUCGUAUCAAGUGGCAUCGUAAUCAAAGCCAAUAAACCACCAGCCAUGGCUGCACUCACUCCCUGAAACGCCAUCACAGUUUUUGAAUCCGGCCUAAUCAUCAUCAUAUCACCCUCACGGUCACCAUAUUUCCUGCGCAAGAAACACCCAACUCCACCCCAAACAAGCCUUUGAGCAACGGAAUAAGACGCCCACCAAACUGCAUUUGAUGGUGCAUUUGUCAAGAUUGAAAUCCCGGAGCCCAUAUACAAUCCUCUAACCCCAUCAUUUCUAACAAUCUUCCUAAACAUAUCAACCCCAUUUACGUAUCUAGCAUCGGCCCCAUUAGCCACCAUAAGCCUCUGAGUCAAAACAUCAACUGGGGUCCAGACAAGCUGAGCAGCCAUGGCAGCACUCAAUCCACCAACAGCACUAGCGACCGCCGCCGCCGCAGUAAACCCUAAGUCACUAACAGCAAAGCUGCCAACUUUAGUUAAAUAAAAUUAAUUUAUUUGCUUUGAUUACGAUUAACAGAUGCAUAUCUUUGUGAAAACUUUGACCGGCAAGACCAUCACUCUCGAGGUGGAGAGCUCCGACACGAUCGACAAUGUCAAGGCUAAGAUCCAGGACAAGGAAGGGAUUCCACCGGACCAGCAGCGGCUGAUCUUCGCCGGAAAGCUCAUCUUUUAAUAAACUUUAGGAAAAGACCCCAUCACCAUCAUCGUGACCAUCUGCUUCCCUCCUUGUUUGUUGUUCCUUCAUUUUCUUUUUAUUUCUUCUUCGUGGAAUCGGUCUUAUUUUCUUCUUCUCUCACUAUUGUAGGUUGUUGUUGGCAGAGGGACGAAUUGUGUUUAUUUGCUUUUAGAAUUGGCUAAUUUAAUUGAUAUAAAUUGUUUUGGUUGUGCCGCGGACAUAAAUUGAAGUUUAGUCGACGGUGCUUUCAUAGCAACAUUUGGUGCUGUUAUUAUGGAUACCAAGCUAAAGUAAGAUGACGUUGGACAUGUUAUGAGGUUUAGUUUUUUUGAAUUGAUUUUUUAUUUGAAUUUUUGGGGAAAAAUAUCAAAAAUGGAAAGCUUGAUUUUAAGAAAACAAGGAUGUGGUUUUGUUGGCGAGGUGGUACAGGGGAUUUUAGUUUUUGUUGGAUGAAAGAAGACUGUCAACCUUGAAAGGGUAUUUUCAUCCUCUUGUUAGUCCACUAACGGUCAACUGACGGAAAUACUAACUGCAGGGGAGGGAUGUAAAAAUACGGAGAUACUUUCUAUUAAACUGAUAUUAGGUGAAACCUCAGGGGAGGUAUGUAAAAAUAACCCUAAAAUAAAAUACCCAAACUAUUAUAUACAAGAACUCUUGAUUUUUGGGGUAUUUUAGUCAUUUUAUAUUAUCAUGGUAAAUUAGUCAAAUAAAACUUAUCUUAAAGCAACCUAAACGGUCAAAGACACCUAAGUUAAAAAAAAAAUUAUACGAAUGAUUUAAUUUAUUGAUUGUCUAUACGUUUUAUUGAUUUAUAUAUUUUAAAAAUAGUAUGAACGUAUUACAAUUAUUUUCUGACAGCAAGGUAGAUUUGUAAAAUAAGUGGGUAGAAAAUAUCCCCGUCCUCAAACAAAUAAAUGAAUUAUCGGUGAUGCAUGCUUUUUUCCAACUUUUUUUUUUUUUCUUUUGGUUUUUUGUUUUUGUUUUAAAUGGCACUGGCCCGACCACUACAAAUUAAUUAGAGAAUAUUUACAAUUAUGUAUCACAGCUGUGGAGUAGAAUUGGGGAAAUUAAAAAUGCUAAAAUUAUUGACACGUAGGGUGGGCGACAAUAACCACAAACAUUUUUCGUGUAGUGUAAGAAGAAUGCAACAACUCGUUUCUUUCAGUAUUUUCGCAACAAAAGCACGUUGAACAACUUAUGAAAUUAUUUCUCUUUUUCUUUGCCAGAAUGGAUGUGAUCGCUUCCCCUCUCCCGGAGCAGCUGAACUCCUUUGCUGCUUGUGACUUACCAUAAAUCUUCAAGCCAUUCAAGCUGUGCUUGAAGAUGCAGAGAAGGCAAGUUGAUAUAAGAUUGUUGCAUGGAAUAAGCAGGGCAUCUUCCGAGGCUAGAAGUUGGGCUACGAGUAUUCGUUUUGGACAUAUAAUAUAGUUUCCAAGCUUGCGAUGAGUCGAACCAAAUGCAGAACAACCUAGGCUGUUAUGCUCUGCGAUUGAACUAAAAAUUUCACUUCUUUUAUAGUCGUUUUUUAGUUUUAAGAUAUUUUUCUAUUUUUCUUGAUUCUUCUAGGAUUUUUAUCAUUUUUUCUAGAUGUUGGAUUUAAGUGCCAUCUGUUUUCUUUCUCUUAUUUAGAUUCGAAGAAUUUUAUUAUCAUAUAAUAUUUUGAAUUUGCUUAGUUUGUUAAAUUUGCUAUAUUUAGGCUCCUAUAAAUGGGAUUAAAAACCCUAAUUUUGUUCAUUCAAAUUAUUCUCAAUAAAACUUAUUAUUCAAAUACUAGUUUAUAUUAUCUAAUAGCUUUUUAGUGUUUCUGCAUCAUCAGCUGGUAUCAGAGCAAGUUCACUUGUCAUCAUGGUGCGACCACACAAUCAAAGGAGCAACCAUCCCGGAGACGAUGUUCAAAUAUUAGGUUAUCUCUUGUAAGCCAUAUUCAUAAAUGUAUUGAAGGAAAGAUACUUUUUUCUUGUCUUAAAUGAUGUGUGGGAUGGACGUUACAAUUAAUGGGAACCAUUCUUUUGUUGUUUAAAGAAUAGUCUCUACGAUAGUCAAAUUUUGAUUACUACACGUAAUCAGUUAGUAGCAAGCAUGAUGAGAUCAACAAAUCUUACCUUUCUUAAGGAAUUAAUUGAAGAAGAAUGUUGGUCAUUGUUUAAGCAGGUAGCAUUUUUGGGUCAAUUCUUCAAGGAUCGUGAUCAAUCGAUCAAAAAAUUGCAUUUAAGUGCAAAGGCUUGCCUUUUGUUGCAAAGAUAAUAGGGAAAUUCUUACACUAUAAAUGACCAAUAGAAGAAUAGAAAAUAAUUUUAGAUAGUGGAAUGUGGAAGGUAGAAGAGUUUGGGAAAGGUCUUCUGGCUCCUUUGUCGUUAAGUUAUAAUGAUUUGUCGUCCAUAGUAAAACAAUAUUUCUCACAUUGUGCUAUCUUUUCAAAAGGUUACAAUAUGUGUAAAGAGGAACUAAUUACACUAUGGAUGGCUCAAAAUUACCUUAAAUGUAGAAAAAGGAAGAGAUGGAGAUCCAAUCCAAUCUGAUAGUAGUAGAUUAUUUUAAUUUUUAUUAAUUUGAUUUCAUAGGAGUAGUUUUCAUUGUUUUGUUGAAAGUUGGUAAAAAAAAAACUGAAAUGAGAUGAUUACUUUAAAACAAUCUUCAAGAACUAAAAUAAUUAAAAAAACUCAAAAUAAACAAAAAGGCUUAAAAAUAACCGUAAUCCGAACAUUGUUUGAAUCCAUCCUAACUAGCCCGAAUAUGAUUUUAACCCAAACCCAACCUAACUCGCUUAUAAUUAUAACCCAAUGCGAUCCAAAUUCAACUUGAAUAUUUGAUCCGAUCUAAUCCAAUUUGAAUAUUUUAACCCUAUCAACCAGAAACCCAAUUAGGUUGAUCUGAACCCACGUUUGUCCACUCCCAGAGGGGAUCAUGACCCCACAAGCUUUGAAAGUUUUUUGGAAUUUCUAAGUGAAUAUUAAAAAUUAUGUAUAAAAAGACUGAUUUGACCCCUAAACACUUGAUAUAGAAACUUUAUACAUACAAUAGAAAUUUAAUUUUAUAUUUUGUGAAAUAAAGUCAAAGUAACUGAAUUUUUUUUUAUUUUGUUAAUUAUUUUUCUACUAUGACAAAAUGACAAAUAGCCUUGUGCCUAGCUCUUUGACUUUUAUUUUGCUAAUUAUUUUUUUCAUUUCUCUUGCAACAGUAACUUCAAUUAUCAAUCAAAGUCGCCAAAUCAAAAUCUCUGCAGCCUGCAGCUACAAGCAAACUUCUCAAAUUUCGAAAUUCCUUAUGACUACAUAAUAGCUAUAAAUAGAAAAAGCGUCUAAAAUAACUAUGUUUUUCUAAGUUUGAGCUUGAACCCCCUGAAGAUUUACUCCAUACGUAACAAAAUAUUAGUUUUGCUAGUAAAAUUGCUAACUAUGUUUUUCUUUGUAUUUCCGCUCAAGGAUAAAGAAAUUUCCCUAGACUUUUGUGGUGAAUAUCUUACGAACAUAUGACAAUUUAAUCUUUGGCUGAGACUUGUUUAACAUAAGAGAUGACACUUUAAAGCAAUAGGAGAGAGAGAUAAUAAGCUUUGUUCCCCAAAAAAAUCUAUCAGAUAUAUUAUGCCCCCGGUUGCUAUUUCUAAAAAUAGUCAUAAUUACUAAAAAAUAAGUAAUUCUUUUUUCAUAUAUUAAAAUGGUAAACUGGUGGAUAAAAUUUAAAAUAACUUUUUAUCUGUUUUGACAUUCGAAUUUUAAGCUCGAGAAGUCAAGCAAUAAAUAAACCUUUUUGAGAGGCUAACUAAAUUCUUAGUAAUUUCAUAUAAUUUCAUUUCAUCAGAACAGUUUUAUCAAAAGCAAUUUUCUAAAUCUUUGUGGAAAGCUUUAAUCCUUAAUUAUCUUUCACAUAUUUUCUUUGUAAUAUGAGGUAAGCCAUGGACCAUAGUAUGGUAUUUAUUGUAAAUAAAAUCACUAUGAAACUGAUUUUAUUAUUAUUUUUUUCACAAACAAAGUAUCUAGCUAACUGCAGAUGUAAUGAAUUACUAAUUACCAUUAUUUGAUUCGCUCUCUAAAAUAGUGUUGUGUGUUGAUUCUGUUAUGCAUCUAGGAAUUUCAAAUGUUAUGACAUAAGUUGCAUUGGAUAUAUGUAUAUCAUAGAUUACAUUAUGAAGAAGACAAGAAAUGGAUCCAUACGUUAAAGCAAAAUUGAAAAAAAAAAAUUGCUAGGAGAUGAUUUUAUCUGAAAUUUCACCUGCACGGUAUUGGCCACAUAUAAAUUUGUGAUGAAAUUCAUAACGGAUUAAUAUAAUUGAACGAAAUUACUCUAUACAAUUUCAUAAGUAUGUAUUAUACAAUUAAAAAUCUAUUGAUAUUUUCAAUAAAAUAAUAUCUCUACUAUAAGUGAUGGGAUAUAUAUUUGUGGGGAAUGACAAAUGUAGAAAAUUGCAGUAAUAAAGGUGGAAGUGGAACUUUGUAAUAAUUAAUUAAUGUGUUUACAAUUCUGUAAGUAUAAUAAAAUAAUAGUAAUAGGUAAAUUGUAGAAAAUUAAUGUGUACUUUAAGGCACAUUACAAAUGUCUCUUUCCUAAAGAUAUUAUUUUUCCCACCAAUUCAGUGAUGCAUAUAGGCUAAACAAAUAUACCUCCGGGAUACAACGAAUCACUUAUUUGUUUGCUUGUGUUUUUCAUCGAUGAAAGCAAACUUGAAUACUUUUGAAUGUUGCAAGCUUGCCGAGAAUCAAUAUAUUAUUCCCGUAGUAAACAAUAUAUUAGAUAUUUGAUGCAUAUAGUAUAGAUGUUAUACAAUAAAAUUUGUUUCAGCAAAGAGGGUUGAGAAGAGAGUGAUGUAGUAUCAUUAUUUCCAUGUUUAAAAAUUAAUUCUAAAUUAACUACAACAUGCAAUCUUUUAAUAUUCACAUGUCCUAAAUGAAUAUGCUACAAAAAUAAUGAGUCAAUCAUGUAAGCAGAAGAAACAUUAAUUUUAUUAAUAUUGGGCUUGAACAUUCCCAAAUACAUGUAUCCUUUCCCAAUAAAGGUACCACCCUUAGACAAUGCAAAUUUGCUUUGACUCAAAUAAGGUACCACCCUAAUAUAGAUACAAGAUUUUUCCUACCUUUAGAUACAUGAUAAACAUCAAUAUGAGUUAAAGUUUUUCCACAAGUGAACUCUAGUUGCACAUUCCCUCUAAUUGUUGCAAUGGAGGAAUUUCCCAUCUAAAGAACACUUCAAUCAUCCAUUGCUUUGUAAGAUGUGAAAAGGCUACGAUUCUUGUACACAUACUUGAUUGCACCGGAAUCUAUUCACCAUGCAUUAUCAUGUUCAAGAAUAUUAAUUUAAGAUAUUAUGGCCAUAAAUUUUGUCCACAAAAUUUGUGUUCGAACACUUCUUUUCUUUCUUAAGAAGUUGAUAGUCUUUUUUAAAGUGGCUAGGCUUUUCACAUUGGUCACAUGUACACUUUUUUUUUUUUUGUUGGUUUGAUUUUAUUUGGAAUCAAAGUUUUGCUUUGACAGUCUUUUUAAAGUGGCUAGGCUUUUCACAUUGGUCACAUGUACACUUCUUUUUUUUAUUUUGUUGGUUUGAUUUUAUUUGGAAUCAAACUUUGGCUUUUGGUUAUUAAUGUGGUCAUUAGACUGCUUAAGCUUCUUCUCCUCCUCCACAACAUUAAUUUCACAGGACAUAGCAGUCUGUUCCUCAAGACUAUUAAGUCUAAGUUUCUAUUCAAUAUGAAGACUUUGCCAAGCCUUCCAGGCUAAUUUCCUCUUUGUUAUAUUUAAGACUUUUUUCAUAGUCUUUUCAAGAGGGGGGAAGUUUAUCAAUAAUUGAAGAAAUAAUAGUAAACUUAUUACUUUUCAUGUUGUGUUGGUUGAAUUGAUCAAGAAUGCAAAAAUUCUCAUUAUAUUGUUCAAUCACAAGUCUAUUAUCAAUCUUUUUAUAACUAAAAAAAAUUAGAAGUCAAGAAUUUCUUACUUGUGGUGUCUUCCAUUAGGGGUGGGCAAAAUCGGGUUCGGGUCGGGUUCGGGUCAAUCCGAUCGGGUUUCGGGUUGUUCGGGUUAGACAAAAAUUAAUCCGAACGUAACCCGAAUUAUGAACCCGACCCGAACUGACCCGAACUAAGUUCGGGUCAGGUCAAUUGUUAAAUGGAAUUGGAAUUCGUAUAUUUAAUCAAAAACUCCAAAUUAGAACCGUUAGAGAACCGAACUGAAAAAACUUGAAAAGAAUGAAUCUGGCUAUAUUUGUGAACCAGAAACAAGCCAGCGUUAUGCUUACGCCAUUUCAUUCUAUCCUGUCACCCAUAGACAAAAUGAAUCUAGAUGCAUUAUGGCUUUUCUCCUUAAACCUCAAGAGCAUUUUCGUCCUCUCAGUCAAGCGUGAAACUGCAUGUACGAACUGCUUCGCUUUCACGCACCGGUAGCUACAGCGGCAAGAGCAUUUUCGUCCUCUCAGUCAAGGGUGAAACUGCAUGUACGAACUGCUUCGCUUUCACGCACCGGUAGCUACAGCGGAAGACCCAGGCCGAGAUAAUUUAUUUCUUCCAACCACAAACUAUGUUUUGUUCACGAAUUACAAACUGUGCAGCUUGUGAUUUCUGCCGUUCUGCGUAUGUGAGUGCAGCAGCGAUAUGUGUAGUGUUAGGCUGUUAGCUUAGGUUUUUUUUUUUUUGGGAACCCGAUCAGGUAUUCGGAUCGGGUCGGGUUUGAUCCGAACCGAUCACAACCCGAUCGGGUUUGUAAAUUUCAAUCCGAUCGGGUUUCAAUCCCAACCCGAUCCGACCCGAACCCGAAAUUUAUCGGGUCGGGUCGGGUCGGAUCGGGUAAAAUGCCCACCCCUAUCUUCCAUCAUGUACUUAGACUCCAAUAAGUCCUAUAUUUCUUUUGCUGUGGAUUUUGUUGUGGUACUUAUCAAAACAAAGUACUAGACAUGGCAUUGUAAAUGUGUCCUAUGCACACGUAGACAUCUUGCUUCCACUUUUGCCACACUCGAGUUUCUCAUCCUCACGUUCUUCAGGCUUUGAUAUUGUAAGAACAUAAACAACAUUGAGGCUUGUCAACAAGAAAUGUAAUAUUUUUUGCCAACGUAUAAAAGUUGUGACCAUCAACUGCUCUAAUUUGAUAAAAUCUACCAUUGAAUUGCGGAUGAGAUGAGCACAGUGUCAUUGUUACAGAAAGAAUGUCUUAAGAAUGUUGGGAAUAUAUAUUUUUAGGGAAUGACAAACGUAAUAAUGGCAAAUGUAGAGAGUUGCAGUAAUAAUGAUUAUGCCACAAAGAUAAUGAGUCAAUCAUGUAAUAAUGGCAAACAUAGAGGGUUGCAGUAAUAAUGGUGGAAUUUUAUUCUAAUAAAAUAAUGAGUUUACUACUCUAUAGGUACAACGAAAAAAAUAGUAAUAAGUAAAUUGUAGAAAUUAAUGUGUAUUUCAAGGCACUUUACAAAUAUUACUUUCCUUAGACGUUAUUCGCCCCCACUAAUUGAGUGAUGAAUAUGGGUUAAACAAAUACGCAUCGACGAUACAAUGAAGUACUUAUUUGUUUGUUUGCAUUGUGUAUCGACGAAAGCAAACCUAAACACUCUUAAAUGUUGCAAGCUUGUCAAGAAUCAAUAUAUUAUUUGCUGAUAUAUUGUUCCCGCAGUAAACAAUAUGUUGGAUAUUUAAUGCAUAAAAUAUAGAUGUUAUAUGAUAAAAUUCGUUUUAGAAAGGAGAGUUUAGAAACGAUUGUUAUAGGAAUGUUAUGUUCAUGUCUAAAUGGCCUAAACAUGGCCUCUAUUUAUAAAUAUACUUGUGCCCUCCAUUUGGAUUGUCAUUUUUCAUGAUACCCAUUCAUUUAUGGUCAUUGGAUCAAGAUAUGAUUUUAAUCAAUUGUCUAAAUUGGUCCAUCACCAUUUCAAGUGAAAUUACAAUAUGAAAUGAUACAUUCUUAAGUGGAAAGAUACCUUUUAUAUGGGACAAUUACUUGGACAUGUUUUUAUAAUAAAACAUCAUUUAUUUUGAAAUUGUUACAGCACUAAGAUUAUUCUAGGUUAAGUUAAUCUAUUAUAUAUAACUUCAGAAGGUUCAUCGGUAGAUUGUUUUAAGUUUUUGUCGUAGUUUACAAAGAUUUUGUUACUUGUAAUGUAAGAAAUUUUAGAAAUGUUGGUGCUGAGUAAUCUGCAAAAUUAUUAUGAAUCAGAGAAACAGGGCAGAUGUUGUACAAUUAUUGUUGUGGUGGAGCGGAAAGGUAGCCCGAGAUGGUGACUGCUAUUGGGAUUUCUUUAAUUUGCAGCAUAAAAGCAUUUACAUUGACAUCGACUCAAGGGUAAAAAUUAAAUAUCUCAUGUAGCAUAAGAAGAAUGCAAAAAUGCUUGAAUGAGCAUUCUGACUCAAUACACAAAAGCUACUUUCCCUUGAGCACUUUCGCAACAAAAGCAAAUGUAAAAUUUAGCAUUUAAAUCUAACAUCAAAUGGCUGAUGCCAUCGUUUCCAUCCCUUGGGGAAACUGAAUUCCUCUACAUGAUAUUACAGUCUGGAGCGGCUCUUACCUUAGGCAACUUAGGAUAAUUUAGGCGGUUGCUCAGGACCCCACAUUUAACCUAGGACCCCAUUAUAAAUGAAGGUUUCUAAUUUAAUUCCUAAAUUAUAGUUAUUAAUUAUUGAUUUAUAUUUAUUAUUUAUAACUAUAUUUUCCAUAAACAAACUACUAGAUUCUUACAAAAUCCCCUUUUAACAUUAUAAUUAACAAUUUUAAUCCACUUAUUUCCUCCAUAUAUUUCAUUUAAAACUCUAUAAAGGCCACACCUUUUUUAAAUUAUUAUCCAUUAAUAUCUUUUUCCAAUAAAAAAAAACACAAAACCUUCAUUACUUUGGUGAAAAAACUACUUUCUCUACCUUACUUUUUGCAUAAGGAAGAAAAGAAAAUCAAUUGUUUUACUUUCUUUUGAUCAUUGUUGCUCAAAGUCUCAAUCCAUCAAAGUUAAAUUUCUCAAAUUUUCAAGUUUUAUCUUCCGAUUCUCUUAUUAAUUAAUUGUGUUAUUUAGGUGUUUUUGUUUCUUUGUAAAAAUAUUAUUCUGCUCAUAGGUUGUUUUCUUUUAAUUAUCUAGCAUAAUUGUUUGCAUGAUUACUCUUGUUUCCUUAGAAAAAAAAUGUCUACUAAAAACUAUGCAUCAUGAUACAAAAAACUUCAUAAAAGGAGAAGAAUACAAAAGUUAGCUUAAUCUAAAAACGUGCUAUUGAUAAAAAAUUAUUUAAGAUCAACCAUGUCAUAGGAAAGAUUAAAUAGGUUAACUAUAUUAUCUAUUGAGAAAGAUAUAUUAGCAAAAUUAGAAUAUAAAAAGUUGAUUAAUAAUUUUGCAUCUCAGAAAGUUAGAGAAAUUUAUUUUAAAUAAAUAAAACUUUAAUAAAAUUAAUACACAUAUUUCACCUCAAAUUUUUUGAAAGGUCUAAUUAAAUCAAUUUAUUUAAGACCUAAAAUAUGAUUGAGCCGCCUUGAAAUUGCAGUAAGAUAGAAAUGUGAAAUAGACAGAACACUUGCUCAUACGUUAAAGAUGCGACGAAUUUGAGAAUAUUUAUGUUUAUGUGCCAAAUUCCUAAUGUAUGGGAAUUUAAAAAUGUUAGUGCAGAACAUGUGUUCAUCGGUGGAGUAGAAUCAGGGAAAUUAAAGAUAAGCAUAAUUUUUGCAUCCAAUGCCAAAUUCCCCCAGGUAGAAAGUGGGGACUCCUUUGCAUAAAAGUUGAUAAAAGUUUGACUAAGAUCUUAUUAGAAAUUAAUAUAUUCUCUCUCCACAUAUUUCUGCACGAAAUAACAUGCAGAUAUAGUAUUUUAGGUUAUUGUUAAUAGUUUUACAAUAAUAAAAAUCAUUUUGUUAGAUCUUAAAAUGUACUCACACUCUAUUUUGUGCAAAAGUCUGCGAGAAAGGAUUUCAGAUUUACCUAACGGUGAAGUUGGGAACUUGCUUUUUUACCUAGGCUAAAAAUAUUUCAAUAAAUUCUGAUCGUGGAGACUAACAAGAGUUUUUUUAGUCAUAUAUAUAUUUAUUUUUUAGGGACUAAUAUGAAUAUUACUAAUUUCAUCGAGAUUAUUAAAAAAACAAUGUGCUAAUUUGCCAAUAUGAUUUCUCCAAUCUUUUUUCUUUUCGUCAUUUAUUCCUUUGUGAAUUUGAGUUAAUGCUUGAUAUUAUUUUUCUGCUCAUUUUUUAAAGUAGAAGAUUAAGAAGUCUACUGCUGUUUAGCUUGGUAGGCUAUAAAUAAAGAGGCGCAUAUAUAGAAGGCUUAGAAAUAACUCUCAUUCUCAUCAUUGCAAAAUGGCUUCUCUUCGUUUUCUCCUUGCAGCUGCUCUUGUAGUUGCAUUUGUGCUUGAGGGAUCAUAACCAGAUCAAGCUCAACUUUCUCCCUCUUUUUAUUCUUCCACAUGCCCUAAUGUAACCAACAUAAUUCGGGAGGUGCUUCAGAAUGCUUUCUUGUCCGAUAUUCGCAUCGGUGCCAGCCUCGUCAGGCUUCAUUUCCAUGACUGUUUUGUUAAUGGCUGUGAUGCAUCGAUUUUUCUGGACAAUACUACUACCAUAGAAAGCGAGAAAUUUGCUGGGCCAAAUAAUAAUUCAGCGAGGGGUUUUGAAGUUGUUGAUGACAUGAAAGCUGCCGUUGAAAGGGCCUGUCCAGGCGUUGUUUCCUGUGCUGAUAUUCUUACUAUUGCAGCUGAACAAUCUGUUGCUCUGUCAGGGGGUCCUUCAUGGACAAAUCUAUUGGGAAGAAGAGACAGCAGAACAGCAAACAGGACUCUUGCAAAUGAAAAUCUUCCAGUACCGAACAAUAGUCUUGAGAGGCUCAAAGAUAGAUUCAGAAAUGUUGGCCUCAACGAUAAUUUUGAUCUUGUUGCACUCUCCGGAGCUCACACAUUUGGAAGGGCUCAGUGCCGAACUUUUAGCGAUAGAUUAUUCAAUUUCAACAACACUGGCAAUCCAGACCCAACACUUAACACAACCCUCUUACAGCAACUUAGGCAACUAUGCCCACAAGGUGGAAACGGCAGCGUUCUAACUAAUCUUGAUGUCACAACACCUGAUGUGUUUGACAACAAAUACUUCUUCAAUCUUCAAAUACACAAGGGCCUUCUGCAGAGUGAUCAAGAGUUGUUUUCGACUCCCGGUGCCGAUACCGCUGCCAUUGUCAAUAACUUUGGCAGGAACCAGACUGCUUUCUUUGUAAACUUUGUGACUUCAAUGAUUAGAAUGGGCAAUUUGAAACCACUGACGGGAAAUCAAGGGGAGAUUAGAUUGAACUGCAGGAGGGUCAACGGAAACAGCAAUAUCGCAACAAGAUCAUCAUCAUCGGAGGGUGAUUUGAUCAGCUCUUUCUGAAUAAGCUAGUUUGCAGCUAACGCGAGAGAAAGAGUUUGUGGGUAACAAACUCAUGAAUUUACUCCUAUGUUUUGCCUGAAACAUGCUUUGUAUUUUCAAUAAACUAAAGUUGUGGUUGUGUAUUCACGUCCUGCUUUCUAUGUAUCAGAAAUCCUUGUCAUAUUGUAUGUGUUUCUUUUUCUUUUCUUUUUUUUCUCCCAAAGUCAUCGAUAUGUAUUUUCAUUUGAGUCACAAGUUUUUAAUACCCCACUUUAUCCUCUAGCUUUUAAAAAAAAAAAAGUAGAAGAUUAUGAAAAAGUGAACACACAAAAAGCAUAAAAAUCAUUAUUAGAUCCAAAUUUGUGCUAUUUUCAUACAUAACUUGAGAAUAUUUAUAAUUACGCAUCAGAACUAGUGGAGUAGAAUCAGGGAAAUUAAACAUUCUACAAUCAUUGACGUGUGGGGUUGGGAUAAGCAUAAGCUUUUUCUAUGCAGUAUAAAAGAAUGCAAUAACUCCUUUUCUUUCAGUAUCAUCGCAACAAAAGCACAUCUAAUAACUCUUCAGAAUUCUCGUCUUCUUUGUCAGAAUGGUUGAUGCGAUCGUUUCCUCUCUCCUGGAGCAGCUGAUCUCUGUUGCGGCUGAUGAAGCGAAACAACAGGUGAGGCUUGUGACUAGUGUCCGAGAAGAAGUGAAAAAGCUUACCAGCAAUCUUCAAGCCAUUCGAGCUGUGCUGGAGGAUGCCGAGCAAAGGCAAAUGCAGCAAGACAAAGUUGUUACUUUUUGGCUGGAUCAGCUCAAAGACGCGUCCUACGACAUGGAAGAUGUGUUGGACGAGUGGGUCUUUACAAGGCUCAAAUUGCAAAUUGAGGGCGUUGAUGAUGACAAUGCUUUUUCCCUUGCUCCUCACAAGAAGAAGGUACGUUCCUUCUUUCGUGCUGUAUCAAACUGCUUUGGUAGUUUCAAACAACUCGGUCUUCGUCAGGACAUUGCUGUCAAGAUUAGGGAAAUCAAUGAAAAGCCAGAUGAUAUUGCCUCCCAAAAAGAUAGGUUUAAAUUUGUUGAGAAUGUGAGUAACCAUGUUAAAAAACCGAAACAAGCGCGAACCACCUCCUUGAUUGAUGAGGGAGAGGUCUGCGGUAGAGUUGACGAGAAAAACGAGCUCUUAAGCAAGUUGUUGUUUGAAAGUAGUGAACAACAAAAAGGCCUUCAUGUCAUCUCACUAGUUGGGUUAGGGGGCAUGGGUAAAACACUCUUGCACAACUGGCCUAUAAUAAUGAUGAGGUGAAAAGAAAUUUUGAAAAAGUUAUAUGGGUGUGUGUAUCAGACACUUUUGAGGAGAUUAGGGUUGCCAAUGCAAUUAUUGAAGGUCUAGGUGAGUCAGCUUCUAGUUUAAGCGAAUUCCAAUCUCUUCUAAGCCAUAUCCAUAGAUCAAUUGAAGGAAAAAAAAAAUUUCUUGUCUUAGAUGAUGUAUGGGAUGGGGAUUAUAAUAAAUGGGAACCAUUCUUCCAUUGUCUAAAGCAUGGUCUCCACGGAAGUAAAAUUUUGCUUACCACACGUAAUGAGUCAGUUGCAUGUAUGAUGGGAUCAACAAAUAUUAUCUUCAUUGAGCAAUUGACUGAAGAGGAAUGUUGGUUGUUGUUCUAGCAGUUAGCAUUUUCCGGUCGCUCUUUCGAGGAUUGUGAAAAAUUAGAACCAAUCGGGCGAAAAAUUGCACGCAAGUGCAAAGGCCUGCCUCUUGCUGCAAAGGCAACAUGGAAUCUCUUACGCUCUAAAAGUACAAUAAAAGAGUGGCAAAAAACUUUAGAUAGUGAAAUGUGGAAAGUAGAAGAGAUUGGGCAAGGCCUUUUUGCUCCAUUGUUGUUGAGUUAUAAUGAUUUGCCCUCCAAUUCUAUGGUAAAACGAUGUUUUUCAUAUUGUGCUGUCUUUCCGAAAGAGUACAAUAUAAAAAAAAAGGAACUAAUUUCACUAUGGAUGGUUCAAGGUUACCUUAAUGCAGAAGAAGAUGAAGAGAUAGAGAUGACUGGGGAAGAGUAUUUCAACAUUAGCAGCACGCUCUUUCUUUCAAGAGUUUAAAAAAGAUGAUGAUGAUGAUGAUAUUAUGAGCUGUAAGAUGCAUGACAUAGUACAUGAUUUUGCCCAAUUUGUAAGUAGAAAAGAAUGUUGGUGGGUAGAAAUUAAUGGUACCAAAGAAUCAGUCAUAAACUCUUUUGGUGAUAAAGUCCGUCACUUAGGGUUAAAUUUUGAAGGAGGAGCUUCAUUUCCUAUGUCCAUUCAUGGACUUAAUAGAUUGCGGACCCUCCUAAUUUAUUUCCAAAGUCCUUCCAAUCCGUCUCUUAAUAGUAGCAUCCUUUCGGAGUUAUUUAGUAAAUUGGCGUGUUUCAGGGCAUUAGUUAUAGGGCAACAGAACUUUAUAUUUGAUCCUUACCCAAAUUUGAUUAGAGAAAUUCCAGAAAAUGUCAGAAAAUUAAUACAUUUAAAAUAUCUUAAUUUGUCUGAAUUAUGUAUAGAGAGACUGCCUAAGACUUUGUGUGAAUUAUAUAAUUUACAAAAGCUAGAUAUUAGGUGGUGCGAAGAUCUUAGAGAAUUGCCGGCGGGGAUUGGGAAGUUAAAGAACAUGAGGAGUUUACUGAAUGGUGGCACUCCUUCGCUGAAGUACAUGCCAAUAGGGAUUUCCAAAUUAACCAGUCUUCGAACAUUAGAAAAGUUUGCUAUGGGCGGAGGUGUUAAUGAUAUCAGUACGUGUAGGCUUGAAUCUCUAAAAAAUCUUCAGCUCCUUCGAGAAUGUGGAAUAGAAGGGCUGAGUAAUGUGUCACAUUUAGAUGAGGAUGAGAGAUUAGGACUUCACAAUAUGAAAAACCUCCUUCGUUUAUCUCUUGAGUUUGAUGAGGAAGGUGAAGAAGGGAGGAGGAAGAAUCAACAACUUCUGGAAGCCUUACAACCGCCUUUGAAUGUAAAAGAAUUAGGGAUUGUAUCCCACGGAGGCAACAUAUUUCCCAAAUGGUUGACUUCACUAACCAAUCUAAGGGAUUUAAGACUUAAAUCGUGCGUUAUCUGUGAGCAUUUUCCUCCCUUGGGAAAAUUACCGUUGGAAAAACUCACCCUUUAUGGCCUGUACGGUGUGAAAAGAGUGGGUAAUGAGUUUUUGGGAAUCGAAGGAAGCAGUGAGGAUGACCCAUCUUCAUCUUCAUCAUCAUCAUCAGUCAUUGCCUUCCCCAAAUUGAAAUCACUCCACAUUGGGGCAAUGGAAGAAUUGGAAGAGUGGAAUUAUAGGAUUACAAGAAAGGAAAACAUCUCCAUCAUGCCGCGUCUUUCUUCCUUGACGAUUUGGUAUUGCCCCAGAUUAAGGGUGUUGCUGGAUUACCUUUUUCAAUCGACGACAUUGCAGAAAUUGAGUAUUUCUUAUUGUCCAAUUAUGGAAGAACUGCGCAUUCUAGAAGAUCACAGGACAACAGACAUACCACGUCUUUCUUCCUUGGAAAUUGAGUAUUGCCCCAAAUUAAAGGUGCUGCCGGAUUACCUUCUUCGGCGACGACGCUGCAGCAAUUGAGUAUUCAGGGAUGUCCUCUUCUGGAAAACCGUUAUAGAGUGGAGAAAGGAGAAGACUAGCAUAAGAUAUCUCACAUUCCCUACAUCGAGUCCGAGUGGUAAAUUCUCGAAUGGUUGCAAUUACUAUCACCCACCGGUAAUUUCUCUCCCCUAUUUUACUUUGUUGUUACUUCAAACAACGACACUGCAAACAUUGACAAUUUGGGGUUACAGAGAAGGGGAAGGAGAAGACUGGCAUAAGAUAUCUCACCCUCCCCACAUCAUGCGGUCGGCGUAAGAUAUCACUCGCCGGUAAUUUCUCCUCCUCCUCUGAUUUACUCUGUUGUUGCUUGCAAUAAAAUUAAUAAAAAUAAUUAUAUUUUGAAUUAAAAUUCUAUAUAUUGCCCAAUGUCUGACAGGAAUAUACAAUAUUUUCUAAUAUUUUGAUUUGCAUAUCGAAUUUAACUAUUUACUUCAACCAUUAAUUUAUUGGGUCACUUUAUGAUGCUAUUAUAAAAAUUACAGAAUCAAUCAUAGUAUAAAUAUGUAGUGUUAAAUUUAAUCAAUAGUUCAUAAAGGUUAGUAAGAAUAAUACUUUAAUUUUAAUUAUUUAAAAUUUAAACUUCCUAGUCAUCAAAUUUGUUAAACUUGUUUUCUAAAGCUAAAAUAAUAAUAAAAUAAAGUAAAAAAAACAAGUGCAGUCUGUUGAAAUUUCUAUAAUUUCUUUUAAAAAAUAUGUAGUCUUUUGUAAAAUUUCAUACAACAUCAUAGAAAUAAUUUAUGUGUAAGUUCCUGAGAGACAAAAUCUCUGUGAUACAUUUGCAGUAAUGUUGAAAACUAACUUAUCAAUGUUAUCUUGUAUAAUGAUAAUCGUAUUUUUUUAUAUAUAAUUUAUGUGACAUUAAUUCUUUAAAGUAAUUGUGUGAUUGUUUUUAGUAGUACAUGAGCCCACUUUGUUUUAUUUCAUACGAGUUUAAUUAUGUUCACCAGGGAUUCGAGGAAAUGUCAGAACUACACUAGCAAUUCGCAGGUCCACGCUAAUUUGGUUCUAAUGAUGCACGCAGGAGAGCAAGAUUAUGAAAAUGAAUAGUUUAGCCAAAGGAUUGCUAAAAUGUUUUGCUGGUAAUUCACUUGCUUUUUUUUAUAGAAUUUCAUUUCCAUCUUCUUCUAUUGAUAUCUUGUUGUGAAUAAACAAGAACAGAGAAGUAACUAUAUAUAUAAAAAGUCCCUAUUAUGAUGAUGUUAAAGCAAGCUCAAGCUCAAACAUUGCAUUUUUAUUUUAUUUUAUUUAUAGAAUUUUCAUUUCUACCUGGAUUGCAUUUCUAUUUCAUUUUCAGGUUGACUUUGAAAACUCUAUGGAGCACAUUGGGGGGGUAACCAAGGAUUAUCAUUGUGGUUAUUGUGCAACGUUUGGUUGCUGGACUUUGAAGAAGGAAGUGAUGGCCGGGUCUGCUCUGUUUCAAUUGAGGAUGGAUAGCUGCCUGAAAGACAUGAUGAUUAUUAUUGCAUGAUGUUUAGGUGCUAAGAUCAUCAUUUCUGUCUUGUUUCAUUCUUUGAUCGGUUUAUCCUAUAUAAACAUAUGGAAUUAUGCUAAUAUUAUCAAUUUUUUCACCUAAUUUUCACUGUUGUUGUGAAAACAAUUUCAGGCUCUCAAAAGCUACAAAGCAAAGCAUUUGUAGGCUGAUCAUAUGUUUCAAUUGAGGAAGGAGCUUGGUGUUGGCAAUAUUGUCCAGGUAACCACAGCUGAUAAUUUCCACAAAUUUGCAUUAAACUUAGUUGUCACCAUCUCCUGCAAUUUCUCAUUCAUUCAAGAGUACUUCAAAAUUAGAUUUUCAGGGUUUGAAUGUUUAGUUGCGAUCAAAAUAUUUAGUCACUCAUUCGUAAUCUUUUCCGAUUUUCAAGUUCUUUAGGGCCAUAAACAGUUUUCCAACUCAUUCUUAAUUUUUAGGUUGAUUUCGAGUACCCUGUUGAGGACAUUCCUGAGACUAAGGAUUAGGCUGGCGAAGGAACUACUACCUCUGUUGUUAUUGUGCAAGGUUUGAUCAUUGGACCUUGAAUAAGAAUCCCUUACACGCAUUCUGUACUUCAAGCAUUCUCUAAAGGAAAAGAGCAGUAGAAGGGAUAGUGAUGGCCGGAUCCGCUCUAUUUUAGUUGAAGAUCUCUGUGAUGUCGAUGAACUUAAAGCAGUUGAUACUUCUUGAAAAUUGUUGUUACGGAUGAAUUGAUUCCUGAAGAUGGGUAUCCAAAGGCAUAUUUUCAUAAACUUCCUUUUUUUAACAAAUGCUCCAAUGCUUGCUGUAGUAACAAUUUCAUAGCUUGCAUCUCUCGGGUGCAUCAUGUUCACGGGUUGGAAAAAGCAUUUGUGGUAAACCUUCAAAGCUUGUAAAAUGGCUGUGAAAAGGCACAUUCAAUUCGGUAUGCUUUGGUGCGGUCUCCUAAUGCUAAUAUUAUGUUUCAAUGCUGGCUGUAGUAACAAUUUCAUAUCUUGCAUCUCUUGGGUGCAUCAUGUUCAAGGGUUUGAAAAAGCAUUUGUGGUAAUGCUUCAAAGCUUGUACAACGGCUGUGAAAAGGCACAUUCAAUUAGGUACGUUUUGGUGCGGUCUCCCAAUGCUAAUAUCAUAUUUUGUAUAGCAAUUAAAAUUUAGCUAUACAAUCUUAAUAUGCAAUAAAUCAUUGUAUACAAAGUUUUCUAUUGAUUAUAUGGUGACUGAAAUUUUAAUUAUCAUAUCAAUUUAAAGUUUUGGCUGAUAUGUCUAAUUCGUAGAAAUUCACUUCCAUCGGUUUCCAUUGGCUUUAGCACAAACAGAAACAGAGCUCUGGGGAAAAGUUUUACUUCUUGUGGUAUUAUGCCUUUGUUUCUUCAUUCAUCAUAUUUUUCGAAUUCAUGCUCUCAUUCAGAGGGUAAAGCCUUUUCCAGGCUGCUUUGUAGCCAAACUUUGACGCCUUUGAUGCAUGACUGUCAUUUAGAUUUCCCAAAUAACUGUUAGAUUGGAGAAGAAUAAAAAGAUACUGUUAAAAGGGUAUUUAAUUAGCGCCCUCUGAAUUUCUUGGAGUUAAUGUAGUCAAUUGCCCAAUUUUGCUGCCUGUCGAAGAUACACAGCAUGGAAGUCCUCAUCAAACUCUGAGACACCUAAUAAAUAGUAGGAUAGUAGGAGGGGGUGGUAUUCGCCUGGUGUUAAUUUCCUGGCAAGUAUAGUUCACAGAUAGAGGGGUUCUUUUCUUGAUGUCUAAAUACCGUAUGAGAUACAACAUCGUGUAUUCCAAUUUUUCUCUAGUUAAAUUUUAAUAAGUUAGAAAAGUUAAUUUUGUUUUAGCAAUGAAUUGUUUUCUUAAUAAUAAUAAUUGCCAUGUUCCUCUGAAGUCUUAUUAAUGCCAGACCAACAACUACUAGGUUCAUCUCUCGUUCACUUCCUCAGGGAAUCUCGAGGGCAUUCAUUGGCAGGUAGCCUUUCUUGUUGAGCUCCUGGAAUUACUUUUAAUUUAUCAUUUGUUGGGUUUUGCUUUUUGAUUGCUUUGGGAUUUGUGUUAUUAUCGCUUUGUCACUCAUUAAUCUUGGCUGUUUUGAAUCUGUGUUGGAUUUAGAAGUUUGGAGUUGAAAACAGUUAAAGCUUAGACUAGUAGAAGAGAUUUAUACAUUCAUUUAUCUUGGACAAAGUUUUUGGGGGAAAAAAAAAUUAUAAGUAUACACUUUCCAAUGGUUCGGUGAUGUUUGAUUGGUUUAAAGAUGUUGGAUCUCUCAUCAGAUUUCUUAUGUAUCGACUGUUGUUGCCACAGGAUGCUCGCAGAUCCUGCUUUUUUGUAUAAACUUCUACUAGAGCAGGCUGCAACAAUUGGUUGCACUGUUUUGUGGGAGUUGGAGAAUCAUAAGGAGAGGUGUGUUUUUUCUCUCAUAACAAAGGAACUCUCCCCUUCCUUUUUAUUUUCAUCUUAUAUAUUAAGCUAAUAAAUGUUUGUUUCUGUCGUGAUGGGAUAAAGCAAGAAUGGGAUCAGCUUGGUUUUGGUGCUUUCCUCGGACUAUAUGCAAACAUGAGAUAUCAACUAUUGUGUGGAUUUGAUAGAGCGGUCAUCAACCAUUUUGAUGUUACCAGGUUAUCUCUCCCUCUCCCUCUUCUACGUAUUUGUUUAUUGAUCUACAUCUCUAUAUAUAUUGAUAGACUAUUCUGGACGUACCAAAUUACCCUUGUUUUAAUGUUUUGUUUGUUAAACUUUGACUGGGGAAUCUGUUUAUUUGGCUGAUAAGAGGUUAGUGUGGUUUCUAUUGAAGUGUGUAGAUCUAUCACCAAGUAUUAUUUCAAUUUUUCUUUACUGAAUCAACUUGCAUCCUUUCCAAGUCCAGAUCCUUAACAAUAGUGCGACAUUGCUACCGAAGUACAAUUUCUCUAGUUUGACAGUUAAAUACGUAAGAAUGGUUUUAAAUUAACUGAACUCUGAGAUAGUUCUCUAAGGAAGUACAAGUGGUGAAUACGGUUCCAACUUUUAAGUGCCUUAAUAUAUCCAUUUGUUCAGCCCUGUGCAUAAAAAAUCAGUAAUUGCCGUCCAAAUUCUUCUUUACUGCCUAUAUGUGUUGGACUUUGUCUAUUCUUCAACUUCUCAAAUGGAUUUUUUGAAUGUCCAAUUAGGAGAAAGAUCAAGGCUUGCUUGGCUAGGAGUGGAAGCGGAUCCGCUACUUCAAUCAUAUGACCUUUUGAAGAAGGCUUACAACGGGGCGGCUCAGGAUGUCAAUGGCUCAACUCAAAAGUCCCCAAAGUGGUUGAUAUCAAAGAAUGCCAUUGUCUCUGGGCUUGGGCUCCUUGGGAUCAAACAAGGGAAUGCGACUCUGUUGAAGGGGAAGCACGGGCCCCUAAAGUGCGAAGAAAGAGGAUAGUCCGGAAGAAGGUGACCGCAUAAAUUUCUUGGGAGUUAAUCCUAGUCAAUAGCCCAAUUUUGCUGCCUGUCGAAGAGAUACAACACGGAAGUCCUCAUCAAACUCUUUGGGACAUCUAAGAACUAGUAGGGAGGUGGUGGUAUUCACUGUGUUUCCUGGCAAGUAUAGUUCACUGAUGGAUGGAUUCUUUUCUUGAUGUCUAAAUAUCAUAUGUGAUACAACGUCGUAUAUUCCAAUUUUUCUCCAGUAAAAUUCUAGUAAGUUAGAAAAGUUAAUUUUGUUCUAGCGAUGAAUUGUUUUCUUAGUAAUAAUAAUGGCCUGUUGCUUUGGAAUCUUAUUCACUCUCUGUAACCCAAUUAAAUUGUGCAAAUUCUACUGCGGAUUUGUCAAACAGAGCGUCUUUGUGAUUUCUUUGAUAGACUUUUGAUCGCUAGUUUAAGUUUGAAUCAUCUUGUAAUGCCAAAACAGAGCGCUUUUAAUUACUAGAUCGUACUCGAGUUUUUAUUCAGCUUUUAAUUACGAGAUCAGCUUUUAGUAUUAGCGAUAAUUAUAAUAUAAACGUUAAUUAUGAAACUCUUACCAAACAAGAUGUUACUCAAUUUUACUUAAUCUCACUCGUCUUUGAUUUGUAAAUUUUAUGCCUAAAUUUUUGUCAACAAAUUGGUCCCAGUUCCACGUUGAGUGCACGAGAUCCACAAGUUUGAUUGGGCAGAACGCAGAAGCAGCUAAAAAAAACUGAUGAAACCCACGUCCAAAGAUGCUGUUGUCGCGGAGGCCUAGACACGACUCCCCAUCCCCUUUUACCAUAUUUUAUAAUUGAAGAGGCCAUUAUUGAAUUGAAAAAUUAUGAUUCAACCGUUGGAAACCAACUCGGAAUUUUAAGUUGAUAUGAGAAAAGAUUUUUUCAUCAUCAUCAUCAUCAUUAUUAUUUCUUUUUAACAAAAAUUUAAGCUAAGACAACAAUAUAUGCCCAAAAUACCCCUCACAUUAUCCCAAACUUUCUAAACUCCCCCAUUCCUCUCAACAUCAUCUCUUCCAAAUCUUUCUUCCUCCAAAAAGCAGCCAUGGCUUCAAAUUCAAUCACCUCAACACUCCAAUAUUGGCUUGUAAACCACCCCCAAAUCCUCAACUUCACAUGGACUCAAAACCAAACCCCAGCUUCCUCCCCACACUUCCUCAUUCUCUCCAUCCUCACUUACCUCUCCCUCACAUUCAUCCUCUACCACAAAUUAACGCCAACGUCACCAUCAUCAUCACCUCUCAUUGGACCCCACAUCCUCAAGCCCAUCACAACCGUCCAUAACCUCACCCUCCUCCUCCUCUCCCUCGUCAUGGCCUUUGGUUGCACUCUCUCCAUCGUCCUCCAUUCACCCGACCUCCGUCACACCCUCUGUUUCCCCCCCACCAUUUCUGCCUCCGGUCCCCUCUUCUUCUACGCUUACAUCUUCUACCUCUCCAAAAUACUCGAAUUCCUAGACACCCUUUCGAUCAUUUUGUCAAACUCCAUCCAACGGCUUACAUUCCUCCACGUCUACCACCAUGCAACCGUCGUCGUAAUGUGCUACCUUUGGUUACAGACGAAGCAGUCUUUGUUUCCUAUCGCACUUGUCACCAAUGCAAGUGUGCACGUGAUCAUGUACGGGUACUAUCUAUUGUGUGUGAUGGGGUUGCGGCCAAAGUGGAAGAGAUUGGUCACUGACUGUCAGAUUGUUCAGUUCGUGUUUAGUUUUGUUGUUUCAGUUUUGAUGCUGUAUUAUCAUUUUGCGGGAUUUGGAUGCUCUGGGAUCUUGGGUUGGUGCUUCAAUGCUGUGUUUAAUGCUUCCCUCUUGACACUUUUUAUUAAUUUUCAUUCCAAGAGCUAUGCUAAGAAAAAGCAGGGAUGAUCAAAACAAAUCGUCGUUGUGAUUGUUCUCUGUGUGUGUGUGUUUUUUUUUUUUUGGUUAAUUAUGAAGGGUUGUGAUCGGUUCAUUGCAUUUGACAGAGAUGUUGAAGGGUUAUGUACUGGAAAAUAGAAAUUAAACCAACAUUAUCACUAUAACUGGUACAUUAUUACCAUCACAGAUCAAGAUCUGAAUGGACGCAUAGCAGCCAUCCUCAAAACCAAAGGAGGAGAAAAUUGAAAUAGAACAACCACCUUAAGGUGAAUAAGGCCAGAACAAGACACACAUCCUCAAAUCAUAAGGAAGAGGUGGGUGCAACCGAAAAAAAAAAGAAAAAAAGAAAUCAAGAAUCCACUGGAGAAGGCAAGAAAGAUAUUUGCCUCCGAAGAUUUGGUGAGGAAGAGAUGAGGAGUUAGAAAAGUUUUCGGAGAGAUCUACAGAUUAGCUUUAAAAGUGUGUUUUAAAGAAAAAGUUGUUGAGAACUUGAGAGGAUACAUGCGCAAUCAAUCCUUUACUCUUCAUGUUUGUGGAAUGUUUAUCCACUGAGUGUAAUCGUAAUCACACGGUUGAUAUUAGUUGGUUCUAUGUUGGAGUUGAUCCAUCAUAGCCGGAGCCUUUAAAUAAAAAACAUUACAACUAGAGAUGGCAAUGGGGCGGGGUGGGAGUGGGGAUGCCUACCUCAUUCCCCACCCCAUUAAAAAUUUUUGUCUCCAUUCCCCACCCUAUUCCCCAAUAAAUUUAGUGGGUUGAGGAUGAGGAAUCCCUACGUGGGGAAUGAUUCUCCCAUUCCCACCUCAUUCCCCAUUUACUUAUUUUAUAGUAGAUAUAAAAAUAUAAUUUUAGUAAAUUUAAAAUUAAAGACUUAAAAUAAAAACAUCAACAUAUUAUAAAGUAUUUAAAUUUUUUUGAAAAUCUCUAAAAGUUUGAAAUAAUAUCUUAAACUGAUAUUAAAAGUGAAAAAUAUUUAAAGAUAUUUAAAGAGAGCAGCACCUUAAAAGAGAAAAGAAAAUAUAAUAAUAUUUUUAAGUUAAAAAAUAUUGUAGGGUUUUCUUUUACUUAUAUCAUAUUUAUAUUACAUAAAAAUUAAAAAAUUAUUAAUUGACAUUAUAGUCGAUAAAAUAAAAAUUAAAAACAUAUUUAUAUAUAAUGGGGAUUGGGGUGGGGAUGGGGCGGGGAGUGCAAUACCAAACCCAACCCCAUUAACAAUUUGGGGAUUACUUUUCCCCCAAAAUUAUUAAAAAUUUUUUUCAUUUAGGGUGGGGCUCCAUGGGGCCCCAAACCCGUGGAGAAUUUUGUCAUCCCUAAUUACUUUGUCAUCCCUAAUUACAACUCAUGCAUCUAAGUACUUAAAGUUGGCUUGAGUGCAUGGGUUAUUGUCAGUUUUCUUCCUAAUUAAAUUAGGUUGGGAUAAAAUUAUCUCUUUAUUAAUAAGAAUAAAGUAGAUAUCUCUCUCGAUUUUCCUCUUAAUUAAACUGGAUAGGAGUAAAAUUAUCUUUUGAUUAAUAAGGAUGUAAUAUAUAUCUCUCUAAUAUUAUGUGAUGGUAGAAAUUUGGGUUGUACCGUAAUAGAAUUAUCAAGGAUAGUCUUGAUAGAAUUAAUGUAAAGAAUUAAGAUAAAGCCUCAAAGAUGGAACAGAGGUUAAAAAAAAAAAAGAGUACAAGACAAAGAAAUAAGGAAACAAAAGAAGACCAAGAAUAAAAGAAAAAAUAAUUUGGAAAACAAAAAAAUGGAUUGCAAUUUUAAAUUUUGAUUAAGGAUAAAUUGUAGUGGAUGCCAUUGUUGGUAAUUUAUUAUAUUUCAAAGCUCAAAUAAGGAAUAAAAUUAUUAUUAUUAUUAUUAUUAUUUUGCAAUAACUCGUUUCAAAUUUUAAAAGAUUAUAACUUUUUGUUUUUUAACAUUUUAAUCAUAAAUUAAAAAGGAGUUACUAUUCAAGAUUCCUAAGAAUACUGAAAAAAAUGAUAAAUAUUAUUCUAAGAAAAUGAUAUAUAUUGGAUAUACUAAAUAUUAUAAAUUAUUAAAUAUUUUACUAUUUUACCCCUUAGUUUGAUGUUUGGGGAAAAAAAAUACUAAAAUGGCUUUCAAUAAAAAGAAUUAUUAUUAAAAAAAUAAGAUUAAAAUUAUAACAAAUGAUAUUAAUAAGAAAGAAACUGAUAAAAAUUUGGGAUUAGAAAUAGGGGUUAAGGCUUCAGUCCUUGAAUUUCUCUAAAUUUUAUAUAUUUUUAAUUUUUAACCCGUCAAAUUACAUUAUUAAUGGAAUGUCAAUAAAUUUUGUGCGUUAAUUUUUGUUUUAGAUACUUUGAAAGGUAAAAUGGUAUUUUGGAUGGUAAAAGUCAACUAAUUAAUUAAAUAUUUAUAUUCUUCGCUCACCGGAUUUCUUAAAAAGUUUUCUGAACCUCCUAGCCAGCAUAUCCAUCUCUUCCUCAUCCAGCUCGCUUUCCUCAUCACUUUCAUGUUUCGAGGCUUUGAGAGCAAUGUUUUUCUUCUUCUCCUCAUUGCCUCUUUCGGCUUCUAAGUCUUCCUCAUAAGAAAUAAGAGAGCCAAUUAAAUCAUCAAUAGGUAAGAUAUUUAAAUCCUUGGCUUCUUCAAUGACAGUCCUUUUUGGUCUCCAUUCCUUAGGUAGCGACCUAAUAGUUUUCUUAACUUUCUCGCUAUUUGAAAAAGUAUUUCCUAGGGCUCCUAGAGUGUUCACUAUGUCCGUAAAUCUAGUAUACAUAGCAUACACACUCUCAUUUUGUUCCAUUUGGAACAAUUCAUAUUGCCGAGUGUACCUACUAAUUUUAGACUCUUUCACUUGAUUUGUGGCUUCAUAAACAACUUCAAGUUUGUGCCAAAUUUCAUUAGCACUCUCACAACUAGAUACUCUAUGGAAUUCUUUCUUAUCUAGUGCACAAAAUAAGGCAUUCAUAGCUUUGGAAUUUAGAGUAGCUUUUCUCUUUUCCAAUUCAUUCCAUUCCCGUGAAGGUUUUGGAAUAUCUUCCCCGACUUCGUUUCUAGUCAAAGGCAUAAAUGGACCAUCACAAACAAUUUCCCAAAUUUCAUAAUCUAAAGCUUGUAAAUAAAUUCUCAUCCUAGUUUUCCAAUAUGGGUAGUCAUUACCGUCAAAGAACGGUGGUCUAAUUGUGGAUUGUCCUUCCCUAAAGGUUGAAUCACUAUAGGUUGCCAUGGAUCUUUAACUCUACACGGUUAAGUCUACACAAGAGCACCUCGCUCUGAUACCAAAUGAAAUACUAACUAGGCAACCUAAGAGGGGGAGUGAAUUGGGUUUUUAAAAUUUAAGCUAAACAAACCACACAACAAUUUAAUCUAUUACCUUGAUCAAAUUGAAAACAAUAAAUUCAAUCAUGCACAAUAUUAAAAGAGUAAGGGAAGAGAAAACAAACACAAUGAUUUUUAUGUGGUUCGGCAAUCCCCGCUUACGUCCACGCUUCCAAGCUCACCGGGCUUGAGGAUUUCACUAAGCUAGCCUCCCAAGGCUUCAAAAGCUUACAAUUGACUUCCAAGGUGUCAAUGGACCUUUACAACAAGAGAUUAUCCCCAAUCUCUUAACCCAAGUGUAUCCCAACACUUACAAUCUUUUAACUUGAUUUUACAAAAAAAAGAUUACAAAUGAAUCUCUCUCACACAAUAUGUUUGAUCACAAGUGAAAGCUCAAUGUGUGAAUGAAUGAGAUGAAUACAAGAAUUUAAAGCUCAAUGAAAGUUGUAUUCUCAAUAUUUUGCUCAAUGAUGAUUGUUGGAAUCCUUCUUGUUUGAAUUGGAUUGAGCUUAUUUAUAGUUGGAGCUGAAAAACUAGCCGUUACAAACUGUCUGCCCGAAAACGGCUCGCCGUUAACCAUUAACGGUUAACCGUUUACGCUGGUCAAAAGUUACCGUUGGGCCAAAUUUCAAACAAACGGUUAACCGUUUAGGCUUACCCUUUUGCCGUUAAAUUCCAGAGACCAGCAAAACAAAUUUGAUUUAACCGUUCUUACUAAACGGUUCAAGGUUAGCAAUCUAGAAAUAAUCAGUUAACCGUUUUCAGUAAACGGUUCACCGUUAUUUUCCAGAAUCAUCAUUUUAACAAUACUUUGCAGAACAUGCUUUCUGGAAAUUAUCGGUUAGCCGUUUGCUACAGUGUAAUUACUACAGUGAAAUUAUUUUCCAAAAUUACAAUUUGACCCCAAAACUUUAUAAACUAUAGUAUGGCCCAACACGUUAUGAAACAUUGCACAUAGGUCCAAUUUCAUAAUUUCUAAGUAAUGCUUUGUUAAUCCCAAAACUUUUUGAAAUUAUGGUAUAGCCCAAAAUGCUAUGACACUUUUCAAAUAAGUCAUUCUCCAAAAUUUCAAGCAAUAUUUGUUUAUUUCAAAGUUUUCAAAAUUCUUUCAAUUAAACCAUAAACUUUGAAAAACAACCAAUUUCAUAAAAUCAUUUUUCCAUUAAAUAUGAAACAUUUAUAAUGUGAAAAUAAUGAUUUAUUUAAAAAGAAUAAAAACAAUCAAUUUCUUGAAAUCAUUUUUCCAUUAAAUAUAAAACCUUUAUAAUGUAAAAGUAAUGAUUUAUUUUAAAAUGUAUAAAAAAUAAUUUGAUCUUAAAAGAUUAAUCAUUCUUAAUCUUGUUUGUUAUCAUCAAAAUCAAUAUUAUGGAAACAUAUAUGUUAACAACAUAUACAUCCUUUACUUUAUAAUCUUUUACUUUUGCUCUUAAGCUAAAGCAUUAAAAGGCCCCAUAUCCACUCUUUAUAUAUAUAUAUAGGGAGAAUGACAAUUUUCUCCCAUACUGUAAUCAAUAUAUAUCAUUUACGUCCUACUUUUUUAUAAUAACCAAUAAUCCUUGGAUAGCAUAAUUUAACAAUAUUAUUUUUGGUUUAUUUUAAUUUUUGUUCAUUUGAUUUCAUAGUAGUAGUUUUCAUUUUUUUAGUUUAAAAUUUGUAAAAAUGAACUAAAAUGAGAUAAUUUUGAAUAAGAAUCAAAACAAAAAAAGGCCCAAAAUUACCCCUAUUCCGAACAUUAUCUGAAUCCAUCAUAAUUGACCCAAAUUCAAAUUUAACUCAAACCCAACCUCGGCCUCAUAUAAUUAUAACCUGAUCCGAUCUAGACUCAACCCCAAAGUUUUGAUUUGAUCUAAUCAAAUUCGAAUAUUCCAAGCCAAUCAACCUAAAACCCAAUCAAGUUCAUCCAAACCCAAAUUUGCGUACUCCUAGAGGGGACCAUCACCCUAUAAGCUUUGAAUUUUUUUUUGAGGUUUUUAAAUGAAAUAUUCAAAAUUAGGUAUAAAAUGACUGAUUUGCCCUUGAAUACUUGAUACAUAAACUUGAUACAUAUAAUGAAACUUUAAUUGUAUAUUUUGUGAAAUAAAAUCAAUUAAACCUGAUUUUUUUUAUUUGUUAAUUAUUUUUCAUAGCCUUUUUUAAAAGUUUGUAAGUUUGGGCCUACCUCUUUGAUUGUAUGUUGUUCAUUUUGCUUUCUCUUGCAACAAUAGUUUCAAAUAUCAGUCACAAAAUUCUCAAAUUUUGGAAUACCCUACAUACUAGCUAUAAAUAGAAAAAACUGAAUAAAAUUAAUCCCCAACUAACACUUGAAAUUUGAACUUGGGCCUCAUGAAGAUUUACUCUGAGCUCCGCCCCUGAUAUGCAAUAAAAUAUUAGUUUUGCUAGUGAAAUUUUCAAUUAUGUUUUUUUUUUUGUAUUUUCCGCUUAGGGAAGAAGAAAUUUCCUACAACUAUUGUGGUGAAUAUCUUGUGAAUUUAUGACAGUUUAAUCUUUAGUUUGCCACUUGCUUAAAAUGAAAAAGGGAAAAGGGUAUUUAUAUCUCUAAGGUUUGGAGAAAUAGUCACCAACACUACAAGUUUUCUAAAAAGGACAUCAAGACUCCUUUUUUACCAUAAUACCCUUUACUUUUAGUACCUCGAAAAAUUUAACUUGCAAAUGAAUAAAUACAAAUAUUAUAUAAAUAAUGUAAUCUACUUUGUAGAUUAAUAAUAUAAUCUACUUUGUAGAUUAAUAAUAUUUAAAUAUUUAAAUAAAUUUAAAUAUGUAAAUUAAUAAAUUUAUUUAAUAAUAUAUUUGUAUUUAUUGCAUUUUACAAUUAAAAAAGUCUCACAUACUAAUAAUGUUAAAAUUAUUAUUUUACAUAAUAAUUUAAAUUUUAAUACAUUUAUUUUAAUAUUAUGUUUACAUUUAUCAUAAAAUUUACUUUAACAUAAUAAAAUAUAUUAAUAGAUUGUAAAAUAUUAAAAUAUUUUUAAAUAUUGAAAUUAUUUUAAAAUGUAUAAAUUAUUACAUUUAUUUUAAUAUUAUAUUUCUCUUUACUAUAAAAAAUUAAAGUUAAUUUUUGGGAUAAUAAAGGUAAAGGGUAUUGCAGUAAGAAAGAAGUUUUAGUAUCUUUUAUUGAAAACUUAGGAGCAUUGGUAACCAUUUCUCCAAACUUUGGGGAUAUAAGUGUCUUUUUCCUAACAAAAAAUGACAUUUUUAAUAGGAGAUAUAAUAAGCUUUGUUCUAUAGAAAAAUCCAUCAGAUAUAUUAUGCCCCCGGUUGCUAUGUUAAAAAUAAGUAAUUCUUCUUUUUGUAUAUUAAAAUAGUAAAAGGGUGGAUAAUAUUUAAAUUUUCUUUUAACCUUUUAUCUUUUUUGACAUUCGAAUUUUAAACUCGAGAAAUAGACUUCCUGAGAGGUUAACUAAAUUCUUAGUAAUUUGAUAUAAUUUCAUAACCGUUCUCCAAAAGCAUUACGAUAUUUAUUAAAAUCAUUAUGGGACUGAUUUUAUUCUCUUUUUUUUUCUCAACAAAAUAUCCGACUGCAGAUGUAAUAAAUUACUCAUUACAAUUAUUUGAGUCCCCACUCUAAAUUAGAUUUUGAAGUUUGUCCUGACAUAAUAAAGUUACAUUUUCAAAUGACCAAAUCAAUUAAUGAGUCUGACAAAAAGAUGUUGUCGGCCAAGUUGAAAAAUAUAAUAAAUAAAUUGUCAGGAGAUGAUUUUUUCUGAAAUUUCAUUUUCAAGGUCCAGAACACAUUCAAAUUUCCGCUGAAAUUCAUAAUGGAUUCAUAUGAUCGGGCGAAAUUACACUAUACAAUUUCAUCAAUACCUAUUAAACGAUAAAAAGUUUAUUGAUUAUUUAUAAUUAAAAAAAAUCUAUCUACUAAGACUAUUCUAGAUCAAUAAUUAAUAUAUUAUAUAUAACUUCAGAAGGUUCAUCGGCGUAUUGAUCUAAGCCUUUUGUAGUAGUUUAUAAAUAUUUUGUUGCUUAUAAUGUAAGAAAUUUUACAGGAGUUGAUGCUGAGUAGUCUGAAUAAGAAAAUUAAUUAUAUUGUAAGUUAUUGGGUAUUUAUAAUAAAAUAAACAAUAAAAAAUGAAUAAAAAUUUAAAUACUUAAUUAAUUUUUAUCAAAUUCUUAUCAAAUAUUUAAAAUAUAUAUAAAAUCAAUUAAUUGAUGAUGUUGUUAAUUUUCAUGAUAUUUUUAAUAUUAUAUUAGUGAUUAUUAAAUUUAAUACAAUCAAUAAUGCUAUAAAUUAUUAAAUGGUUAAUUUUAUUGACAAAUUAUCAAAUAUGCAAAUAAUGAAAAAUUAAUCUCAAGAGUUGGUAGAAGUAAAGUUCCAAUUUAAUCAGAUAAUAAAUAAAAAUAAUUUUUAAGUAAAUUAUAAAUAAAAAAUAAUUAAUAUUAAGUAUAAAUAAACAAUAAUGAUAGAAAUUAAAGUCUCAUAAGAGCAUCUCCAAAAGACUCUUCAAAUAAGAUUCUACUUCUUAUUUGAAGAGCCAUGUCAAUAUUUUACACUCCAAAAGACACGUUAAUUUAAAUUCUUCAAAUAAAAUUUAUUUUUCACUCUUCAAUAUUGCCGAGUGAGUUUCUCCCUCUUCUAUUAAUAUUUUAUUAUUAUUUAUUGAAAAGAUAAGACUGCAAUAAUUAUUAUUUAUGUUUCUUUUAAAAAAUAUAAUAACAAUACAAUUUGAUAGUGGAAAAAUUUGAUUAAAAUAAUAUUAAUUUAUUCUUAUUUGGUGAGUCUUUUGGAGGGGAUUAUAUUUUUUUAUACACUUAUUUGCCACAUCAGUAAGCAAAUUGAAAUUUAAAGAGUAAAAUUUAAAGAUCCUUUUGGAGAUACUCUAAAUAGAUAACUUUUUUUCUUUAAUUUUAUCCCAACUAAAAUCAUGUGUAAAUUACAAUGAUUAAUCCCAUAAUUUUAGGAUGAAACUUAAAUUUAGUCCCCGAGUCCAAUUCAAUUAAUUUAACAAACAGGAGAUAAAUAUUUAAUAACAAAAUUAGUCCAAUUUCGUACUUAAUACUAGUAUAUGAACAUGGCCUGAUAAAAUAAUUUAGGUAAUAUGCUUCUAUGACUCACAAUUUAAAUAAAUUUGAGAAUUUAUAUAAGGGAUGGAAAAUUCAUAAUAAUCAUAACAUGUGCUAUCUUUUCUUCCUUUUCUUAAUUAAAUAAAAGAAAAAUAUUAAUCACAGAACCACUGCUGUUUAAAAUGACCCGAUGAUCGAUGAAGUCGCAUUCGCCUAUCUAAUAUUGCGCAAUCAGAUAAAUUCUCAAAUUUUAAAUGAAUUUAAUCUGCAAUUAGAUCAAUAACUACACAAUAAAGAUUAAAAAAUUUCAAAUUAUACUUGAGUUAAAAUUUGAUUCUUUUUUAUUAUUUAAAGUGAUUUAUUUAUAAUUAUUUUAACCCAAUUAGAUUUUUUUUUUUAAUGCUUGGUCUAUGACAGAAUUGAUCCUCAAAGUUUAAUUAAGCCUGAGAUGGAUACUCUCAGCAAUUUAUUAGAAUCUAACAGGAAAAGAGAGUUGCGAUUUGUAUGUGUAGAAAGAAAAUGUCAAAACGAAAUGUUAAUGUCACUUGUAGAGAGAGAGUUGGGACUGAUGAUCUGCAAUUUAGUCAUGAAAAAUUAGUGAUUAAAUACAACUAAAUUUCAGUUCUUUCUUUGGGAUCCAGAAAAAAAAUAAAAUUCCCCCUCAAUUUUCUGUUUGCAAGGGGGUAACUGUAAGCACAGUCUGAUUUUAUUUUCAGGGAAUAAUAUCGGUGAACCACCGUCGGGGAAAAUUUGAAGUCUAAACAGGUCAUUCACAGAUAAGGCCAAAGAGUAAAACAGGUCGUUCAUCGUGCAUUUGGAUUCCUUUCAUCUGGUUAAUUAUUGAAGACAAGAUGAAAACGCAACUAAUGUCAAUAUUUUAAUUUGGAAUGGGGGCCGUGUAUGGUGUAUAAAAUAGCAUUAAUUGUUGUCUGUGUUUGUUGUUUAAUAUAUAUAUAUAUAUAUAUAGGUCUAAACAGGUCAUUCACAGAUAAGUCUAAACAGGUCAUUCACAAACAGGUCAUCUUAUGAAUUAUUGAAGACAAGUAGCUGUUCGACGCCAGCACUUUUCAAAUCUGAAGAGCAAUUAGACAAUAUUUCUAUUUCAAAUUGGGGCCACACUCCAAAAAAAUUGCAAUAAUUCUCUGUUUUAUACCAAAUAUUGCGCAAUCAGAUAAAAAAAGGGUCGGCUGCAUGAUUUUUCCAACUUUUGUUUUAUUUUUUCUCUUUUCCACGGGCAUGUUAUAUUUAACAAUUCUCUUUUUGUCGUGACAUAAUGGACUAAAACGGAAUCACAACUUUUUCAAAUGACCAAAUGGCUUCGCCCUACCUGAUAAUAAAAGGCCAUAUAGAUGAGAAAUGGAUCCAUACGUUAAAGCUAUAUUAAAACAUAUAAUAAAUAAAUAGUCAGGAGAUGAUUUUUAUCAAAAAUUUCACUCGCACGGUCCCGACCAAAUACAAAUUUGUGAUGAUAUUCAUAAUGAAUUUAUACAAUUAGGCGAAAUUACUCUAUAUAGUUCCAUCGAUAUAUAUUAUACCAUUAAAAAUAUACUAAUAUUUAUAAUAAAAAAAAUUUAUGACUAUUCUAAAUCGACUGUAUUAUAUGUGAACUCACAAGAUUCAUCGAUAGAUUGCACUGAGCUUUUUGUUGCAGUUUACAAAUAUUUUGUUACUAAUUAUCUUAAGAGCGGCAAGUAACUAAAUACAAAUGUAAGAAAUUUUACAAGUGCUGAUGCUGUGUACUCCGCAGAAAGCUAGCCCACGACGGUGACUCCUGUUGGGACUCCUUCAAUUUGCAGCACAAAAGAACGUUCACAUUGACAUUGACUUGAGGGUAAAAAUUAAAAUAUCUCCAAUUAGUAUAAGAAGAAUCCAAACAUGCUUGAAUGAACAUUCUCUCAGAAUACAUAAAAGCUACUUUCCUCUGAGCAUUUUAGCAGCACGAAAAGCAAUUGCAGCAUUUACCAUUUGAUCUAAUAUCAGAAUGGCUCAUGCGAUCGUUUCCUCUCUCCUGGACCAGCUGAAUUCCAUUGCUCAAGAUCAGGUGAAAGAAAAGUGGAGGCUUGUGACGGGUGUCGAACAAGAAGUGGGAAAGCUUACCACCAAUCUUCAAGCCAUUCAAUCUGUGCUGGAAGAUGCAGAGCAGAGGCAAAUGAAGCAGGACAAAGCUGUUACUUUUUGGCUGGAUCAGCUCAGAGACACAUCCUACGACAUGGAAGAUGUGUUGGAAGAGUGGUUCACUGAAACACGGAAAUUGCAGCUUGAUGAGGGACGCGAUGAUGAUGAUGAUGAUAACGACGGUGCUUUUGUUACUUUUUUGACGAAGGUAUGUUCCUUCUUUCCUGCUGCCUCAAACUGCUUCGGUGGUUUCAAACAACUCAGUCUUCGUCAUCAUAUUGCUGUCAAGAUUAGAGAAAUCAGUGAAAAGCUAGAUGAUAUUGCCACUCGAAAAGAUAGGUUUAAUUUUGUUGAGAAUGUGAGUAACAAUGUUAGGAAUCCAGAGCGAGUGCGAACCAUCUCCUUGAUUGAUGAGGGAGAGGUUUGCGGUAGAGUUGAUGAGAAAAGUGAGCUCUUAAGCAAGUUGUUGGGUGAAAGUAGUGAACAACAAGAAGGCCUUCAUAUCAUCUCACUAGUUGGGUUAGGGGGUAUAGGUAAAACCACUCUUGCACAACUAGCCUAUAAUAAUGAUGAGGUGAAAAGAAAUUUUGACAAAGUUAUAUGGGUAUGUGUAUCAGACACUUUUGAGGAGAUUAGGGUCGCCAAAGCAAUCAUUGAAGGUUUAGGUGUGUCAGCUUCUGGUUUAAGCGAAUUCGAAUCUCUUAUGAAACAGAUUCAGGAAUAUAUUACAGGGAAGAAAUUUUUUCUUGUUUUAGAUGAUGUGUGGGAUGGAGAUUACAAAAAAUGGGACCUAUUCUUUUCUUGUCUAAAGAAUGGCCACCAUGAAAGUAAAAUUCUAAUUACCACACGUGAUAGGUCAGUUGCACUACAGUUGGGAUCAAUAGAUAUUAUCCCUGUCAAGGAGUUGGGUGAAGGGGAAUGUUGGUUACUGUUUAAGCAUAUAGCAUUUCUACGUAGGUCCUUUGAGGAUUGUGAAAAAUUAGAACCAAUCGGGAGAAAAAUAGCAUGUAAGUGCAAAGGCCUGCCUCUUGCUGCAAAGGUAAUAGGGAAUCUCUUGCGCUCUAAAAGUACAGAAAAAGAGUGGCAAAGAAUUUUAGAUAGUGAAAUGUGGAAAGUAGAAGAGAUUGGGCAAGGUCUUUUAGCUCCUUUGUUGUUGAGUUAUAACGAUUUGCCCUCCAAUUCUAUGGUAAAACGGUGUUUCUCAUAUUGUGCUGUCUUUCCAAAAGACUACGAGAUGGAUAAAGAGGAGUUGAUUGAUCUGUGGAUGGCUCAAGGUUACCUUAAUGCAGAAGAAGACGAAGAAAUGGAGAUGAUUGGAGAAGAGUAUUUCAACAUCUUAGCAACACGCUCUUUCUUUCAAGAGUUUAAAAUAUAUGAUGACGAUGAUGAUUUUACGAGUUGUAAGAUGCAUGACAUAGUACAUGAUUUUGCCCAAUUUGUAAGUAGCAAAGAAUGUUUGUGGCUAGAAAUUAAUGGUACCAAGGAAUCAGUCAUAAACUUUUUUGGUGACAAAGUCCGUCACUUAGGGUUAAAUUUUGGAGGAGGAGCUUCAUUUCCUAUGACCAUUUAUGGACUUAAUAGAUUGCGUACCCUCCUAAUUUAUGACCAAAGUUUUGUCAAUUUAUCUCUUAACAGUAGCAUCCUUCGGGAGUUAUUUAGUAAAUUGGCAUGUUUAAGGGCAUUAGUUAUAAGGCAAUCGACCAAGCUUUUGUAUGAAGACACAAAUUGGAUUACGGAAAUUCCAGAUAAUGUUGGAAAAUUGAUACAUUUAAAAUAUCUUAAGUUGUCUAAAUUGUAUAUAGCGAGACUACCUGAGACUUUGUGUGAAUUAUAUAAUUUACAAAAACUAGAUAUUAGGCGGUGCAAAUAUCUUAGAGAAUUGCCUGCGGGGAUUGGGAAGUUAAAGAACAUGAGGAGUUUACUGAAUGAUCAAACUGAAAAGCUGAAGUACCUGCCAAUAGGGAUUUCCAGAUUGACCAGCCUUCGAACAUUAGAAAAGUUUGUUGUGGGUGGAGGUGUUGAUGGUGGCAGCACGUGUAGGCUUGAAUCUCUGAAAAAUCUUCAACUCCUUCGAGAAUGUGGAAUAGAAGGGCUGAGUAAUGUAUCGCAUGUAGAUGAGGCUGAGAGGUUACAACUUUACAAUAAGAAAAACCUCCUUCGUUUGCGUCUUGAGUUUGGUGUAGUCGUAGAUGGGGAAGGCGAAGAAAGGAGGAGGAAGAACGAGAAAGAUAAACAACUUCUUGAAGCCUUACAACCGCCUUUGAAUGUAGAGGAAUUAUGGAUUGAAUCCUAUGGAGGCGUCAUUUUUCCCAAAUGGUUGACUUCACUAACCAAUCUAAGGAAUUUAUAUCUUUCCUUGUGUUUUAACUGUGAGCAUUUGCCUCCUUUGGGAAAAUUGCCUCUGGAAAAACUCAUCCUAUGCAAUUUGAUUGGUGUAAAAAGAGUGGGUAAUGAGUUUUUAGGAAUAGAAGAAAGCAGUUAUUGGGACGACCCAUCUUCAUCUUCAUCGUCAUCAUCAGUUAUUGCCUUCCCCAAAUUGAAAUCUCUCAAAAUUUGGUUCUUGGAUGAAUUGGAAGAGUGGAAUUACAGGAUUACGAGGAAGGAAAACAUCUCCAUCAUGCCACGUCUUUCUUCCUUGAAAAUUAAGCAUUGCCCCAAAUUAAAGGUGCUGCCGGAUUACCUUCUUCAAACGACGACGCUGCAGCACUUGAGUAUUCAGGGAUGUCCUCUUCUGGAAAACCGUUAUCGAGAGGGGAAAGGAGAAGACUGGCAUAAGAUAUCUCACAUUCCCCACAUCAAGUGGCGGUAAAUUCUCGAAUGGUUGCAAUUACUAUCACCCACCGGUAAUUGCUCUCCUCUAUUUUACUUUGUUGUUACUUCAAACAACGACACUGCAAACAUUGACAAUUUUAUAGAACGCAUUAGUACAUGUCAAUAACAAGACCAAUUAGAUUAUGGCAUUGCUUUAUUUUAUUUAUUUAUUUUUUUGAUUCUUUUGAAAUAAGAUCAAUUAAUUAGAUCAUGCUAGAAGUUAAUUUUUUUUUUUCAAAUGAAAAAGGAGCAGUCAUACAAAGUUUGAAUAUAAAAUUUAUAAUCUAAAACUAAUGAUGUGACAAUUAACAUGUUAUUAACCUAGCUAAUAGAGUUGGAAGUCCCAAAUACAUCAUAUUCUGCUCCAGAAAUCAAUUCCACCUAGAAUACUUCUUUCUAUUGAAAUUAAUGAUGAUUUGUUUGUUUGCAUCAUGAAAGUCAAAAAUAAUUUUAUGAGUAAUUUGAUUCUUUACGGUACAAAAAAUAAAUUUGGAAAGUACUAAUUUCUCUCAUACUUUUUGGGCUAAAAAAUAAAUGUAAGUCUAACAUAUUUAUUAUAUAAUGGUUCUAUAUAGAAUCAAUCAUGGUAUAAAUAUGUAAAACUUCCUAGUUAUCAAUUUUGUCUUGCAUAAUGAUAAUCGUUUUUUUUUAUAUAUAAUUUAUGUAACAUUAAUUCUUUAAAGUAAUUGUGGAAUUGUUUUUACUACAUUAGCCCUCUUUGUUUUAUUUCAUACGAGUUUAAUUAUGUUCACCAGGGAUUCGAGGAAAUGUCAGAACUACACUAGCAAUUCACAGGUCCAAUCUAAUUUGGUUUUAAUGAUGCAUGCAGGAGAGCAAGAUUAUGAAAAUGAAAAGUUUAGCCAAAGGAUUGCUAAACUGUUCUGCUGGUAAUUCACUUGCUUUAUUUUAUAGAAUUUCAUUUCCAUCUUCUUCUAUUGAUAUCUUGUUGUGAAUAAACAAGCACAGAGAAGUAAAUGAUUGAACCACGGAGAAGUAAAGAUAUAUCCAAAUUCGAUUAUUAUGAUGAUUAAAGCAAGCUCAAGCUCAAGCACUGCAUUUUUUUAUUUUAUUUAGUUUAUAGAAUUUUCAUUUCCACCUGCAUUGCAUUUUUACUUCAUUUUUAGGUUGACGUUGAAGACUCUUAUGGAGAACAUUGGGGUAACCAAGGAUUAUCACUGUGGUUAUUGUGCAACGUUUGGUUGCUGGACUUUGAAGAAGGAAGUGAUGGCCGGGUCUGCUCUGUUUCAAUUGAGGAUGGAUAGCUGCCUGAAAGAUAUGAUGAUUAUUAUUGCAUGAUAUUAAGGUGCUAAGAUCAUCAUUUCUAUCUUGUUUCAUUCUUGGAAUCAUUUAUCCUAUAUAAACAUAUUGAAUUGUGCUAAUAUUAUCAUAUGCGUCAAUGGAGGCAGGAAUUUGGUGUUGACACUAUUAUGCAGGUAACCACACUUCAUAGUUUGCACAAAUUUGCGUUGUCAGAAUAUCCUUUAAUAUUCAUUGUGUUUCUGUGUGUUAUCAGGUUAUCAUCUCCAAGGGUUUGAAAGAGCCUUUGCAGUAAAGUCAGUUUUCACCAGCUCGUGCAAUUGCAAAUUCAUUCAGAGUACUUCAAUAUUGGGUUUUCAAGUUUUGUAUGUUUAGUCGAUUAAAAUGUUUAGUCACUCAUUCUUAAUCAUUUCUGAUUUUCAAGUUCUUUAGGGCCAUAAACAGUUUUUCAAACUCAUUCUUAUUUUUUAGGUUGAUUUCCUACUCGUGGAGAACGUUGGGAAGUCCAAGGAUUAGGCUGGCGAUGGAACUACUACCUCUGUUGUUAUUGUACAAGGUUUGAUCGCUGGACCUUGAACAAGAAAGCCUUACACGCAUUCUGUAAUUGAAGCGUUCUCUAAAGCAAAAGAGCAGUAGAAGGAAUAGUGUUGGCCGGAUCUGUUCUAUCUUAAUUGAAGAUCUCUGUGAUGUUGAGGAGCUAAUGAUUGUUAAGGCAUAUUUUCAUGAACUUCCUUUCUUAACAAAUGUUUCAAUGCUGGCUGUAGUAACAAUUUCAUAUCUUGCAUCUCUCGGGUGCAUCAUGUUCUCGGGUUUGAAAAAGCAUUUGUGGUAAUGCUUCAAAGCUUGUACAAUGGCUGUGAAAAGGCACAUUCAAUUAGGUACGUUUUGGUGCGGUCUCUCAAUGCUAAUAUUAUAUUUUGUAUAGCAAUUAAAAUUUAGCUAUACAAUCUUAAUAUGCAAUAAAUCAUUGUAUACAAAGUUUUCCAUUAAUUAUGUGGUGACAGAAAUUUUAAUUAUCAUAUAUCAAUUUAAAUUUUUUUGUAACUCUCUCUUACUUUGCUUGUACAGAGUACCUGUUUUGGCUGAUAUGUCUAAUUCGUAGAAAUUCAUUUCCAUCGGUUUCCAUUGGCUUUAGCACAAACCGAAACAGAUCUCUGGGGAAAAGUUUUACUUCUUGUGAUAUUAUGCCUCUGUUUCUUCAUUCAUCAUAUUUUUCGAAUUCAUGCUCUCAUUCAGAGGGUAAAGCCUUUUCCAGGCUUCUUUGUAGCCAAACUUUGACGCCUUUGAUGCAUGACUGUCAUUUAGAUUUUCCAAAUAACUGUUAGAUUGGAGAAGAAUAAGAAGAUACUGUUAAAAGGGUAUUUAAUUAAUGUAGUCAAUUACCCUCUGAAUUUCUUGGAGUUAAUGUAGUCAAUUACCCAAUCUUGCUUCAAACUCUGACAUACCUAAUAAAUAGUAGGAGGGGGUGGUAUUCGCCUGGUGUUAAUUUCCUGGCAAGUAUAGUUCACAGAUAGAGGGGUUCUUUUCUUGAUGUCUAAAUACCGUAUGUGAUACAACAUCGUGUAUUCCAAUUUUUCUCCAGUUAAAUUUUAAUACGUUAGUAAAGUUAAUUUUGUUUUAGCGAUGAAUUGUUUUCUUAAUAAUAAUAAUUGCCAUGUUCCUCUGAAGUCUUAUUAAUGCCACGUCAUCGAUCCGUCUAUGCGAACAGUGUCGUGAACAGUACCAUACAUGUGAAUAGUACCGUACAUGUGAAUAGUGCCAUUUUUCCGUUUAUGCUCCUCCUAAGGUUUUCGACCGUCUUGAGUUCAAAAGUGAUGUCCGUUUUGCCGUCUGAUCUCUCGUUUAUUGUGAAAUGACCAUGAUACCCCUAAAAUACAUAAAAUACUUAAUUAAAAAUCAAACACACAUAAUUAAAUUGCAAGAAGCUUAAAUACAUAAAAGUAAGGGUUGUUAGUAAAACUUGAAAUGUAAAAUGAUGAUUUUCUCCUUUAUAAAUAUACAUUUUCUAACACUCAACACCGGCUUCUUAAUUAUUUGUUAAAUCAGGUUUUUCUUAUCAAGUACAUCAUCUUAUUCACCAUUUUGGCUAUAUCAGAAUUUGCUAUUACCAUGAUGUCAAAGCAAGCUCAAGCACUAGAUCCCUAAUAAUAAUGCAUUGCAUUUUCAUUUUAUUUUUAGGUUGGUUUGAAGACCCUAUGGAGAACAUUGGGGUAAUCAAGGAUUAGGCUGGUGAUCGAACUACUUCCACUGUGGUGUUGUGUGCAACGUUCAGUUGCUGGACUUUGAAGAAGAAAGUGAUGGCCAGGUCUGCUCUGUUUCAAUUGAGGAUGGAUAGCUGCCUGGAAGGCAUGAUGAUUUUUGUUGCAUGAUAUUAAGGUACUAAGAUCAUCAUUUCUAUCUUGUUUUUUUCUUUGAUUGGUUUAUCCUCUAUAAGCAAAUUCAAUUAUGGUAAUAUUACCAUUUUUUCACCCAAUUUUCACCGUUGGUUGUAAUAACAAUUUCACGUACUCAAAAGCUACAGAGCAAAGCACAUGUGGGCUGAUCAUAUGCUUCCAUGGAGGAAGGAAUUCGGUAUUAACACUAUUAUGCAGGUAACCACAGUUGUUAAUUUGCACAAAUUUUGCAUUGUCAGAAUGCCCUUUAAUAUUCACAGUGUUUCUUUUUGUUAUUCAGGUUACCAUGGCAUGUAGAGUAUCAUCUUUGAGGGUUUGUGAGAGCCUUUGCAGUAAAGUUACCGGCUCGAACAAUUGCACAUUCAUCGAGAACAAUUUUAGAUUUGCAAGGUUGCGAUUAGCAGGCUUAGUCACUCAUUCCUAAUCUUUUUUGAUUUUCAAGUUAUUUAGGUCCAUUAACCGUUUUCGCACAUGUUUCAAUGCUAGUUGUAAUAACAAUUUCUUAUCCUGCAUCUCUAAGGUGCAUCACGUUUGAAACAGCUUUUGCGGCAAAGUUUCAAUGCUUGUACAAUGGCCGUGAAGAGGUACAUUCAAUUCGGUACAUGUUGGUGCAGUCUUCUAAUGCUAAUAUCAUGUUGUGUAUAUUUAAUUUGCAAUUAAAACAUAGGUAUACAUUCUUAAUCUCCAAUAAAUCAUUGUGUACAAAGUUUUCUAUUAAUUAUAUGGUGACUAAAAGUUUAAUUAUCUUAAAAUUUUUUGUAACUCUCUUUUACUUUGCUUGUACAGAGUACCUGUUUUGGCUGACAUGUCUAAUUCGUAGAAAUUCAUUUCCAUCAGUUUCCAUUGGUGCUAGCACAUACAGAAACAGAGCUCUACUUCUUAUGGUAUUAUGCCUUUGUUUCUUCAUUCACCAUAUUUGUUCGUGUAAAAAACACAGAUUAGAAUGAAUAAUUUCUAUAUUUUAUUGAUGAUAAUUACUCCUCUUUAAAUAGAUUACAGGGGCAUAAAUCAAAUCCCACAAAAUCAGAGCUAUGACAUCUAGAAAUCUAAUUCUAAGGAAACAAAUCAAUAAACCUAUUUAAGGAAACAAAUCUUGCCAAAUAACAUAGAUCCUAAUAUAUACAAUUCUAAUUAUGUAUAAUUUUGAUUUCAUCCACACUCCCCCUCAAGCUUGGCUAUAGAUGUUGAUGAGACCAAGCCUGCCUUCAAGAAACUCAUGAGUAUGUUCUCAGAGUCCUUUGGUGAGGAUAUCAGCCAGUUGGUGAGAUGUAGGCACAUAUUCAAGCUUGAUAAUGUUUCCAUCAAGCUUUUCUUUAAUAAAAUGUCGAUCAACCUCCACAUGUUUAGUCUUAUCAUGAUGAACAGGAUUGUGAGAUAUACUAAUUGCUGACUUAUUAUCACAAUAGAGCAGCAUAGGUUCUUCAAAUCCAAUCUUUAAUUCCUUCAACACCCUUCUUAUCCAGAUAAACUCACACACUCCAUGUGCCAUUGCUCUAAACUCAGCUUCCGCACUACUUCUAGCAACCACUGACUGUUUUUUGCUACGCCAAGUCACCAGAUUUCCCCAUAGCAACGUGCAAUAACCAGAUGUUGAUUUAUGAUCAUUAAUUGAUCUAGCCCAAUCAGCAUCUGUGAAUGCUUUCACCUUUCGAUCAUUGGUCUUUGCAAAAAUAAGCCUUUUUCGGGUGUUCGCUUCAAGUAUCUCAGGAUUCUAUCUACUGCAUUCAAAUGACCUUGACAUGGUGCAUGCAUAUGUUGACUUACUAAACUCACUGCAAAGGCAAUAUCCGGUCUUGUAUGUGAGAGAUAGAUGAGCUUUCCAACUACAGGUGAUAAGAUGUUGCUUGAAUUCAGCAUCUUGUAUUGCGAUGAUUUUGCCCACAUGAGGUUCUGUGAUUCUUGACAUCAGGAUAACUCAGGUCAAUUUUUUGUAUCAGCAUAUAUCAUCUUGUUUACUGUUUUGCCUUCAAAGAAUAAACUUUAGUGAAGUUGUUUUUGUUUGUGUAAGUUAUCAGGUUAAGGAUACUAAGCAGCUUAUUAAGGCAAAUGUCAUAAUGAAGAUUGUUCACCACACCUGGCAUUUAUGAUGGCAAGGAAGAUUAAUUGUUCACAAGCCAAUUUGAUGAGUGUUAGAUUUUUGGCUUUAUAUAUUAUUAGAGCUCUCCCUUCUGAGAGAUAUCUCAUUAAAUUGAGUAGAGCUCUCCCAAUAAUCGCAAGCUUUCAUUUGUUUGUAAAAUCAUCUUCUUAUAUUGAUUGUGUUUCCUUGUGUUAUCAAGUAGAGUAUCAUCUUCAAGGGUUUAAAAAAGUCUUUGCAGUAAAGUUUCAACCAGUUGCUGUGAAGAGGCAUAUUCAUUUGAGUAAUUCAGUUUCAGAUUUUCAGGGCAUGUAUGUUUAAUUAGUUUUGAUUAUGCUCUAAAUCUAACAAAAGUAUAUUUCUACUUCUUGUGGUUAUUUUACUUUUGUAUUUUCUGUCAUCAUUUUGAUUAAUUCAUUCGAAUUCAGACUCUCAUUAUUUAAAACCAUUUUCAGGUGGCUUGCACGCUAAUUAAGAAAUUGGAAAGUUAUCAUUGCUUGAAUGAAAGCACCAUCUUCUUUUGUCAAGGCUUUCCCCACACGAUGAGAUUAUGUGCUUGUUAUCGGCCGCUUAAUUAUUUAUUAAAUCAGGUUUUUGUUAUCAAGUACAUCAUCUUAUUCACCAUUUUGGCUAUAUAUAAAGAUUAAAAUUUCUAACAGUUGUUUCAGAUUCUUGUGCACUCAGGUUAAUAGUGCAAAUGUCAGAAUGAAGAUUGUUCAGUGCAACCGGUAUAGCAAGGAUGAUAGUGGUGAGGAAGAUUGUAACACCCCAGUUCGAAAUCCAAGGGCAAAUAUGUCCACAACUCACAUAUGAUUUAAAUAACUCUUUACAAACAAUAAAAUUCGAGCCUCAAAUACAAAAGCCAGCAGAAUAACUUAAAAAUUUAGCCAAACCAUCUACUAUCUUCAACUUGUCACUCAUCACGAAAUAAUCCUGACUUCUGGAAACUGAAUCACAAUAAACUAUAAUGAGUACAAAACUCAGUAAGAAACUAGUUUUUCUUAUAGAAAAUACAUACAUACUUAUACAUAAUGCAAUGGAUGAUAUGCCAUGAUCUUUUGGAAAUAUUGUAAAAUAAAUUCAUAAAAAUCUCUUUCUGUCGCCUUCAAACUUUCUCAUUUUCUUUCGAUGAAAUACGUAUCCUGCAAUGUCGCACUUUGUGCUGUGCGUGGCACUUUGCGGCACUCUGGCCCUCAAGAGGUGGCCCCUGCAUAGUCUCAAGAGGUGGCCCCCCCACAACUUCAAGAGGUGGCCCCCAAUGUAAAAAUCUCAUAAAACAGAAAUUCCGUUUGCUAAAAUCCACUUUCUCAUUCAUAGAAAAUUCAAUGCAUUUUCGUGCUCAUGCCAAUGAACCAUCACACAUACAUAUGCCCAUGUACAUAAUCACGCCCAUUACAUAACAACACAUCACAUAAACACAUGAGCAGAGACAUAUAAAUCCAUAUUCGUACAUAUCAAAAUAGGCUUUUCAUACAAGUCAAACAUAUAUAUUAUUUAUUGUGAUUCGUUUUAAAGUCUAGUUCACUUACCUCUUGGCAUCCUCAUGUAACAAAUGUGUACUGAUACCAUCAACCUAAAAUCAUCAAUAAAUUCUCAUAAGAUAUAAUCAAAUCUCAAUCAUAAACUCUAAUGUCCUCAAAUAUCUCAAUUUAAACAACUCUUAAGCUCAACCUCAAAUGUCCUCAAUAAUCGGCCCUCAAAACAUAACAGUCCAUACUUCUCCGAUUUUUAAUAAAUUAUUCUCUUAUUGGAAGAAUCUCAAAUUUUACAGACCAUAUGCUGACACAUUGAAAGUUCAUUGAUAAAAAUUUCAUAACAUAAUUCCUUCCAAAACGAUUGAAAAUAAUUCACGUUUCAGACAUCAUCAAUACUGUCAAACAGUUUUCUGUUUUGAACACACUUGCUUUAAAAAUACAAAACAAUUUAUUUCUUUAUCAUAAAAUCAUGAAAAUUUCCAGAAUCAUACUAGACUUAUAUAAAACUCAUUGGUCCAAAUUUCAUAAGUUUGAAGAAGUCUAGAUAUGGUAGAAAUAAUUUCGUAAUUCACUGAAAUCAUAAAUUUCCAGGUUUUCAGACUUGACUUUGAAAAAUCAUAAUUAAUUGAAAUCUUAUCUGAUUAACUUGAAACAAGUUUCAAAACAUAUUAGACGAUGUCUAGUUUAACAUACCCAAAAAUCAGAAUCAAAAUCAAUUUUUACAAAUUACUAUGAUUUUCGUAAUAAUUCACUGUCAGCAUAUUUAUGUAAAAUCUUUGAUUUCUACUUCUAUUGCAAUCAUGCUUCUCCACAACAAUUUAAUAGAAACCAAUAAUUAAAACAUACCUCCAAAAAUUCUCCCAACAAUAACAACUUGAUCCAAUGUGUUGUCUAUGGCAAAACUAAGAAGAAGAAGAAGAGCUUCUUUUUUUUUUCUUUUCUCUCUUGUCUCUCCAUCUCUCUUUUUUAACCGAUCCCUCUUUUUCUCUCUCUUAUAAUGAAAAAGACAUCUUGUUCUAUUUAUACUAGGGUAAAAAGGAUCACUAAAAAUUAAAAAGACUUAAAUACCCUUAGGAGAUUUGGGGUAUUACAAAGAUUGUUGGCAAGCCAAAUAGAUCCCUCCAUUUUGAGAAAUAUCAUCCUCAAAUUUGAAUUGCUGAGCAUGUGAAGUGAAGCUAAAGCCUUAAUAAUGAGACCUUCCUGUGAAAGUUUCAUUUGAGUGAAUUGAACGUUCUUGGAGUGAGUGAGAAAUUAAGCAUAUAUCAGCGAUUAGUGAAUUUUUUUCUUUAACAUUAGUACACUCUUAUUUCUUAGUAAAAUUCUCUUCCCGUCUCUGACUGUGACGUAGACCAAAAGCUUAACAAUGUAAAAUUAUAUUGUUAUUUCCUUAUGCUUGUUUUGCUAUAUAUCAUUUCUGUGCAAUCAAGAAUGUAAUUUUGUAAUUAUUUAAUUCUGCUUCCGCAAACAUGCCGUAUUACAAGUGAUAUCUUGCAGAAUUUUCCCCCCCUUUUUUCUUUCUGCAUUAAAACUGCAACAAAUGGAAGUGACUGGCUUGAUUUUAGCUCCUGUAAAAAAGUGCUUGCGGCAAUGUCUUUUGUAUCAGCAAGUCAUCAAACAUCAUUUUACGCUUGAAGUUGGGCCUUCUGAAGAUUUACCCCAUAUGGAACAAAAUAUUGGUUUCGCUACUAAAAUUGCGAACUAUGUUUUUCUUUGUAUUUUCCGCUCAACUGUUGUGCUGAAUAUGUUGCGAACAUAUGACAAUUUAAUCUUUGGCUGAGACUUGUUUAAAAUAAAAAAUGACACUUUAAAGCAAUAGGAGACUUUUAUAUAUUAAAAUGGUAAACGGGUGGAUAAAACUCAAAAUAAAUUUUUGACAUUUUAUCUAUUUUGACAUUCGAAUUUUAAACUUUAGAAGUCAAGCAAUGAAUAAACCUUUUUGAGAGGCUAAUUAAAUUCUUAGUAAUUUCACAUAAUUUCAUUUCAUCAGAACAGUUUUAUCAAAAGCAAUUUUAUAAAUCGUUGUUGAAAGCUUUAUUCCUUAAUUAUCUUUCACAUAGUUUCUUUGUAAUGUGGGUAAGUCAUAGACCAUGGUAUGAUAUUUAUUAAAUAUCAAAAGAUACCUCUUCUAUGGCAAAGUUAAUUAGACAUGUCUUUAUAAUAAAACAUCAUUUAUUUUGAAAUUGAUCCAACACUAAGAUUAUUGUAGAUCAAAUUAGUCUAUUACAGAUAACUUCAGAAGGUUCAUCAGUAGAUUGUUCCAACCUUUUUGUCGUAGUUUACAAGUAUUUUGUUACUUAUAAUACAAGAAAUUUUACAAGUGCUGAUGCUGAGUAGUCUGAAUAAUUAUUAUGAAUCAUAAAAACAGGGCAGAUGCUGUACAAAUUUUACAAAUAUUUUGUUACUUAUAAUGUAAGAAAUUUUACAAGUGCUGAUGCUGAGUAGUCUGCAUAAUUAUUGAGGUGGUGGAGCAAAUGCUCAGUAGUCUGAAUAAUAAUUAUGAAUCGGAAAAAUAGGGCAGAUGCUGUACAAUUAUUGAGGUGGUGGAGCAGAUGCUCAGUAGUUUGAAUAAUUAUUAUGAAUCGGACAAACAGGGCAGAUGCUGUACAAUUAUUGACGUGGUUGAACAGAAAGCUAGCCCCAGACGGUGACUCCUGUGGGGACUCCUUUAAUUUGCAGCACAAAAGAACGCUCACAUUGACAUUGACUCACGGGUAAAAAUUAAAUAUCUCAUAUGGUAUAAGAAGAAUGCAAACAUGCUUGAAUCAACAUUCUCUCAGAAUACAUAAAAGCUACUUUCCUCUGAGCAUUUUAUCAAGAAAAGCAAUUGCUGCAUUUACCAUUUGAUCUGAUAUCAGAAUGGCUCAUGCGAUCGUUUCCUCUCUCUUAGACCAGCUGAUCUCUGUUGCGGCUGAUGAAGUGAAACAGCAGGUGAGGCUUGUGACGGGUGUCGAACAUGAAGUGGGAAAGCUUACCACCAACCUUCAAGCCUUUCAAGCUGUACUGGAAGAUGCAGAGCAGAGGCAACUGGAGAAGGAAAAGGCUGUUACUAUUUGGCUGGAUCAGCUCAGAGACGCAUCCUACGACAUGGAAGAUGUGUUGGAUGAGUGGAUCACUGCAAGGCUCAAAUUGCAGAUUGAGGGCAUUGAUGAUGACAAUGCUCUUGCUCUUGCUCCUCAUAAGAAGAAGGUACGCUCCUUCUUUUGUGCUGUAUCAAAUUGUUUUGGUAGUUUCAAACAACUUAGUCUUCGUCAUGACAUUGCCGUCAAGAUUAGGGAAAUCAAUGGAAAGCUAGAUGAUAUUGCCUCCCAAAAAGAUACGUUUAAAUUUGUUGAGAAUGUGAGUAACAAUGUUAAGAAACCAGAGCGAGUGCGAACCACCUCCUUGAUUGAUGAGGGAGGGGUUUGUGGUAGAGUUGAUGAGAAAAAUGAGCUCUUAAGCAAGUUGCUGUGUGGAAGUAGUGAACAACAAAAAGGCCUUCAUGUCAUUUCACUAGUUGGGUUAGGGGGUAUAGGUAAAACCACUCUUGCACAACUGGCGUAUAAUAAUGAUGAGGUGAAAAGAAAUUUUGAAAAAGUUAUAUGGGUGUGUGUAUCAGACACUUUUGAGGAGAUUAGGGUCGCCAAAGCAAUCAUUGAAGGUCUAGGCGUGUCAGCUUCUGGUUUAAGCGAAUUCGAAUCUCUUAUGAAACAGAUUCAGGAAUAUAUUACGGGGAAUAAAUUUUUUCUUGUUUUAGAUGAUGUGUGGGAUGGAGAUUACAAAAAAUGGGACCUAUUCUUUUCUUGUCUAAAGAAUGGCCACCAUGAAAGUAAAAUUCUAAUUACCACACGUGAUAGGUCAGUUGCACUACAGUUGGGAUCAAUAGAUAUUAUCCCUGUCAAGGAGUUGGGUGAAGGGGAAUGUUGGUUACUGUUUAAGCAUAUAGCAUUUCUACGUAGGUCCUUUGAGGAUUGUGAAAAAUUAGAACCAAUCGGGAGAAAAAUAGCAUGUAAGUGCAAAGGCCUGCCUCUUGCUGCAAAGGUAAUAGGGAAUCUCUUGCGCUCUAAAAGUACAGAAAAAGAGUGGCAAAGAAUUUUAGAUAGUGAAAUGUGGAAAGUAGAAGAGAUUGGGCAAGGUCUUUUAGCUCCUUUGUUGUUGAGUUAUAACGAUUUGCCCUCCAAUUCUAUGGUAAAACGGUGUUUCUCAUAUUGUGCUGUCUUUCCAAAAGACUACGAGAUGGAUAAAGAGGAGUUGAUUGAUCUGUGGAUGGCUCAAGGUUACCUUAAUGCAGAAGAAGACGAAGAAAUGGAGAUGAUUGGAGAAGAGUAUUUCAACAUCUUAGCAACACGCUCUUUCUUUCAAGAAUUUCAGAAAAAUGAUGAUGAUGAUUUUACGAGUUGUAAGAUGCAUGACAUAGUACAUGAUUUUGCCCAAUUUGUAAGUAGCAAAGAAUGUUUGUGGCUAGAAAUUAAUGGUACCAAGGAAUCAGUCAUAAACUUUUUUGGUGACAAAGUCCGUCACUUAGGGUUAAAUUUUGGAGGAGGAGCUUCAUUUCCUAUGACCAUUUAUGGACUUAAUAGAUUGCGUACCCUCCUAAUUUAUGACCAAAGUUUUGUCAAUUUAUCUCUUAACAGUAGCAUCCUUCGGGAGUUAUUUAGUAAAUUGGCAUGUUUAAGGGCAUUAGUUAUAAGCCAAUCGACCAAGCUUUUGUAUGAAGACACAAAUUGGAUUACGGAAAUUCCAGAUAAUGUUGGAAAAUUGAUACAUUUAAAAUAUCUUAAGUUGUCUGAAUUACACAUAGAGAGACUGCCUGAGACUUUGUGUGAAUUAUAUAAUUUACAAAAGCUAGAUAUUAGGCGGUGCCCAAAUCUUAGGGAAUUACCUGCGGGGAUUGGGAAGUUAAUGAACAUGAGGAGUUUACUGAAUGGUAAAACUUAUUCGUUGAAAUACAUGCCAGUAGGGAUUUCCAAAUUAACCAGUCUUCGAACAUUAGAAAAGUUUGUUGUGGGUGGAGGUGUUGAUGGUAGCAAUACGUGUAGGCUUGAAUCUCUGAAAAAUCUUCAACUCCUUCGAGAAUGUGGAAUAGAAGGGCUGGGUAAUGUGUCCCAUUUAGAUGAGGCCGAGAGAUUACAACUUUACAAUCAGCAAAACCUCCUUCGUUUGCGUCUUCGGUUUGGUGGAGUCGUAGAUGGGGAAGAUGAAGAAAGGAGGAGGAAGAAUGAUAAAGACAAACAACUUCUUGAAGCUUUACAACCGCCUUUGAGUGUAGAGGAAUUAGGGAUUGAAUCCUAUGGAGGCGACAUUUUUCCCAAAUGGUUGACUUCACUAACCAAUCUAAGGAAUUUAACACUUUCCUCGUGCGCUAACUGUGAGCAUUUGCCUCCUUUGGGAAAAUUGCCUCUGAAAAAACUCGAACUACUCGACUUGGAAAGUGUAAAAAGAGUGGGUAAUGAGUUUUUGGGAAUAGAAGAAAGCAGUGAGGAUGACCCAUCUUCAUCUUCAUCGUCACCAUCAGUUAUUGCCUUCCCCAAAUUGAAAUCACUCGAAAUUGACGGAAUGAAAGAACUGGAAGAGUGGAAUUACAGGAUUACGAGGAAGGAAAACAUCUCCAUCAUGCCCCGUCUUUCUUCCUUGCAAAUUAUGAAUUGCCGCAAAUUAAAGGCGCUGCCGGAUUACCUUCUUCAAACGAUAGCACUGCAGAAACUGGGUAUUUAUUAUUGUGAUCUUCUAGAAGAACUGCCCAUUCUAGAAGAUCGCAGGACAACAGACAUACCACGUCUUUCUUCCUUGGCGAUUUGGUAUUGCCCCAAAUUAAAGGUGCUGCCGGAUUACCUCCUUCGAACGACGACGCUGCAGGUAUUGAGUAUUAUGGAAUGUCCUCUUCUAGAAGGACAUUAUAGAGAGGGCAAAGGAGAAGACUGGCAUAAGGUAUCUCACAUUCCCUGCAUCAUGUGGUUGCCGUCGUUGUAAGAUAUCACUCGCUGGUAAUUUCUCCUCCUCCUCUGAUUUACUUCGUUGUUGCUUGCAAUGAAAUUAAUAAAAAUAAUUAUAUUUUGAAUUAAAAUUCUAUAUAGAAUCAAUCAUGGUAUAAAUAUGUAAAACUUCCUAGUUAUUAAAUCUGUUUAACUUGUUUUCUAAAGAUUAAAUUAAAAAAAAGUGUAGUCUGUUGAAAUUUCUAUAUUUACUUCUAAAAAAUAUGUGCUCUUUUGUAAAAUUUCAUACCACAUCAUAGAAAAUCCCAAUGUAAUUUAUUUUUUAAUGUACAAAAAUUUGUUAUGUGUAACUUCCUGAGAGGCAAAAUCUCUGGGAUACAUUUGCAAUAAUGUUGAAAAAUAAAUUAUCAAUUUUAUCUUGUAUAAUGAUAAUCAUAUUUUUUUAUAUAUAAUUUAUGUGACAUUAAUUCUUUAAAGUAAUUGUGUAAUUGUUUUUAGUAGUACAUUAGCCCACUUUAUUUUAUUUCAUAUGAGUUUAAUUAUGUUCACCAGGGAUUCGAGGAAAUGUCAGAACUACACUAGCAAUUCACAGGUCCAAUCUAAUUUGGUUUUAAUGAUGCAGGCAGGAGAGCAAGACUAUGAAAAUGAAAAGUUUAGCCAAAGGAUUGCUAAAAUGUUCUGCUGGUAAUUCACUUGCUUUAUUUUAUAGAAUUUCAUUUCCAUCUUCUUCUAUUGAUAUCUUGUUGUGAAUAAACAAGAACAGAGAAGUAAAUGAUUGAACCACAGAGAAGUAAAGAUAUAUCCAAAUUCGAUUAUUAUGAUGAUUAAAGCAAGCUCAAGCUCAAGCAUUGCAUUUUUUAUUUUAUUUAGUUUAUAGAAUUUUCAUUUCCACCUGCAUUUCAUUUUUAUUUCAUUUUUAGGUUGACGUUGAAGACUCUAUGGAGAACAUUGGGGUAACCAAGGAUUAUCACUGUGGUUAUUGUGCAACGUUUGGUUGCGGGACUUUGGAGAAGGAAGUGAUGGCCGGGUCUGCUCUGUUUCAAUUGAGGAUGGACAGCUGCCUGAAAGACAUGAUGAUUAUUAUUGCACGAUGUUAAGGUGCUAAGAUCAUCAUUUCUAUCUUGCUUCAUUCUUGGAAUCAUUUAUCCUAUAUAAACAUAUUGAAUUGUGCUAAUAUUAUCAUAUGCGUCAAUGGAGGCAGGAAUUUGGUGUUGACACUAUUAUACAGGUAACCACACUUCAUAGUUUGCACAAAUUUGCGUUGUCAGAAUAUCCUUUAAUAUUCAUUGUGUUUCUGUGUGUUAUCAGGUUAUCAUCUCCAAGGGUUUGAAAGAGCCUUUGCAGUAAAGUCAGUUGUCACCAGCUCGUGCAAUUGCGCAUUCAUUCAUAGUACUUCAAUAUUGGGUUUUCAAGUUUUGUAUGUUUAGUCGAUUAAAAUGUUUAGUCAAUCAUUCUUAAUCAUUUCUGAUUUUCAAGUUCUUUAGGGCCAUAAACAGUUUUUCAAACUCAUUCUUAUUUUUUAGGUUGAUUUCCUACUCGUGGAAGUCCAAGGAUUAGGCUGGCGAUGGAACUACUACCUCUGUUGUUAUUGUGCAAGGUUUGAUCGCUGGACCUUGAACAAGAAAGCCUUACAUGCAUUCUGUAAUUGAAGCGUUCUCUAAAGCAAAAGAGCAGUAGAAGGAAUAGUGAUGGCCGGAUAUGCUCUAUCUUAAUUGAAGAUCUCUGUGAUGUUGAGGAGCUAAUGAUUGUUAAGGCGUAUUUUCAUGAACUUCCUUUCUUAACAAAUGUUUCAAUGCUGGCUGUAGUAACAAUUUCAUAUCUUGCAUCUCUCGGGUGCAUCAUGUUCACAGGUUUGAAAAAGCAUUUGUGGUAAUGCUUUAAAGCUUGUACAAUGGCUGUGAAAAGGCACAUUCAAUUAGGUACGUUUUGGUGCGGUCUCCCAAUGCUAAUAUUAUAUUUUGUAUAGCAAUUAAAAUUUAGCUAUACAAUUUUAAUAUGCAAUAAAUCAUUGUAUACAAAGUUUUCUAUUAAUUAUAUGGUGACUGAAAUUUUAAUUAUCAUAUCAAUUUAAAUUUUUUUGUAACUCUCUUUUACUUUGCUUGUACAGAGUACCUGUUUUGGUUGAUAUGUCUAAUUUGUAGAAAUUCAUUUCCAUCGGUUUCCAUUGGCUUUAGCACAAACCGAAACAGAGCUCUGGGGAAAAGUUUUACUUCUUGUGAUAUUAUGCCUUUGUUUCUUCAUUCAUCAUAUUUUUCGAAUUCAUGCUCUCAUUCAGAGGGUAAAGCCUUUUCCAGGCUGCUUUGUAGCCAAACUUUGACGCCUUUGAUGCAUGACUGUCAUUCUUUUUCUUGGUUAUUCAAACUUUCAGUUAUAUAUUAUGUGAAAGAUUCUUUUUCUUAUUAAAGUACAUUGUUGGUUUUUUCUUUUUCCUUCAUUUUGUCUGAAUUAAAGCUAAAAUUGUAAGUUUUUUUUUAAUUGGAAAAUAUUAAUAUUUCAUUAAACAAAUAACAACAAUACAACUACUUGCAGUACAUCACUAGUUCACAUUACAAAGAUUAAAAUACAGAGAUCUGUUUUAGUUACAGAGAUCUAUUACAGUAAUCAAUUGAAUUAACCCCUAAAAGUUUAUUAAAGAAUAGGAAGAAACACAUGUACACUAAAAGAAAAACUUCCAUUCGUAAUGCACAUAUAAUUCAAGCUCCAUUUGGGGUUCCAUGGCUCUUUCGAAAUUAUCUCCACCACCAUAUUUAUGCUUUCCAGCUAGUACCAAAAUAGAUUUACCGUAAAAAUUGAUUCACACCCUCUAACUUUACAAACAUGAGAAACAUAGACUCUAGAUCUAAAAGUUGAAGGGUUAUGUACUGGCAAAUAGAAAUUAAACCAACAUUAUCACUAUAACAGAUACAUUAUUACCAUCAAAGAUCAAGAUCUGAAUGGAUGCACAGCAGCCAUCGUCAAGACCAAAAGAGGAAGAAAUUGAAAUAGAACAACCACCUUAAGGUGGAGAAGGCCAGAACAAGACACCCAUCCUCAAAUCAUAUGGAAGAGGUGGGUGCAACCAAAAAAAAAAAAAAAGAGAGAAUCCACUGGAGAAGGCAAGAAAGAUUUCUGCCUCCAAAGAUUUGGUGAGGAAGAGAUGAGGAAUUUGGAGAGGAAAAGUUUCGGAGAGAUCUAGAGUUUGGCUUUAAAAAUGUGUUUUAAAGAAAAAGUUGUUGAGAGGAAACGAGACCAAUUAGAUCAUGCAAGAAGUUAAUUUUUUUUAAAUAAAAAAGGAGAAAUGAUGAUCUUACAAAGUUUGAAUAUAAAGUUUAAAAUCUAAAAUUAAUGACUUGACAAUCGAUGCAUUAUUAGCCUAAUAGAGUAAGAAGUCCCUGCUAAAGAAUUCAAUAUUCUACCCAGAAUACUUCUUUCUAUUGCAAUUAAAUGAUGAUUAUUUGUUUUUAUCAUGAAAGCUAAAAUAACUUUGUGAGUAAUUUGAUCCUUUUGCAGUAUAAAAAUAAAUUCAGAAAUGGGCACCAUUCUUCCUUUGUUUAAAUCAUGGUCUCCACGGAAGUAAAAUUUUGGUUACUACACGUAAUGAGUUAGUUGCACGUAUGAUGGGAUCAACAAAUAUUAUCUUCAUUGAGCAAUUGAUUGAAGAGGAUUGCUAGUCGGUUUUCAAGCGAUUAGCAUUUUUCGGUCACUCUUUCGAGGAUUGUGAAAGAUUAGAACCAAUCGGCCGAAAAAUUGCACGCAAGUGCAAAGGCCUGCCUCUUGCUGCAAAGGUAAUAAGGAAUCUCUCGCGUUCAAAAAGUGCAAUAAACGACUGGCAAAGAAUUUUAGAUAGUGAAAUGUGGAAGGCAGAAGAGAUUGGGAAAGGUCUUUUGACUCCUUUAUUGUUGAGUUAUAAUGAUUUGUCGUCCAAUUCUAUGGUAAAACAAUAUUUUUCAUUUUGUGCUGUCUUUCCGAAAGACUACAAUAUGUAUAAAGAGGAGCUAAUUUCACUAUGGAUGGCUCAAGGUUACCUUAAUGCAGAAGAAUAUGAAGAGAUGGAGAUGACUGGGGAAGAGUGUUUCAACAUUUUAGCAACACACUCUUUCUUUCAAGAGUUUGAGAAAAAUGAUGAUGAUGAUAUUAUGAGUUGCAAGAUGCAUGACAUAGUACAUGAUUUUGCUCAAUUUGUAAGUAGCAAAGAAUGUUUGUGGCUAGAAAUUAAUGGUACCAAAGAAUCAGUCAUAAACUCUUUUGGUGGGAAAGUCCGUCCCUUAGGUUAAAGUUUAAAGGAGGCGCUUUAUUUCCUAUGUCCAUUCAUGGACUUAAUAGAUCGCGUACCCUCCUAAUUGAUUAUGAAAGUCCUUCCAAUUCGUCUCUUGAUAGUAGCAUCCUUCCUGAGUUAUUUAGUAAAUUGGCAUGUUUAAGAGCAUUAGUUAUAAGGCAAUCAUUCUUGCUUUGUCGUCCUGACCCAAAUUUGAUUAGAGAAAUUCCAGAAGAUGUCGGGAAAUUGAUGCUUUUAAAAUAUCUUAAUUUGUCUGAAUUACACAUAGAGAGACUGCCUGAGACUUUGUGUGAAUUAUAUAAUUUACAAAAGCUAGAUAUUAGGGGGUGCCGAAAUCUAAGAGAAUUGCCUGCAGGGAUUGGGAAGUUAAAGAACAUGAGGAGUUUGCUAAAUGGUCUUACUUGUUCGUUGAAGUACAUGCCAAUAGGAUUUUCCAAAUUAACCAAUCUUCGAACAUUAGACAAGUUUGCUGUGGGUGGAGGUGUUGAUGGUGGCAGUACGUGGAGGCUUGAAUGUCUGAAAAAUCUUCAACUCCUUCGAGAAUGUGGAAUAGAAGGGCUGAGUAAUUUGUCACAUGUAGAUGAGGCUGAGAGAUUAGAACUCAAAAAUAUGGAAAACCUCCUUCGUUUGUAUCUUUUGUUUGAAGUUGUAGAUUGGGAAGAUAAAGAAGAGGAUGAAGAUGAAGGUGGGGAAGAUGAAGGUGAGGAUGGGGGAUAUGAAGAAGAAGAAGGAGGUGAAGUUGUAAAUGGGGAAGAUGAAGAAAGGAGCAGGAAGAAUGAGAAAGAUGAACAACUUCUUGAAGCCUUACAGCCGCCUUUGAAUGUAGAGGAAUUAUGGAUUUUAUUAUAUGGAGGCAACAUUUUUCCCAAAUGGUUGACUUCGCUAACCAAUAUAAGGAAUUUAUUUCUUCACAGGUGUCUUAACUGUGAGCAUUUGCCUCCUCUGGGAAAAUUGCCUCUGGAAAAACUCGCCCUGCAAAAUUUGAAUAGUGUAAAAAGAGUGGGUAAUGAGGUUUUGGGAAUAGAGGAAAGUAGUGAUGAUGACCCGUCUUCAUCUUCAUCAUCAUCAUCAGUUAUUGCCUUCCCCAAAUUGAAAUCACUCAAAAUUUGGGACAUGGAAGAAUUGGAAGAGUGGGAUUACACGGUUACGAGGAAGGAAAACAUCUCCAUCAUGCCACGUCUUUCUUCCUUGGAAAUUGAUUGUUGCCCCAAAUUAAAGGUGUUGCCAGAUGACCUUCUUCAAACGUCGACACUGCAGGAAUUGAGUAUUGGGGGAUGUCCUAUUCUAGAAGACUGGCAUAAGAUAUCUCACAUUCCCCACAUCGAGUUUUAAAUUCUCGAACGGUUGCAAUUACUAUAACCCGCCGGUAAUUUCUCCUCCUCCUCUGUUUUGCUUCAUUGUUACUUGUAAUGAAAUUAAUAAUAAUAAUGAUAAUAAUUAAAUUUUGAAUUAAAUUUCUAUAUUUUGCCAAUGUCUCAUAGGAAUGUGCAAUAUUUUCUAAUAUUUUGAUUUUUGUAUUGAAUAUAACUAUUUACUUCAGUGUACGAUAAUUUGUUACGUGAAACUUCUUGAGAGACUGAAUUUCUGGGGUACUUUGUAGUAAUGUUGAAAACUAAGUGAUGGCUGGGUCUGCUCUGUUUCAGUUGAGGAUGGAUUGCUGCCUGGAAGACAUGCUGAUUAUUAUUGCAUGAUAUUAAGGUGCUGAGAUCAUCAUUUCUAUCUUGUUUCUUUCUUUGAACGGUUUAUCCUCUAUAAGCAUAUGGAAUUAUGUUAGUAUUAUCACUUCUUCACCCAAUUUUCACUGUUGGUUGUAAUAACCAUUUCAGGUUCUCAAAAGCUACAAAGCAAAGCAUCUUUGGGCUGAUCAUAUAUUUCAAUUGACGAAGGAAUUCGAUGUUGGCACUAUUAUGCAGGUAACCAGAGUUGAUAAUUUGUACAAAUUUGCAUUGUCAGAAUACCCUUCAUAUUCACCGUGUUUCUUUGUGUAGGUAUGUAGAGUAUCAUCUUCAAGGGUUGUAAGAGCCUUUGCAGUAAAUUUAGCUGCUAGUGCAAUUGCUCAUUCAUCGAAGUACAAUUUUGGAUUUUCAAGGUUUGUAUGCUCAGUUGUAAUUAAAAUGCUUAGUCACUUAUUCCUAAUCUUUCUGAUUUUCAAGUUAUUUUAGGUCCAUAAACAGUUUUCACACAUGUUUCAAUGCUUCUUGUAAUGACAAUUUCAUAUCUUGCAUCUCUAAUGUGCAUCAUGUUUGAAACAGCUUUCGCGGUAAAGUCUUCGAUGCUUGUACAAUGGCUGUGAAGAGGCACACUAAAUUCGGUACAUUUUGGUACGGCCUCCUAAUGCUGGUAUAAUGUUGUGUAUAUUUAGUUUGCAAUUAAAACUUAGGUAUACAAAUCUUAAUCUGCAAUAGAUCAUAGUGUACAAAGUUUCUAUUAAUGAUAUGGUGACUGAAAGUUUAAUUAUCUUAAAAUUUUUCUAUGACUCUCUUUUACUUUCUUUGUACAGAGUACUUGUUUUGGCUGAUGUGUCUAAUUCAUAGAAAUUCAUUUCCAUCGGUUUCCAUUGGUUUGAGCACAAACAGAAACAGAGGUCUGAGGAGAAGUUUCACUUCUUGCGGUAUUAUGCCUUUGUUUCUUUAUUCACCAUAUUUGUUCGAAUUCAUGCCCUCAUUAAGAAUUUAAAGCCUUUUCCAGGCAGCUUUGUAGCCAAAUUUUGAUGCCAUAAAUGCAUGAUUGUCAUUUAGAUUUUCCGAAUAUUUGUUAUUUGGAGAAAUAUUGUUAAAAGGGCAUUUGAUUAGCUACUUACCCUAUGAAUUUAGUUGCCAAUAAUAGAUUGAAAUUGAGUAGGCUAAUGGUUGAGGAAAGUUAUUGUCUUAAUUAAAUUACAGGUGAUAAGAUGUUGCUUGUGUAAUCAGAUAAAUGGGGCAAAUGUCAGAACAAAGAUUGUUCAGUGCUGCUGGUAGGGCAAGGAUGAUGAUGGUGAGGAAGAUUGUUCACAAGCCAAGUAGAGCCCUCCAUUUUGAGAAAUAUCAUCCUCAAAUUUGAAUUGUUGAGCAUAUGAAGUGAUGCUAAAGCCUUAAUAUUAAGUCUUUCUGAAAGUUUCAUUUGAAUGAAUUUUCGGAGAUUGAAUGUUCUUAGCGUGAGUAAGAAAAUUAAGCACAUAUCUGCGAUUUGGAUCGUCGGUGAAUGUUUUCCUUUAAUAUUUGUACAAACCCGUUUCUUAGUAAAAUUUUCUUCAUGUCUUUUACUAUGACAUAGGCUAAUAGCCGUACCACAUAACAUUAUCUUCUUAUUUCUUUAUGCUUGGUUUUGCUACAUAUAAGAAUGCAAUUUUGUAACUACUUAACUCUGCUUCGGCAAAGUUAAGUAGUUACAAAAAUUUUUUUUUUUCGUUUUUCUUUCUCCGAUAAAAUUGCCACAAAUGGAAGCGAUUGGCUUGAUUUUUGCUUCUGUAAAAAGUGGUGGGAGCAAUGUCUUGUGUACCCGCAAGUUAUAAAUCGUCAUAGUUUAAAUGACGAAUCCCGAGUUGCCAUCCAAACUAAAGAAAUUGCAAAUUAAGUAGUUCAUUACAAAUGAUAUAUUUUGAGUUGCUAAUUAUUAAGUAUUUCAUUCAAAAAUGUUCUCGUUCCCACAGUUUCUAAUGUUUAAAGUGCAUCAUUGCUCUACUUCCGUCAUAACAGCAUAAGAGAAUUUAACAUAAUACUGAGAAAAUGAUUAUUUUACCCUAAAUGUAAAUGAUUAUUCUACCCUUAACAUAAAAUAACUAAUUUGCCCUAAUUUAAUAACGAAAAAAAUAGAUGACUGCAAUAUAGAUAUUAAAUAAUAAAUAAAAUAAAAAAUAAGAAUUAAAACUAAAAUAAUUAAAAGAGAGCUCAAGAGAAAACGCACUUUAAUCUGGUACCUGUACCCGUGGAUCGUGGCGAUGGCGGAUUGGGGCUUAUUACCAAGUCGUUUAAGAAUUUUAAACUUUCAAAUUUUUUUUAAACCUUGAAUUUUUUAGUUUAUUGGUUAAGUGAUAAAAUUUGGUGGUAGUUUGAUACUGUGUUGUAUGUUGUGUUAUUUUAGCUCAUUAACUUUGUUAUGUAAUUCUUCUUUAAAUACGACGUCGUUUUUGUCCAUUAAGAGUCCAAUGACAAGUUUAUCAUUCUGACAUGAGUAAAAUUCUAACGGCGUGAUGACAAUAGUGUAGAAAUGAUAGAUUUUGUAAACAUCAGGUGGAAUUGUUAAAAAAAAAAAUGUGGUCGUGUAUUUUUUAUAAAGUCUAAAACAUCAAGUGAUUAGAGAAUAUUUGUGCUUAAGUAUUUGAUUCAAAAAAAUUUCCACUCCUAGACUAUUUAAGUUGUAACCAAAACUGAGAAUUUUUUUUUUUUUUUGCAUGAUGAAUCUCGAUAUUUAGGAUGAAUAUUUUAAUAUUUAAGCUUAAUGGUCACCCACUAUUGGUAGAAGAAUUUUUAUUCUAACACUAUACAAUUUUCGUGUGAGGUGGUCUUGGGCUUAUCUCAACCUUAAAAGUCAAAAGCUAGCUCAAUAAGUGAGAUUUUUUUCUCACACUUAUGAAAUCACCACGAGCUCCUCCCACAACCAAUGUGGGAUAAUCCCAACAAUCUCCCCUCACUCAUCGAGCCUUGGGUUGGAAGCAUAAACAUCAAUUCUCCCUAUUAGAUUGUUGGUUGAGUUGUUGGUGAACCUGAGCUUUGAUACUAAUGUUAGAUGGUCUUGGGCUUCUCUCGACUUCAAAAGCUAGCUCAAAGAGAGAGAUAUUCCCUCACAUUUAUGAGGUCAUUAUCAGCCUCUUCCACAAUCGAUGUCGGCUAACCCGACAUUUCUCUCUCUAUAUAAUACAUAAGUUGGAUAAUAAAUUUAUAUCUCAAUCUAGGUAUAAACAUUAAUUUUAUUUCUUUUUAUCAAUCAUUAUCCUAUUGGGUCUAUCGACUCACCGUACAAAAUGUUGUAAAACUUCCCCGCCGAAGAGACUUUGGUAGCUUUGAGUUUGUAAAUCAAGUUCCUAUCCGUCGUCCCUCCUAAUCCAUUCUUCGGCCAAGUACGCCUGACAUUCUUGUACCUUACAACGUCAUAUUUGGCACAAAAUUCAUGAAACUUAAACCAAACACUAAACUAUUAUUAGUUCUCAACAUUUUAUAUCAUUCGACGUUUUGUGUCAGAAUAAAUAUUUUAUCUUUGAACUUCUCAAGCACUUAUUCAUGGCUUAUUUCUCAACUCACUAUGGAUUAAUGAUGCUGAUGAAAUUGUGGAUUAACCAGACAAUAUUGUAAUUAUUACACAUACACACAAGCACACGUACAUACGUACAAAAGCAUAUAGGAGUUGACCUUGCUCAGGAUUUAAAAAAAAUGAAUAAAAUUUUCCAAUAAUUAAUUAAGAUAAAAAAGAUCAUUAAAACCCGAGUACCCCUCGCAAUUGUGUCACUUGAAUUCUCUGUAUUUAUGCACAUAUAAUAUUUUGAAUGAAUCUAUAAUGAUGUUAAUUUUUUAAUGAACUUAAUCUUAAAUUAAAAUUUUCUUUUGAAAAAAAAGAAGAAAUCUUAAAUAUUAUAAAAUAUAGAUCAGUUGGAAAACUAUUCCUAGAAAUGCAUCUUAGUUUUAUUCUUGGAAAAUGUUUCCUUUCGCACUUGCGAGGAAUUAGAAAUUGAACAAUAAUUUUUAGACUUUUCAUUGUCUUUGUGGUUAUAUGGUUGUCUUUAAUAUAAAUAUAUGAUCCCGGAGGCCAAAUGUCUAAGUCACAUGCAUUUACCUAAUACUUUUUUCUUUUUUCUUUGUUUUUCGGAUAGGGCAAUUAUUUAAUACCUUGAAGAAAGAGAGAUAAAAUAUAAUGCAUGCCAAUUUGUUGCAACAAAGCUUUCAUAUCAAGCGUUGGCAUAAAUUAUUAUGCCAAUUUGUUCAAGACAAUAUCUUUAGUUGGCAUGUAAGUUUCAUUAGCCGGCGUCUACUCUUAAUUUAUGUCAAAUUAAGUAAUCGCUCCGCCCCAAUAAUGUUGCCUUUGAUCUCUCAGCCCCAGUAAAAGAAUUGGCUAAAAGAGAAUGUUGGUCACUGUUUAAGCAAGUAUGCUUUUGGCGGUCCUUUGAGGAUCUUCAAAAUUUAGAACUAAUAACCAAUCAAAUGAAAAAUUGCAUACAAGUGUAAAAGCUUACCCCUUAAUGCAUAGGUAAUAGGAAUUCUCUUGCUCAACAUAUACACCCUUUUCUUUAUAAUCUUUUACUUUUGCUCUUAAGCUAAAGCAUUAAAAGGCCCAAUAUCCACUCUUUAUAUAUAGUAGUUUCUGGUCCGGGAUCAUAAAGUGCGGGAAAUAUUCGGAAAAAUUUUAAAAUCGUGGGGUUUUAAAUGCUUAAAACUUAAAGUGCUUAAACUGAACGGUUAAUAUGUUUUCCUGGACGUUCCCGCAUUUUAAAAUUCCGGACUGUAACAUUUCUCUCUCUCUCUCUCUCUUUAUAUAUAUAUAUAUAUAUAUAUAUAUAUAUAUAUAUAUAGGGAGAAUGCCAAUUUCCCCCCAUAUUGUAAUCAAUUUAUAUCAUUUAUGUCCUACUCUUAUAUAAUAGCCAAUAACUCCUGGAUAGCAUAAUAUAACAAUAUUAUCUUUAAUUUUAAAUACACUUUUAUUUAUAUUUAUUAUAAAUUAAAUAAAACAUGUGAAUGAAAACUAAAAUAAAUAUUAAAUAUUAAAAACAAUAAAUAUAUGUUUUGAUGUGAAUAAAAAAUUAAUAGUAAAAUAUUUUUCUUGUACUUCUUUUAUUUACAAACAUUUUCUAAUAAUACAUAUAUAAGAAAAUUAUUAUAAAAUAAUUAUAAAUUAAUAUAAAUUAAUAAUAAAAUAGUAUAAAAUUAAUAAUAAAAUAUUUUUCUUGUACUUUUGUAUUUUAUAUAUUUAUUAUAAGAAAAUGUUUAUAAAACAAAAAUACAAAAAAAUUUAUUAUUAAUUUUUUUAUUCACAUCAAGACGUAUAUUUCUUGUUUUUAAUAAAUUUUUUUUUUACCAUUCAAUAUGAUUUGUUUAAUGUAUAAUAAAUAUGAAUAAAGGUGUAUUUGAAAAUAAAAAUAAUAUUGUAGGAAACAUUUACCAUUUUCUAAGAGAAGCUUAAGAGUGAGUAAAGGCUUGUUUAAACCAGAUAUUUUGAGCCAUAUAUUUUAAAAUACCUCAAGGCACCCUCAUUGUUAAAUAUGCUAUAUUUCUACUCUUACUUUUUCUUUCCUUUUAUAAUAUUACCCUUGCAACAAUAUUCUAACCUUUUUGAGGAUAUCAAUGAAAGAAAAAAAAUUAAUUUAUCAAAAUUUGCCUUAAAAGUAACAUAAAAAAUUCCACAAAUUUUUAUGUUAUUAUUUUACUUUUAGGAUUAAUUUGGUAAAUUAAUUUUUUAUAAAAUAACUAUUAGUAAAAUUGUUGCAAAUAUAUUAAACAUUUCUUUAAGUUGGAUAAUAUUGAUUUAUUUAUAAAUAAAUUAUUGGCAAUUAGUUCUUUCAUACUGAAAUUUAUUAGUUAAUUUGCUAAUCAAUAAUUAUUGGUUAAUACGCUAAUAAACUUUUAUAGAUAAAUUAAUUAAUGUCAAGAAUAUUAUUGCAAGGUAUUAUUAUAAAAGCAAAUAGAAAGUAAGUGCAAGAAUGUAAUAUAUUUAAUUAUAAAGGUAUUUUGAGAUAUUUUUGAAAUUAUAAGAACUAAACAAGCAUUUACCAGUUGAGAGAAGAUGAAAUGGGAAAAAUUCAAGGGUUAGGAUAUAUGAUGAGUUAAGGAUUAGGUCUUGUAAAAUCUUGAUUUGGGGAGAUGAUUUUGGAGUGUUUCAACCCUAAAUUCAUUUGGGAAGACUCAUUGACGUACACAUUAAAGGUGGAAAGUGUAGAGAGAGAGAGAAGGAGAAAGUGUGUGUUUAGAGUGAGAGAUGUGUAAUUCAAGUAAACAAGUUGGAUACUUGGAUUUCUCACUAAAUAGAGUAAGAUUUCCAUCAUUCUAUCAUUAUUUAUGCUAAAUUUAAUUUAAAGAUUUGUUUAUUUUAUUUAAAUUAAUGUUUCCAACAUAUGGUAAAGUGGUACGAAGAUAAAUUUUGUAAUUUGUGGAUUACUUUAGGUGCACACAGCACCAACAAGGCAUUGUAGAGCCAAAAAGACUUAGCACUUGAUGUUUCUGGUUCGAUAUAUAAAUAGCUAAUAAUUGUGUAUUAUGUUUAUGUAGUUUAUGGUUAGUAAUGAGAUUGGUGGUAAUGUAGCUCUAUAAUUAACUAUUUAUUUCCAAAACUAAGGAACUUCAUAUCGUAUUUUCUUCCAAAACUAAGGAGCUUCAUAUCAUGUAUUUCAUUAAAAAAUAGUCUCACUCUUAGACUUUAUGAGUUGCUGUGAAAAAUAAAUGAUGAUAAAUUUUCAUACAAAUUUAUUUUUAUAAAUUGAUACGACAUUAGUUCAUUGGUUGCAUGAAAUAUAAAAGCAGGUAGCAGUUGGUCCUUUGAGGAUCAUAAAAUUUAGAACCAAUCGGUCUAAAAAUUGCAUGCAAGUGCAAAGGUCUGCUCUUGUUGCAAAGGUAAUAGAGAAUCUCUUAUUCUCUAAAAGAGUAGUAGAAGAAUAGAAAAGAAUUCUAGAUGGUGAUAUGUGGAAGCUAGAAGAGAUAAGGAAAGGUCUUUUGGCUCCUUUAUUGUUGAGUUAUAUUGCUAUGCCAUCCAUGGUAAAAUGAUUUUUCUCAUAUUGUGCUGUCUUUUCAAAAGACUACAACAUGUAUAAAGAGGAACUAAUUACCCUAUGGAUGACUUAAAGUUACCUUAGUAUAACUAAUUACCCGGCGUCGGAGGGUUUACACCGGGAAAACACUCGGCGUGCUCUGACUUGUCUCUGUGUACGCAGGAGUUUGCGGAGAAGAAGCCUUACGAGGAGAGAUCCUGAUCGUGGUCGAGUUGGUUGAGGAGAGAGCUUGGUCGUGGUCGAGCAGGGAACCAAAAUCUCGCAUCAACACAGUUUCUGUUGCAAUUGUAUUGGCCUGGGUUUAGGGAACUGUCAACUUUCAGAAGAAGAUGGAGUUUCUCAAACCAAAUCUAAGAAGAUAUCUCACAUUCCCCACAUGGUCUCAACGCACAGGUAAGUUCUUCUCUAGCUCUGUUUUUCAUUGUUUGUUAUUUUUAAUGUAACUAAGAAGCAGAGUUAAUCUCUUAUCUUGUCCUUGCUUUGAGAAAACCUGCUUUUACAUCUAUUUUUAAUUCACAUGUCCACAGUAAUUUCAUUUUAGUUUGAGCUGAGUGAUAACUGUUCAAGGCUCACUUACUCAUUGGGAGAAGCUGCAUGACGCAGGCUGCAAGGAUUUAGAUUUUCAUUCGAAGGCUCACUUACUCAUAGUGUGCAUGUUUCGUUACGAUUAAAAUGAUUAGUCUCUUGUUCUUAAGUAUACAAUUUCCAAUGGAUUUGAUAGAGCGGUCAUCAACCAUAUUGAUGUUAUUGGAGUAGCACUGUUCUUAAGCACUGCUUUGAGGUCUCUCCCUCUCUAUAUACAUUGAUAGACUAUUCUGGUCGUACCAAAUUAUCCUUGUUUUAUUGUUUUGUUUGUUAAACUUUGACUGGGGGAAUCUGUUUAUUUGUCUGAUAUGAUGUUAGUGUGGUUUCGAUUGAAGUGUGUUGAUCUAUCACCAAGUAUUAUUUCAAUUUUUCUUUACCUAAUCAACUUGCAUACUUUCCAAGUCUAGAUCCUUAACAAUAGUGAGACUCCGCUACAGAAGUACGAUUUCUCUAGUUUUGUAGUUAAAUACGUAAGAAUAGUUUUAAAUUAACAGAACUCUGAGAUAGUUCUCUGAGGAAAUACAAGUGGUGAAUAUGGUUCCAACUUUUAAGUGCCUUAAGAUUCCCAUUUGUUCAGCCCUGUGCGUAAACAAUCAGUAAUUUCUGUCCAAAUUCUUCUUUAAUGCCUAUAUGUGUUGGACUUUGUCUACUGUUCAACUUCUCAAAUGGAUUCCAUGCAGGGUUUUGAAUGUCCAAUUAGGAGAAAGAUCAAGGCUUGCUUGGCUAGGAGUGGAAGCGGAUCCACUACUUCAGUCAGAUGACCUUUUGAAGAAGGCUUACAACAGGCCGUCUCAGGAUGUCAAUGGCUCAACUCAAAAGUCCCCAAAGUGGUUGAUAUCGAAGAAUGCCGUUGUCUCUGGGCUUGGGCUCCUUGGCAUCAAACAAGGGAAUGUCGACUCUGUUGAAGGGGAAGCAAGGGCUCCUAAAGUGCGAAGAAAGAGGAUAGGCCGGAAGAAGGUGACCGCAUAAAUUUCUUGGGAGUUGAUCCUAGUCAAUAGCCCAAUUUUUUUGUCAAAACAUUGGUCCCGAUUCCAGCAAAACAGUAACUUCCAUUCAAAAGGGUUCAGCGUUGAGUGCAUGUAAUCUGCACAAGUUUGACAAAAAAUAACCGAAAAAAAAAAAAGAAACCCACGUCCAAAGAUGCCGUUGAAAAAAGUUAUUGGGUAUUCAUAAUAAAAUAAACAAAUAAAAAAAUGAAUAAAAAUUUAAAUACUUAAUUAAUUUUUAUCAAAUUCUUAUCAAAUAUUUAAAAAAGUAUAUAAAAUGAAUUAAUUGAUGGUAUUAUUAAUUUUCAUGAUGAUUUUUAAUAUUAUAUUAGUGAUUAGUAAGUUUAAUACAAUCAAUAAUGCAAGAAAUUAUUAAAUGGUUAAUUUUAUUGGCAAAUUUUAUCAAAUACGCAAGUAAUGAAAAAUUAAUCUCAAGAGUUAGUAGAAGUAAAGUUCUAAUUUAACCAGAUGAUAGAUAAUAAAUACAAAUAAAUUUUAAGUAAAUCAUAAAUUAAAAAUAAAUAAAUUAAUUAAUAUUAAGUAUAAAUAAAAAAUAAUGACAUAAAUUAAAGUCUCAUAAAUGGAUAACUUUUUUUCUUUAAUCUUAUCCUAAGUCCCAACUAAAGGAAUGUGUAAAUUAGGAUUAUUAAUCCCAUAAUUUUAGGAUUAAACUUAAAUUUAGUCCCUUAGUCCAAUUCAAUUAAGCUUACCAAAUAUGAUAUAAAUAUAUAAUCACAAAAUUAGUCCAAUUCCAUACUUAAUCCUAGUAUUCGAACAUGGCCGGAUAAAAUAGUUUAGAUAAUAUACUUCUAUGGCUCACAAUUUAAAUAAAUUUGAGAAUUUAAAUAAGGGAUGGAAAAUUCACAAUAAUCAUACCAUGUACUGUCUUUUCUUCCUUUUCUUAAUUAAAUAAAAGAAAAAAAAUUAAUGACAGAACCACUGCUGUGUGAUAUCGAUGAAGUCGCAUUCGCCUACCUAAUAUUGCGCAAUCAGAUAGAAAAAAGGGUCGGCUGCAUGAUUUUUCCAACUUUUGUCUUAUUUUUCUCUUUUCCACUACAAAUUAAUUUGAGAAUGUUAUAUUUUCCAAUUCUCUUUUUGUCGUGACAUAAUAGACUAAAGCGGAAUCACAUACUUUUUCAAAUGACCAAAUGGCUUUGGCCUACCUGAUAAUAAAAGGAAUGGAUCCAUACGUUAAAGCUAAAUUGAAAAAUAUAAUAAAUAAAUUGUCAGGAGAUGAUUUUAUCAAAAAUUUCACUCGCACGGUCCCGACCAAAUACAAAUUUGUGAUGAUAUUCAUAAUGAAUUUAUACCAUUAGGCGAAAUUACUCUAUAUAGUUUCAUCGAUAUAUAUUAUACCAUUACAAAUAUACUAAUAUUUAUAAUAAAAAAAAUUUAUGACUAUUUUAAAUCGACUGUAUUAUAUGUGAAUUCACAAGAUUCAUAGAUAGAUUGCACUGAGCUUUUUGUUGCAGUUUACAAAUAUUUUGUUACUAAUUAUCUUAAGAGCAGCAAGUAACUAAAUACAAAUGUAAGAAAUUUCACAAGUGCUGAUGCUGUGUACUCUGCAGAAUUAAUAAUGGAUUAUUAUGAAUCAGAGAAACAGGGCAGACGCUGUACAAUUAUUGACGUGGUGGAGCAGAAAGCUAGCCCCACAUGGUGACUCCUUUAAUUUGCAGCACAAAAGAACGUUCACAUUGACAUUGACUCGAGGGUAAAAAGAAUGCAAACAUGCUUGAAUGAACAUUCUCACAGAAUACAUAAAAGCAAGAAAAGCAAUUGCAGCAUUUUCCAUUUGAUCUAAUAUCAGAAUGGCUCUUGCGAUCGUUUGCGCUCUCUUGGACCAGCUGAAUUCCAUUGCUCAAGAAAAGUGGAGGCUUUUGACGGGUGUCGAACAAGAAGUGGGAAAGCUUACUACCAAUCUUCAAGCCAUUCAAGCUGUGCUGGAAGAUGCAGAGCAGAGGCAAAUGAAGCAGGACAGAGCUGUUACUCUUUGGCUGGAUCAGCUCAGAGACGCAUCCUACGACAUGGAAGAUGUGUUGGAUAAGUGGAUCACUGAAACACGGAAAUCGCAGCUUGAUGAGGGCGGCGAUGAUGAAGAUGAUGAUAACGACAAUGCUUUUGUUACUCUUUUGACGAAGGUAUGUUCCUUCUUUCCUGCUGCCUCAAACUGCUUUGGUUGUUUCAAACAACUCAGUCUUCGUCAUCAUAUUACUGUCAAGAUUAGAGAAAUCAGUAAAAGGCUAGAUGAUAUUGCCAGACAAAAAGAUAGUUUCAAAUUUGUUGAGAAUGUGAGUAACAAUGUUAAGAAACCAGAGCGAGUGCGAACCACCUCCUUGAUUGAUAAGGGAGAGGUUUUUGGUAGAGUUGAUGAGAAAAAUGAGCUCUUAAGCAAGUUGUUGUGUGACAGUAGUGAACAACACCCUCAUAUCAUCUCAUUGGUUGGGUUCGGGGGUAUAGGCAAAACCACUCUUGCACAACUAGCCUAUAAUGAUGAUGAGGUGAAAAUAAAUUUUGAAAAAGUUAUAUGGGCGUGUGUAUCAGACACUUUUGAGGAGAUUAGGGUCGCCAAAGCAAUCAUUGAAGGUCUAGGCGAGUCAAAAAAAGCUUCUGGUUUAAGCGAAUUCCAAUCUCUUAUGAGCCAUAUCCAUAGAUCAAUUGGGGGAAAAAAAUUUUUUCUUGUCUUAGAUGAUGUAUGGGAUGGGGAUUCCAAUAAAUGGGAUCCAUUCUUCUUUUGUCUAAAGAAUGGUCUCCACGGAAGUAAAAUUUUGGUUACCACACGUAAUGAGUCAAUUGCACGUAUGAUGGGAACAACAGAGUCAGAUACUAUCUCCAUUGAACAACUGGCUGAAGAGGAAUGCUGGUUGUUUUCCAAGCAGUUAGCAUUUUUCGGUCGCUGUUUCGAGGAUUGUGAAAGAUUAGAACCAAUCGGGCGAAAAAUUGCACGCAAGUGCAAAGGCCUGCCUCUUGCUGCAAAGGUAAUAGGGAAUCUCUUGCGCUCUAAAAUUACAGUAAAAGAGUGGCAAAGAAUGUUAGAUAGUGAAAUGUGGAAAUUAGAAGAGAUUGGGCAAGGUCUUUUGGCUCCUUUGUUGUUGAGUUAUAACGAUUUGCCCUCCAAUUCGAUGGUAAAACGGUGUUUCUCAUAUUGUGUUGUCUUUCCAAAUGACUACAGUAUGAAUAAAGAAGAAUUGAUUAGUCUGUGGAUGGCUCAAGGCUACUUUAACGCAGAAGAAGACGAAGAAAUGGAGAUGAUUGGAGAAGAGUAUUUCAACAUAUUAGCAGCACGCUCUUUCUUUCAAGAGUUUAAAAAAGAUUAUUUCAAUGGUGAUUUUAUGUGGUGUAAGAUGCAUGACAUAGUACAUGAUUUUGCCCAAUUUAUAAGUAGAAAAGUAUGUCUGUGGCUAGAAAUUGAUGGUACCAAAGAAUCAGUCAUAAACUCUUUUGGUGACAAAGUCCGUCACUUAGGGUUAAAUUUUCAAGGAGGAGCUUCAUUUCCUAUGUCCAUUCAUGGACUUAAUAGAUUGCGUACCCUCUUAAUUUAUGAUAGAAGUCAUUUCAUUCCAUCUCUUAGUAGUAGCAUCCUUUCGGAGUUAUUUAAUAAAUUGGUGUGUUUAAGGGCAUUAGUUAUAAGGCAAUUUAACCUUUAAGUUUGCAUCCUGUGCCAGAUAGGAUUAGAGAAAUUCCAGAAAAUGUUGGAAAAUUGAUACAUUUAAAAUAUCUUAAUUUGAAUGGACUAUGUAUAAAGAGACUACCUGAGACUUUGUGUGAAUUAUAUAAUUUACAAAAGCUAGAUAUUAGGUGGUGCCGAAAUCUUAGAGAAUUGCCUGCGGGGAUUGGGAAGUUAAUGAACAUGAGGAGUUUACUGAAUUACGACACUCGUUCGUUGAAAUACAUGCCAAUAGGGAUUUCCAGAUUGACCAGCCUUCGAACAUUAGAAAAGUUUGUUGUGGGUGGAGGUGUUGAUGGCGGCAGCACGUGUAGGCUUGAAUCUUUGAAAAAUCUUCAACUCCUUCGUGAAUGUCGAGUAGAAGGGCUGAGUAAUGUAUCGCAUGUAGAUGAGGCUGAGAGGUUACAACUUUACAAUAAGAAAAACCUCCUUCGUUUGAAUCUCAAGUUUGGUAUAGCCGUAGAUGGGGAAGGCGAAGAAGGGAGGAGGAAGAAUGAGAAAGAUAAACAACUUCUUGAAGCCUUACAACCGCCUUUGAAUGUAGAGGAAUUACGGAUUUUGUCCUACGGAGGCAACAUGUUUCCCAAAUGGUUGACUUUGCUAACCAAUCGAAGGGAACUAAGGAUUGAUUUUUGUGAAAAUUUGCAAGAACUGCCAAUUCUAGAAGAUUGCAGGACAACAGACAUACCGCAUCUUUCUUUCUUGAUUAUUCAGAAUUGCCCCAAAUUAAAGGUGCUGCCGGAUUACCUUCUUCGGACGACGACGCUGCAGAAAUUGACAAUUUGGCGAUGUCCCCUUUUGGAAAACCGUUAUAGAGAGGGGAAAGGAGUAGACUGGCAUAAGAUAUCUCACAUUCCCCACAUCAAGUUGUCGCUGUGGAUGCCGUAAGAUAUCACUGGACGGUAAUUUCUCCUCCUCUGAUAUACUUCGUUGUUGCUUGCAAUGAAAUUAAUAAAAAUAAUUAUAUUUUGAAUUAAAAUUCUAUAUAGAAUCAAUCUUGGUAUAAAUAUGUAAAACUUCCUAGUUAUCAAAUCUGUUAGACUUGUUUUCUAUAUUUAUUUACUUUAAAAAAAUAUGUGCUCUUUUGUAAAAUUUGAUACAACAUCAUAGAAAAUCCCAAUGUAAUUUAUUUUUUAAUGUACGAAAAUUUGUUAUGUGUGACGUCCUGAGUGACAAAAUCUCCUUGAUACAUUUGCAGUAAUGUCGAAAACUAAAUUAUCAAUUUUAUCUUGUAUAAUGAUAAUCUUAUUUUUUUAUAUAUAAUUUACGUGACAUUAAUUCUUUAAAGUAAUUGUGUAAUUGUUUUUACUACAUUAGCCCACUUUGUUUUUUUUCAUACUUGUUUAAUUAUGUUCACCAGGGAUUCGAGGAAAUGUCAGAACUACACUAGCAAUUCACAGGUCCAAGCUAAUUUGGUUUUAAUGAUGCAGGCAGGAGAGCAAGACUAUGAAAAUGAAAAGUUUAGCCAAAGGAUUGCUAAAAUGUUCUGCUGGUAAUUCCCUUGCUUUAUUUUAUAGAAUUUCAUUUCUAUCUUCUUCUAUUGAUAUCUUGUUGUGAAUAAACAAGAACAGAGAGUAAAUGAUUGAACCACAGAGAAGUAAAGUAAUAUCAAAAUUCGCUAUUAUGAUGAUUUUAAAGCAAGCUCAAGCUCAAGCUUGCAUUUUUAUUUUAUUUUAUUUAUAGAACUUCCAUUUCCACCUGCAUUUCAUUUUUAUUAGACUCUAUGGAGCACAUUGGGGUAACCAAGGAUUAUCACUGUCGUUAUUGUGCAACGUUGGGUUGCUGGACUUUGAAGAAGGAAGCGAUGGCCGGGUCUGCUCUGUUUCAAUUGAGGAUGGAUAGCUGCCUGAAAGACAUGAUGAUUAUUAUUGCAUGAUGUUAAGGUGCUGAGAUCAUCAUUUCUAUCUUGUUUCAUUCUUGGAAUCGUUUAUCAUAUGCGUCAAUGGAGGCAGGUAUUUGGUGUUGACACUAUUAUGCAGGUAACCACACUUGAUAAUUUGCACAAAUUUGCGUUGUCAGAAUACCCUUUAAUAUUCAUUGUGUUUCUUUGUGUUAUCAGGUUAUCAUCUCCAAGGGUUUGAAAGAGCCUUUGCAGUUGUCAGAAUACCCUUUAAUAUUCAAUUAGGUACGUUUUGGUGCGGUCUCCCAAUGCUAAUAUCAUAUUUUGUAUAGCAAUUAAAAUUUAGCUAUACAAUUUUAAUAUGCAAUAAAUCAUUGUAUACAAAGUUUUUUAUUAAUUAUAUGGUGACUGAAAUUUUAAUUAUCAUAUCAAUUUAAAUUUUUUUGUAACUCUCUUUUACUUUGCUUGUACAGAGUACCUGUUUUGGCUGAUAUGUCUAAUUCGUAGAAAUUUAUUUCCAUCGGUUUCCAUUGGCUUUAGCACAAACAGAAACAGAGCUCUGGGGAAAAGUUUGACUUCUUGUGGUAUUAUGCCUUUGUUUCUUCAUUCAUCAUAUUUUUCGAAUUCAUGCUCUCAUUCAGAGGGUAAAGCCUUUUCAUGGCUGCUUUGUAGCCAAACUUUGACGCCAUUGAUGCAUGACUGUCAUUUAGAUUUUCCAAUAACGGUUAGAUUGGAGAAGAAUAAGAAGAUAUUGUUAAAAGGGUAUUUAAUUAGCGCCGUCUGAAUUUAGUUGCCAAUAAUGCAUUGAAAUAGUUGGGGAAAGUUAUUGUCUUAAUUAAAUUACAGGUGAUAAGAUGCUGCCUCAAUUUUGUAAGCAUCUCGUAUUGAGAAGAUUAAUUGUUGACAAGCCAAAUUUUAGGCAAAUUUUACCGUGAUUCUUGACAUCAUGGUAACACAGGUCAAAUUUUAGUAUCAAGACAUAUCUUCUUCUUUACUGUUCUGCCUCUAAAUAUUAAACUUUAGGCAAGUUGUUUUUGUUUGUGUAAGUUAUCAGGUUAAGGAUACCAAGCAGCUUAAUUGUUCACCACACCUGGUAGGAAUGAUCGCCAGGAAGAUUAAUUGUUGACAAGCCAAUUUUAUCAGUGUUAGAUUUUUUGCCUCCCUUUGAGAGAUAUCAUCAUCAAAUUUGUGUAGAGAAUCUUUGAAGAGAAUUUUGUUGUGAGAGUUUCACUGUAGUGAAUUUUGGGAGCUUGAACUCACUUGAGUGAGAUAAUAGAGUGUAUUGGGGAUUUGGGUUAUGAGUAAUCGUUAUCCUUCCAAUAUUUGCAAGCUCUUACUUGUUAGUAAAAUCAUCUUCGUAUAUUGACUCUGUUUCUUUGUUCCUUAUUUAAUUAGUUUCGAUUAUCAUAAUUAGUCACUCAUUCUGAAUUUUUCUAAUUUUAAAGUUCCUUAGGUCCGCCACCAGUUUUUCAAGUCUGCAUAUGGCUGCAAAAGAUCGAUGGUCAUAAAAUUAUCUUGAGCCUUGAGGCAUUGCGUUCGAGCUCACACUGUAACAGAGAUAAAGAUAAAGAAGACAGUAGAAGAUGCUCUAAACAUAACAAAAGUAUAUUUCUACGUCUUGUGGUUGCUUUAAUUUACUUUUGUUUCUUCUGUCAUCAUAUUUGAUUAAUUCGUUCGAAUUCACACUCUCACAUUAUUUAAAACUAUUUGUAGGUGGCUUGCAAGCUAGUUACGUUAAUGCAAAAACAAUACUCUAGACAAAGAUGAGCAAAUUAAAGGUGAUAAAUGCAAAUUGAAUGUCCAUGAAUAAUUGUUAGGCCGGUGCUGAUAAAUUGCUUCAAAGCAAGCAGCAUCUUCUGCUGCGAAGGCUUUCCCCACAUGAUAUGUUGUGAUUGUUACCGGCCCCGUAUUUAUUAACUCAGGUCAGUAUUAUCUUCUUCAUCAUUUUGGCUAUAUAUAAAGAUUAAAAUUUUGAACACUUGUCUCGGUUUCUUGUGUAAUCAGGCUAAUAGAGCAAAUGUUUACUGUCUAAGCACUAAUGCGACAAUCCCAUCUGUAAAUUUGGGCCAUCUUUGAUGUCUGACAGGUAAGCUGUGACAAUCCCAUCUGUAAGUACUAAUGCGCUUGGUUAUAGUGCUUUCAUUGGACUAUAUGCAAACAUGAGAUAUCAACUAUUGUGUGGAUUUGAUAGAGCGGUCACCAACCAUUUUGAUGUUAUUGGAGUAGCACUGUUCUUAAGCACGGCUUUGAGGUCUCUCCGUCUCUCUUUUACGUAUUUGUCUAUUGAUCGACAUCUCUAUAUAUACAUUGAUAGACCAAAUUACUCUUGCUUUAAUGUUAAUGUGGUUCCUAUAAAAGUGUAUAUAAAUCUAUCACCUCAAAGUCUGAUUUCAAUUUUCCUUUACUUAAUCAACUAGCAUCCUUUCCAAGUCCAGAUACUUACCAAUAGUGAGACUUUGCUACGGAAGUACAAUUUCUCUUGUUUUAUAGUUAAGUAUGUAAGAAUAGUUUCAAAUUUACAAAUUUCUGAUAUAGUUCUCUACGGAAAUGCGAGUGGUGAAUAUGGUUCCAACUUUUAAUAGGCUUAAUUGGCCCAUUUGUUCAGCCACAGUGAUUGCGGUCUGAAUUCUUCUUUACUGUCUCUAUGUGUUGGAGUUUGUCUAUUGUCCAACUUCUCCAAUGGAUUCCAUGCAGGGUUUUGAAUGUCUAAUUAGGAGAAAUCAACGGAUGACCUUUUGAAGAAGGCUUACACAACAGGCCAUCUCAGGAUGUCAUGGCUCAGCUCAAAAGUCCCCAGGUGGUUGAUACCAAAGAGUGCCAUUGUUUCUGGGCUUGGGCUCCUUGGCGUCAAACAAGAUAAUGGGAAAUAGGGGCAACUAAAGCGCGAAGAAAGAGGAUGGUCUGGAGGAAGGUGUCUGCAUAAAUUUGUUGGAGUUGAUGUAGUCAAUUGCCCAAUUUUGCUGCCUGUCGAAGAGACACAGCAUGGAAGUCCUCAUCAAACUCUGAGACACCUAAGAAAUAGUAUGAGGUGGUGGUAUUCCCCUGGUGUUAAUUUCCUGGCAAGUGUGGUUCACAGAUAGAGGGAUUCUUUUCUUGAUGUCUAAAUACCAAAUGUGAUGCAACGUCGUAUAUUCUAAGAUAUUAAAUUCUAUUUCAGAUUUCUCAUAUAGUGUCGUUGUCACUUCUGUGGUACACUUUUGAUCGCAAAUUUCCAUUUGAAGUAGCCGAUAUUCUUUACAGACUAAUUAUCUAAUGAUUAUUUUGUACAAAAAAAAUCAAAACUUUAAUUAUUUGAUCAUACUCAACUUAGGUCUUAUUCGAUAUUACUAGUUGUUAAUGUGUAAUAAAUGUAUGACUUUUAAAUAAUAAUUUUAAUAAAAAUAAUAAAGAUAUUAUAAGUUUUUUUUUAUAAUAAAGUAUGAGAUCAAAUCAAAUUAAUUUUGAAGUCACAAUAGCAAAUGUUUACCAAAACUAUUUAAUUAUAUGACUUAAAAGAUAUAGUUGUCCAAUCCCAACAAUAUAUAUAAAGAUUUACCAAACUUUACCCGACUUUAGUUGUACCCACUUGAUUAUGUAAGUCCAUUCUCCACGCGCUUGACCAUAUGAGAUGUUACUCAACUUUAACAAAUCUUACUUAAACUUUGCACGUUUGACAUGUUGGAUGAAAUAUAGCAUAUGAUGUGAUAGAAUACAAUAGGAAUGGUUGUAACAAGAUUAUAAUUAGUACUAGUUUGUAUUUUAUGUGAUGUAGAACGCAUUAUAUUACAACUUUUAGUGUUAUACUAAUUAAAAAUUUGAAUUAUUUUAUUAUUGUAAAAAUUUAAUAUCUUAAAUAACAGUUAUUUUAAUUAAGUAUUUUUGUUGCAAUGAAUUAUACUUUUUUAAAUAUAAUUGAAAAUUCUUAUUACUAAACUAAUAAAAAAUUAAUUAUUUGAGUUAUCUCCUAAACUACUUAGCUUACGAGAUAAAUUCACUUUGUUUAGAAUGAAACGGAUUACAUUUAGUACUAUUUUGUAUUUUAUGUGACGUAGUGUAUGAUUCAAUUAUAUUACAAAUUUUAUUGUAAUAAAAAAAUUUUGAAUUAUUUUAUUAUUGUAAAAAUACAAUAUCUUAAAUAACAAUUAUUUUUAUUAAGUAUUUUUUAAUGAUUUAAAAUAUAAUUGUAAAUUCUUAUUAUUAAACUAAUAAAAAAUUAAUUAUUUGAGUCAUCUCCUAAACUACUUAUUUCACGAGAUAAUUUCACUUAGUUUAGGAUGAAACGGUGGGUUAUUUUUAUGUGGGAGCCACAUCCUUUCCAUAUGAGAUGUUACUCAACUUUAACAAAACUUACUCAAACUUUGCACGUUUGGCAUGCCGGAUGGAAUAUGAUAGUAUAUGAUGUGAUAGAAUAUUAUAUGAUUAGAUGUAAUAGGAUUAUAUUUGGUCUUGUUUUAUAUUUUAUGUGAUCUAGUAUAUGAAUGGAUUAUAUUACAAAUUUUAUUGUUAUAAUAAUUAAAAUUUUGAAUUAUUUUAUUAUUGAAAAAAUAAAUAACAGUUAUUUUGAUUAAGUUUUUUUUUUCUGUUGAAUUAUAGUUUUAAAAUAUAAUCCAAAAUUUUUAUUACUAAACUAAUAAAAAAUUAAUUAUUUGAGUUAUGUCCUAAACCAACUUAGCUCACGAGAUAAAUUCACUUAUUUUAGAACGAAACGGCGGGUUUUAUGUGGGAAGCCACAUCCUUUCCAUAUCAACCUCAACAUCCAAACAUGAAAUUGGACUAAGAAUAGUUCUUUCCCAUGUAUUUACGUACCCUCCUGCCACUAAACGUAAUUGUAUAUUUUGGACCUUAUUUGACUUGAUUUUAUUAACUUAAUUUUCUCCAAUUUCCAUUGUCGACGUUGAGUGCAUGUAAUUAAUCCACAAGUUUUGAUUGAGCAGAAAUAGCCAAAAAAAACUGAUGAUAUGAUAAUAGCAAAAAAUCUAAUGACACCCACGUCCAAAGAUGCCGUUGUCACAAAGGCCUGGACGCCAUACCUCGAACCCAUCCCCUUUUACCAUGAGUGAUGAUACAGCCACAAACUCUUAUACAAACUUAUUUUAUACAAACUAAUGUGACAUCAAUUCAAUGGUUGAAUGAAAAUAUAAAAUAAUGAAAGUAAAUCAUGUGGGCCAAGAGAUAUUUAAUUUAACCAAUAAAUUGACGCCACAUAAGUUUGUACAAAAUAAAUUUGUAUAAGAGUUUGUGGCUGUAUUACUGUAUUAUUACUCUUUUACCAUAUUUUAUAAUUAAAGAGGUCAUUGUUUGAAAGAAAAGAAUGACAUGUUGGUAUGAAAUUACGUUAAAAUGAAUAUAUCACUUUUUUUUUUGUGUGAGUGAUGGCUUCGUUUAAUGACAAUUGGCAGACAAUGAAUCAUCUUUUAAUUUUAGUUUUGAUUUAAUAAAAAAUAUUAAUUUUUGUAGUUUCGGUAGAUGAAAUUUCGAAUCAAAUAUUAAUAUCGUUAAAGUACGCAACUCAAUAUUUACUUAAAUCAGAAAAAAGAUUAAUUGCUUUACAUGAAAAAGAAAAGAAAAGAAAAGAGUGAUCACUUGAUUUAACUUCCUUUACUAAAUUUACGAUUUAAAAUCUAAAAUGGAAAAAGGAAAACAAGUUUUGGAAACACACUCGGAGUUUUAAAUUGAUAUGAAAAAAGAGUUUAUUAUUGACAAUCUUUUUCCCAAAAUUUAAGCUAAGACAACAAUAUGUCCAAAAUACCCUCCACAUUAUCCCAAAACUUUAUAAACUCCCCCGUUCCUCUCAACAUCAUCUCUUCCAAAUCUUUCUUCCCCCCAAAAACCAGCCAUGGCUUCAUAUUCAAUUACCUCAACACUCCAAUAUUGGCUUGUAAACCACCCCCAAAUCCUCAACUUCACAUGGACUCCGAACCAAACACUAGCUUCCUCCCCACACUUCCUCAUUCUCUCCAUCCUCACUUACCUCUCCCUCACAUUCAUCCUCUACCACGCAUCAACAUCAACAUCACCACCUCUCAUUGGACCCCACAUCCUCAAGCCCAUCACAGCCGUCCAUAACCUCACCCUCUUCGUCCUCUCCCUCAUCAUGGCCGUUGGUUGCACUCUCUCCAUCAUCCUCCAUUUACCCUACCUCCGUUACACCCUUUGUUUCCCCACUACCAUUUCUCCGUCUGGCCCUCUCUUCUUCUACGCUUACAUCUUCUACCUCUCCAAAAUACUCGAAUUCUUUGACACCCUUUUGAUCAUUUUAUCAAACUCCAUCCAACGGCUCACGUUCCUCCACGUCUACCACCAUCAACCGUCGUUGUAAUGUGCUUCCUUUGGUUACAGACGAAGCAGUCUUUGUUUCCUAUUGCAAUUGUCACCAAUGCAAGUGUGCAUGUGAUCAUGUACGGGUACUAUCUAUUGUGUGUGAUGGGGUUGCGGCCAAAGUGGAAGAGAUUGGUCACUGAUUGUCAGAUUCUUCAGUUUGUGUUUGGUUUUGCUGUUUCGGUUUUGAUGCUGUAUUAUCAUUUCACGGGUUUUGGUUGCUCUGGGAUUUGGGGAUGGUGCUUCAACGUUGUGUUUAAUGCGUCCCUUUUGGCACUUUUUGUUAAUUUUUAUUCCAAGAGCUAUGCUAAGAAAAAGAAGCAGGGAUGAUCAAAGUGCUAUGAUUGUUUUGUGUUUUCUUUUUUAAUUUAUUUGAUUUUGGUUAAUUAUGAAUGGUGGUAAUUGGUUGAAUGCAAUUGAAGAGAUGCUUUCAGUUGCCUAAACUUUGUUUUUUCAAUUUUUGUUAUAGAUGUCAUAUGUCACCACAUUUUUUUAGUCUCUCCCUUUAAAAUUCCCUCACACAAACUUCGGAUUUGUAUUUUGUAAACUAGAAUUUUUCAUUUUCGUUAAUGUGUUAGCUGUUAUUAUCUACAAUUAUGUCAUACGACACACAUGUCACAUCAACUAAAAUUAGAUUAUGAAUUUUGGGCACAGGGCCAAGUCCCACCGUUUGGUAGGAAAUAAGUGUUGGAUCAUAAACUUGAUCCAAGAUAAAUAAAUUCAACCUUAACUCAUGGAAGGUUCCAUGAGUAGGUAUGGUUAGUGAGGUUUGAAUUAUUUGUGUUAGGUGUGGUAGGUGUGGUUGGUGAAGUAGGUGAGUGGUAGGUUUUAAUGGAUGGUGAGUAUUUGUGUAUUAGUUGAAUAAAUGAAUGGUUGUGAUUAGUUUGUUUCAUGGAUAAAUACCCCCUCUCCCCUUUGGUUUAAAUAUCAAGUGAAAUAACAAAAUCUCUAAGGUGUAGAGAGUGAAAAAUAAGAGUUGUAAUUAGUGAGGAGUGUUGUUGAAGAAAUAAAAUAGUGUGUUUUAUUUGUUAACUCUCCAACAAAGUGGUAUCAAAGCUAGUGCUUGAUGCUAUAUAUUGUCAUAUAGCAUAUCAAAUCGAAGAUCUCGAUGAGAGGAACGUGACGCCGCAAAAAUCAUCCUGACCAAAGACCAGACGCGCCCAAGCUCGCCGUCAGAAUUUUUCUGUCCUGAAGCUGAGUCGACUCACCGAGUUGAACCAACCUGAGUCGAGCCGAACUGAACCGAAUCAAGUCGAACCAAGCCAACUGGAGUUGAACCAAUCCGGACCGAACCAAGACUACUAAGCCAACGCUGACCGUUGACUGAAAGUUGACUCAAGUUCUUCCCAAGGCUUUUCGACGUGCCGGAUCCAUCUGUGCUUUCAGAAUCUCCAAAUUCUCACUCAAUUUGUGAGUUAUGGAAAACGGUGGUCUGAUGUCAUUUCAAGUUCCACAAUUAAAGAGAAGUAAGUUUGACAAUUGGAGUAUUAAAAUGAAGGCUCUAUUGGGUGCACAUGACGUAUGAGAUAUCAUGGAAAAAAAGCUUUAUUGAGCCAGAAAAUGAAGCCACUUUAACUGCGGCAUAGAAUGAGAAUUUAAAAGACUUGAAGAAGAAAGAGAAUAAAGCAAAGUAUCUCAUCUUUCAAUCAUUAGAUGAAGAUGCCUUUGAAAAGAUUGCUGGUAAAACGUGAGAAACUAGAGACCUCUUACAAAGGAGCGAAGAAAGUUAAGAAGGUUCAUCUCCAAAUAUUCCGAGGAGAAUUUGAGUCCUUACACAUGAAGGCGUCGGAGUCAAUUUCUGAAUACUUUACUUGGGUUGUGACCAUUUCUAAUGAAUUAAAAAGAAAUGGCGAGGAGUUAAAAGAGGUAAGGAUCAUUGAAAAAAUACUUCGAUUAGUAUACUCGAAGUUUGACCAUAUUAUUGUGACAAUUGAGGAAACAAGAGAUCUAGAGGAUAUGACGAUCGAGCAACUUUAAGAAAGGUUGCAAGUCUAUGAAGAAAAACAAAAAAAGAAGCAAGGAAUCGAAGAACAACUUCUCAAGAUGGAGGUCAAUCCAAAGAAAAGAAAAGAAAGCUCCGACAACGGAAGAAGGCAUAUUUAUCUCCCAAGAAAGCUAUACAAAGGAGAUUCUAAAAAAGUUCAAGAUGAAUGAUUGCAAGCCUAUAAGCACGCCAGUGGAAUGUAGAGUCAAGUUAUCUAAACAUGAUGAAGGGGAAGAUAUAGAUCCAACAUUCUUUAAAAGUUUAGUCGGAAGCCUACGUUAUUUGACAUGCACCAGACCAGAUAUCCUUUAUGUUGUUGGACUUGUGAGCCGAUACAUGAAGAAUCCAAAGACCACCCAUUUUAAAGCUGCAAAAAGAAUCCUUUGCUACAUCAAAGGUACAACUAAUUUUAGCUUGUUAUACUCAUUUUCUAAUGACUCCAAGCUUGUUGGAUAUAGCGAUAGCGAUUGGGGUGGAGAUGUAGAUGAUCGAAAGAGCACCACAGGAUUUGUGUUCUUCAUGGGAGAUACUGCUUUCACAUGGAUGUCAAAGAAGAAAACAAUUGUCCUGCUAUGCACCUAUGAAGCUGAAUAUGUAGCUGCCACAUCAAGUGUUGAUAAUAAUUUGGCUCAGAAAUUUGUUGAAGGAAUUAGGUUUGCCACAAAAAGAGCCAACCGAGAUUUGUGUUGAUAACAAAUCAGCAAUUGCCCUAUCCAAGAAUCCAAUCUUUCAUGAUUGAAGCAAACACAUAGACACUUGCUAUCAUUUCAUAAGAGAAUUUAUUACAAGAAAAGAAGUGCAAGUCAAGUAUGUAAAAUCACAAGAUCAAGCAGCUGAUAUCUUCACUAAGCCACUCAAGCAAGAAGACUUCGUAAAAUUCAGAAGUUUGCCUGGUGUCACAGGAUCAAGUUUAAGGGGGGGUGUUGGAUCAUAAACUUGAUCCAAGAUGAAUAAAUUCAAGCCCAACUCAUGGAAGGUUCUAUGAAUAUGUAUGGUUGGUGAGGUUUGAAUUAUUUGUGUUAGGUGUAGUAGGUGUGGUUAGUGAAGUAGGUGAGUGGUAGGUUUUAAUAGAUGGUGAGUAUUUGUGUAUUAGUUGAAUAAAUGAAUGGUUGUGAUUAUUUUUGUUUCAUGUAUAAAUCUCUAAGCUGUAGAGAGUGAAAAAUAAGAGUUGUAAUUAGUGAGGAGUAUUGUUGAAGAAAUAAAAUAAUGUGAUUUUUGUGUGUUUUAUUUGUUAAUUCUCCAACAAUAAGGAGCAUUAAUGAAAUAUGUUUAAUUAAGUAAUAAUUUGUUAUUUUAGAGUGAAAAAUAAGGGUAAAUUGUAUUCUACCCCAUAUUAGAUUGACAAACUUCAAUUUACCCCUUAAAAGUACAAAAACUUCAACUUAUCUCCAAAUACCAUUUUCUUCCCGUUAAAUUUAACUAUCGAAAGUAUAAAAUUAUAGUCUUACAUUCUCUCAACAGUCAACUCAUGGAUAAGAAGUCAAAACAUAUAUAUAAGGUAAUUUCCAUAAAACCCAAUGUAGGGGCGGGCAAUUGUUUGGUUUAGAAGUUAGGAACCGAAUGGUUUGAAAACAAAUGAACUGAUUGGUUUAUAUUUGGUUUACUUUGAACUGACAAACCGAUUGGUUCGCUUAAACUUAAUUAAAAAUACAUUUAUUUUAAAAUAUAAAUGCUUAAAAUAAUUUUUUUUUUCAUUUUUCAGUUUCCUAAUCUAAAAAUGUUUCAUAACCCUAAAUCAGCCGCCAUCUCUCUCAAGGUCGACGGCGGCACAACAAGCUCUCUCGGUCUCUCCCUCGCAAUCUCAUGGUGAUUGAUUUCUCGUGAUGUCUCCACUUUUGUUUCUUGUUCUUGUGUGAUCGAAUUCUCUCUAUACACACAUAGCCUAGCCUCUUGUUUUUUGGCUCAAUGGAGUUUCGUUUCUUUUCUCUCAGUUUCUUUCCUGUUGAAUUCUCGUGAUGUUUCUAUUUUUUUCUUUUUUUUUAGACAUGUUUUCGAAAUUGGCAUAAUACGAACCAAACCUGAACUGAAUUUCAAAAUCAAAUCGAAUUGAACCAAACUGAAAUUUUUAUGUUCGGUUUGGUUCGAUUAAAAAAUUUGGUAUGCGUUCGGUUCUCUUUCUUACGAACCAUUGGGUUUUAGUUCGGUUCGGUUUUGGUCUAGAAAAGAACUAACUAGAACCGAACCAAACCAAACCAAACCAAACCAUUUACUGGCCACCUUGCUCAUAUGUUUCAACAAAUUUCAAUGCACACUUAAACAUUUCAAUAAAAUUCGCUUUGUACCCAAAUUGAUAAUUUUUACUUUUUAAUUAGUUAAUUGUUAACUGCAGAAGUAUAAAAAAUUAUUUCUUUUUAAAAUAAGAAAAAUAAUUUUUUUCUAACUUUUUUCCUUUUUUAUUUUCUAGUUAAUUUCUUUAUCUGGUUCGGUUCAUUUUUCCCUUUUUUAUUUCUUACUGUUUUCCGCAUGUUCUCCACGCUUGAACUUUGCCAAGCAUCAUAAGGCCACAGUAGCCAUGCCAGCAACUUGCAACUAGGGGUGGGCAAAAAAACCGUAGUCUUAAAAAAACCGAACCGAACCGACGGUUUUUUCUAAUUCGGUUCGGUUUUUAUUUUUUUAAAAAACCGAAUAUACCGUUUGUAAAAAAAACCGAAAUGUCGGUUCGGUAUUCGGUUCACUUAGCUGAACCGAAAAACCGAACCGAAAAACCGAAUUAUUUUUUGAUUUUAUUCAAAUCAAACAUGUGUUAAUAAUUUUAUUCAAAUCAAACAUGUGUUAUUUCUCUUUAUAACAUUAUGAUUAUGUUUAUAUAGAUGGAGUAUUGGAGUUUGGUUAUAUAUUUUGAAAUUUUAAUAUUUCAUAUAUUUGGGAGUAUCUUAUUAAUAGUUAGUAAGAUAUUAGUGAUAAAAUGUGUUUUGAAUACUUUGUAUUUAUUGUUAAUAUUUGUAAUAAAAUUAGGAUAAAUUAAUUGUUGAAAAAAAUUAUUACAUUUAUGAGGCCCAAUGGGCUAAAAAUUUUAAAAUUCAAAAUAGGCCUAAUAGGCCCAGAACCGAAAAAACCGAACCGAACCAAACCGAUCUGAAAAGAACCGUUUGAGUUCGGUUCUUAUUGAGUUUGGUUCUUAUUCGGUUCUUUUUAUAAAAUAACCGAUUUAAAUCGGUUCUACUUAAUUUCGAACCGAACCGAACCGAACCGAACCGAACCGUGCCCACCCCUACUUGCAACAAAGUUUAGAGCUGCGCGAUGGUUGCAGCAACGUUAACGCCGCUAUUCCAAGUCUUGGCCCAUCAUCUCCUUUUCAACAAAUCUUAGCUUCUUCCCAAAUUCAUCAAUGAACCCCAAAACCAGAAUAAUCAUUAAAAUUAUUAACAACCAUUUGCUUGGAUCAAUGUAUGCUUGGCAUGUCUAUGGGCUUACUUGGAAUGGUCGCUGAUGGCCAUGGGCUUGCUUGGAUUGGCCGCGCACAGCCAUGGGCUUGCUUGGAAUGCCGGUACCCGUUUGCCACGGUUUUGCUAGCGUAUCCAUGGGUUUUGUUGGACAUGGCAGUGCGAGGCCAUGGGUGUUGCCGGACAAUGGACAUGGGUUUUGCUGGGCUGAUUAGGAAUUAACAGAGGCUAUGGAGUUGUUCAGUGUGUGAAAGAGAAAAAAACAUGAACGAAGAAGAAUAUGAACAGGGAAUAGAACGAAGAAGAUGAAGAAAGUAGAAGAGAGGGAAAAAAUAUUUUGCUUUUUUAUAAAUUUUCGGAUUUUUAUUUCAAAAUUUAUAAUUUUUGUUUAAAUUUGAGAAUCUUAAGGGUAAGAUUUUCUUUGUAACUAUGUGUAGAAGGAGGUUUUCAGAUGGUUUUUGGUUGGGUUAACAUGAAAUAUGCUUGUUUUAUGAAAUAUUAUUAUUGAGGUUUUGUUUUAUUUUCUAAAAAAUAGAUUAGAGGAUGAUUUUCAUUAAUGACACCCAUAAAGUUUGAAUUAGUUAUAUUAUAGAAAUAGUAGGGAUUUAAAUGAUAUAUCUUUUCAACAUAAAUAUAUCAGUAACAUAAGUUAUUCUAUAAUUAACAGGGUAUUAUCGUAUUUUAGUGAGUCAUUAUUGGUUGAUAGUUAUAUUUAACAGAUUUUAGACAGUAAAUUGAAGUUUAUUUUUUUUAUUUUUGAGUAAAUUAAAAUAUGUCAAUCUCAUAAGGGGUUAAAAUAUAAUUUAUCCAAAAAUUAGUGUUAAAAUUUUAUAGAUGAGUGUAUAUUAAGAUGUUCAAAGUAUUAGAACAUAAAUAAUCUUAGUUUUAAUAAAAUUUUGCCACAUAGUGAAUAUUAUCCUCAACCUCAAGAGAAACAUAUCAAUAAAAUAUACAAAAAUAGAAUGCAUUAGUACAUGUCAAUAACAAGACCAAUUAGAUCAUGUCAUAUUUGUUAUGUAGUUAUUUAAGCUAAUAGAGUAAGAAGUCCCAAAUACAUGUACAUCAUAUCUUGGUGAAGAAAUCGGUUCUACCCGAAAUACUUCUUCGUAUUGAAAUCAAUGAUGAUUGCUUGUUUAAAUAAUGAAAGUUAAAAUAAUUUUGUAAAUAAUUUCAUUCUUUAAUUUACGGUAUACAAAUAAAUUCAAAAAAUGUUAAUUUCUCUCAUACUUUUAGGACCCAAAAAAUAACAAAAAGUCUUAACAUAUUUAAUGGUUAUAUAUAAAUCAUCCGUACGUAUUUUUCUUGAGAGAAGCUCAAUUCGAUAGACAAUGCUCCCCUUAAUUUUCUUUUCUAAUUAGAUAAAAGAACAAGAGAAAUUGAUUACAAGAAUAACAAACUUUAAUUUACUUCUUAAAGGGUAAAAACCUUAAUUUACUUCUUAAAGGGUAAAAACCUCAAUUUGUCCUUAUAUUUGUUCAAAAGAUACAUUUUGUCUUCUUAAUAUAAACAAGUUAAAUUGAUGUUUCACAUCUUUUAGAAAUAAAUUAAAGAUUGUUAUUUUAAGUAGGAGGUAAAUUUCAAAUAAAACAUGUGUUCAUAUGAUAGAUGUGCAUUUUACAAUAAUUAAUAAACAAAAGGGUAGUGAUAUUUUCAACCUGUAAUUUUUGUAAAUCCACCCCCACUCCCAAGAAAUAAUUACAAUAAAUUCACAUAACUUUUUUAAAACUCAAAUAAAGAAAAAUUUUGGAGAUUUAAACUAUUGUAUACAAGAGGAUAAGAGUAAAUAUUUUUCAUGCAGUAUAAAAAGAAUGCGACAGCUCCUUUUCUUUCGGUAUUUUCACAACAAAAGCACACUUAAUAACUCAUCAAAUUAUUUCUCCUUUUCUUUGAUCGCUUCCCCUCUCCUGGAGCUGCUGAACUCCUUUGUUGCUGAUGAAGGGAACAAGUGAGGCUUUUCAAAAGAGGGCAAAGAGAUGGUGAUUCGAUUUGAUUCGAUAAUAGUAGUUUAUUUUAAUUGUUAUUCAUUUGAUUUCAUAGAAGUAAUUUUUAUUUUCAUUUUUUUGUUGAAAAUUGGUAAAAACGAACUAAAAUGAGAUAAUUACAUUAAAACAAUCUUCAAUGACUAAAGUAAUUUGAAAAAAUAAAAAUAAAAAUAAACAAGCUCAAAAUUUACCCCUAAUCCGAACAUUAUCCGAAUUCAGCCUAAUUGACCCAAAUCUAAUUGUAAUCCAAACUUGACAUGACCCGCAUAUAAUUAUAACCCGAUCAGAUCCAAACUCGACCUGAAUUUUUAAUUCAAUACGAUCCAAUCCAAAUAUUCCAAUCCCAUCAAAAUGAAACUUGAUUGGGUUGAUCCGAACCCGAAUUUGCCACUUCCGGAGGAGACCAUGACCCUAAAGGCUUUGAAAUAAUCUUUGCGGUUUCUUAAUGAAAUAGUAAAAGUUAUGCGCAAAAAGACUGUUUUGACCCUAGAAUACAUGAUAUAUAAAUUUCAGACAUUAUAUUCUGUGAAAUAAAGUCAAAGUAAACUGGUUGUUUGAUUUUUUAUUAAUUAUUUUCCAUUAUGACAAAAUGACAAAUAGACUUUAUUAAAAGUUUAAUAAAGUUUGGGCCUAACUCCUUGAUUUUUAUUUUUUUUAAUUAUUUUUCAUUUUGUUUUUUACUUGCAACAUUAGCUUUAAUUAUCAAUAGUCUCCAAAUCAAAAUGACUGCAACCUGUAGCUACAAGCAAAAUUCUCAAAUUUUGAAAUUUCUAACGACUACAUAAGAGCUAUAAAUAGAAAAAUCAUCUAAAAUUAAUCCUCCUUCAGAGGCAGAUUAAAUUCUUAGUAAUUUCAUAUAAUUUCAUUUCAUCAGAACAAUUUUCCAAAAGCAAUUUUAUAAAUGGUUGUCGAAAGCUUUAUCCCUUAAUUAUAUGUCACGUAUUUUCUUUGUGAUAUGAGGCGUGUCCAUAGACCAUAGUAUGAUAUUUAUUGUAAUUAAAAUCAUUAUGGAACUGAUUUUAUUCUUGUUUCUCAAACAAAAUAUCUAACUGCAGAUGUAAUAAAUUACUAAUUACCAUUAUUUGAGUCGCACUCUUUGAAUUGGAUCUUGGAGUUUCGAAUGACCAAAUGAAUUAGUGAGAUAAUGGCUUUUGCUUUUGUCUACCUGAUAAUAAAAUUUGUCCACCAUAUAGACAAGAAAUGGAUCGGAUCCAUAUGCUAUAGCUAAAUUGAAAAAUUUAUGUGGAGUUUUAUUGUAAGACAUUUUUAUCUGAAUAGAAAAAAUAAAUUUUUUUUAUUUUUAUCUAAAUGAUAAAAUAUCUGAAUAAAAAAUCAGUUUUCUUCUCACAAAUACCCUCAUUAAAUAUAUUUAUUUUCUACUUAGCUAUUAGAUGUCAUAUUAGAAUUUCCUUUGAUCUCAGAUUUUACUUGGUAUUAAAUACUUAAUCUGCGUUCGAUUCGAAUUUAGACAAAUUCUUUUGUCAUUAGAUAACAACGUUUUUACUGAAUUUGAUGUUCAUACAGAAACAGUCAAGUCCUUGUUGACUGAAAUUGGCAUUUCUCUUGUCUCUGCUCCUAUCAUUUGGUGUGAUAACCAAAGUGCAGCUGCCUUAGCAAGUAAUCCUAAAUUCCAAGAACUUAAAUUUAACUCUAAUAAAAGCUCAAAGUUAGUUAUGUUCCAAGUUCUCAUAAGUCAUAACUCAUCUGAUAUCCUUACUAAAGCUUUAGCUUAUCACCCUUUUCAUUAUCUGAGAGACAAGCUCACCCUGACUUCACUAGGCUGAGCUUGAGGGGAGAUGUUAAGAGUAUAAGCUGAAGCUGCUGAGCUGGCUGGUGACGUGCUGACGGUGUUGAGUUGACUAAUGUUUUGUAACUAAGUUGCUGAGCUGGAUUGGGUUGUUAUUUGCACUGAAUAAGUUGUAACGAAUUGUCCAGCUGGCUUGUUAUGAUUGGAAGGCUAAUUAGUUUGUUAAUAUUGCAGCUUUGAGCUCUGUUUCUGUAAUCAGUUUUGAGUGUAACUAUAAAUAUCACGCUCAUAAUGUAUGAUUUCAGCUUUAAUCAAUAAGAAUCUGUGAUUGUUCCAGAAACUUCAUAGUCAAAUUUUCUUUCUUAAUUUUCUUUCACUUUCUCUCGUGCCAAACACCUUAUUGAUUCAAAUAAAACUCCAUCCAAAGGCUCACGUUCCUCCACGUCUAUCACCAUGCAACCGUCGUCGUAAUGUGCUACCUUUGGUUACAUAGUAACCAUGUUAAAUUGGAUUUUCUAUAUGAUAUUAUCGUUAGCUUCAUUGUUUAAAUAUACCGUUAGUGAAAGAAUCGUUCGUGAUUAGGUACUUUACAACUACAACACGAUAAGCAAUCAAAGUUACAUGAAAGAAUCAGUAAUUAGUAGUUAGGUUAGAGGUGAAACGUGCAUGUUACAGGGAAGUAGAAAACAUGUCAAGUUGUUAUCAUAAAGUGAAUAUCCAAUUUAAGAAGAUAAUAACUGGAUUUUGAAUUCAAUUUCACUCUGUUUUAGUAGUAUGUAUUAUAUCUCACGAAUAUGAUAUCAGUGAAAAAUGUAUAAGUUAUGGGCUUUGAAUUUAUAUUAAUGCAUAUAUACUAGCUAUGAAAAUGACGAAUUCUAAACAGAUUUUGCUAUUUAACAAGUAAUUAAGAGGUCUAGCAAUCAAUUAAUAAAAAAGUAAUUCAAUAUAACAUUGCUACAAAGAAAUUAAACUAUAUAUAACAACUAUUUCAAUGAGACUAAUGAUAAUUAUAUCUAAGGUUUGAUCGAACAAACGGGCAAGAACAGCAAAAGCUAAUCUUAAUUUAGAAAUUUUUAUAAGGGGGGAGGAUUGUAAUAUACGCACUUGGACUUUCUUAAUAAAGUGCUGAUUUUUAUUUUCCUCUUCUCUAUUAAUUUUUAAUUUCGUCACUAUAGUUUAAUUGGGAUAAAUUGAGCUCGAUUAUACGCGCCGAUGGUCGGAUUUUAUUUUCGUAACGGGUCUGAAAUUCGCUUAAUUUGUAUUAAGCUUAAAAAAAAAAAAAAAAAAAAAAAAAAAAAGAGGGGCAGAAUUGUAUAACUGGAAAGAGGGAAACGGGUUUUCCAUUUUAGAGAGAAAGAACCCGAGAAGAGAGAGAAAGAUAGAGAGAGAAGUCAGACCCGUUGACCCGAGAACCCGACCCAGUAACCCGCGGAUUGACCCGACGAUUUCUCCCAACUCCAGCCACUUUACCGGCCGUGCUUGGUACCGAUCUGAAGCUUGGAAGCAGACCAUCGUAUCCCUGCUGUUAUCGUCGCCGGAAACUGGCCAGAACGCCGGUGAUCGAGCUCGAAAAGUCGCGGCUUCGACCCGUUUUCGUUGCCGUUGAUCCCGCCGGAGUUGUGACGCGCCACCACUUGGAACUGGUUCCUCACAUCCCCAGCAACAUUUCCCGACCAGCAACGACCGCCGGGGACGCCCGGAACUCGCCGAAUGAUCUCCGAAAAUUUGCGGAACUUUGGAACUUCGAUCCGCCGCCGGUAGCGCGCGUGGCGACUCACUGCCACCACCGUUGGAUUCAUCGAGGCCGGAACUAGCAGACCUAAGCUCCCCGUCAUCGUUGACUGAAGUCCGGUCACCGUUGACCGGCAGGGGCAAUUCGGUAAAUUCAUGAAACUUUGGGGUGAAUUUGUAAUUUUAUGUAAUCAGUGGACAUUUCGGUAAUUUUAUGCCCUGAGGGUAAUUUCGUAAUUUCGGACAAUGUGAUUAAUUUAUGUAAUCUGAAUUGAGGACAAUAUGGGUAUUAACGAAUAUGAGGAUAAUUUGGUAAAAUCAUGAAGUUUGAGGAUAAGUUGGUAAAAUAUUGAUGUUGGGGUAUUUUGGUAAUUUUGGCCUAUAGGGGCAUUUUGGUAAUUUUAUACAUGCGGGACUAGUUUAUCGUUAAUAGAUAUUUGUUUCGAGAUUUAUUAUAUUAAUUGGUUUUUACGGAGAAUAAUUAUGGUGUUUUCCGUGAUUAGGAGGAUCCGCAUCCGCGAACGAGAAUCUACCCGCGGACGUUGUUGAUACUGAGUCUAGACAUCAUCACUGUGAGUGGAAUAUACAAAACCUAUUUUCAUAGUAUAUGCUGAUUUUCUUAUAUAGUACAGUAUGUUUGAGAAAUAAAUGUUUAAUGCGUUGAUUUAAUGAUUUUCCAGCGAAUUGACUUUUAUUUAUGUGUUGAUAUUUAUUAUGAUUGAGAAUGAGUUCGAUUUAUGAUUUUAUUAGCGUUUUUGAGUAAAAGCAUGAUAUUAGAAUUGAGCAGACUUGAGAUAUGUUGAAUAGAAAGAAAAUGAGAUUUCAGAUGGGAUCAUAUGUUUACUAUCAGUUUUGAAAUCAUUAGACAGUACCCUUCCCUCCAGAUACAGAGAUACAGAUAAAAAGAGAUACAGAUAAGAGAUACAGAUAAGAUGAGAUAGAGGCCUUUGGGGCCCGUCGGGACACACAUAGAGGCUUUGGGCCGUGUGUUCGGGCGCUUUUGCCUUUUGGGGGCUUAUGCAUGCACAGUACAGAUAUAUGAGAUAAGAGAUAUGAGAUAUGAGAUGAGAUCGUCCCCAUCUAUCCGUUGUGGCUCCGGGGCGUGACGUUACCCAGAUAGUGCGUUAUUGCCUGGCCGUUGUAGCCCGGAUAUGAUCAGAUUAUCCCCUGGGUACUUGUUUGAUGACAGUUUUUAGUAUUCAGUAUUUAAUAUGAGUAUGGUGAUUCCAUCGAUUUUAUGCAGAUUUAUUAUUGCAGUUAUUCAAUUUGAAUUAAAUGAGUUUAUGAUAUUUUGAGAAAUUGAUUUGAGAAUUGAUUUACGAAAUUGAAAUUGAUUUAAGAAAAGAUUUGAGAAAGAUUAAAUGAUUUUGAAUAAUUUAUUAAAGUAUCAGCACCUACUAUCCACUCACUGAGCUCACUGAGUUUUAUACUCACCCCUCUUUUAUUAUAUUUUUCCCCCCACAGGAGAUUUACAGGUACAUCAGUCAACCCAGUAGUGAACGUUAGUUUGAUAUUGUGGUCACGUGAUGGUGCUAGAAGUCGUGGAUUUUAUUAUUAUAUUCGAAAUUUGUGUUAUUAUUUUAUGUUAUUAAGGAUAAUCGUUGUAUUUUAAUAUUCGGAUGAUUUUGGUGAUAUUUGAGAAGUUGGUUUGAGAAGUUGGUUAUGGAGGAUGUUUGGUUAUUAAAUUAUUUCGGGAGUGUUAUUUUGUCAAUUGCAGGGUUGGAUAUGUUUUAUUUAUAAGGGAGACUCUGCCGAAAUUUUUAUAGAUUUGUUAUUAAUUCGAUUUUACGAGUUUAGAUAGACUCGCCCUGGGGGAGGUUGCGGGGCGGGUCGUUUCAGUUGGUAUCAGAGCAUGGUUUUAGAUUCUGUAGACUUUAUGGUCGUAAAUAGAAUAAGUUUUGAUUAUUAAGUCGGAUUUACUAUUUUGUAGGCACCAUCAUAAUUAAAUUAGUUAGAAGUAAAAUUAUCUCUCUAGUAUUAUGCAAGGGUAGAAAUUUGGGUUGUACCAUGUUAUAAUUAUCAAGGAUAGUUUUGAUAGAAUUCUAAUUGUAAUAUAUGACUGUAUAAAAAAAAAAGAACAUUAAUGAAAGAUGUUUAGGUAAGGACUAUCUUGGAAUAGAAUUUUGAUUGUAAUAUAUCAAUAUAUAAAAAAAAAAUUUAUGAAAAAUGUUUAACAAGGACUGUUUUGAUAUUUUAAUGAGUAGUAAAAAUUAAUGUUAAAAUUUGAUAGAACAUAUAUAAAUAAUCCUAGCUCUAAUAAAAUUUUGCUACAUAAUUAGUUUAUCCCUUAAAGAAACAUAUCAAAAAAAUAUACAAAAACACAAUGCAUGAGUACAUGUCAAUCACAAAUGAAAGCAAUUAAGAUAAAGAAUAUGAUUUAUUUUAUUUUAUUUUAGUUAUUUUUUUGUUUCUUUUGAAACAAGACCAAUUAGAUCUGCAAGAAGUAAUUUUUUAAAAAAAUAAUAAAAAAAGGAGAAAUGAUGAAACCCACGUCCAAAGAUGCCGUUGUCGCGGAGGCCUAGAUCUCACUACACCCCAUCCCCUUCUACCAUAUUUUAUAAUUGAAGAGGCCAUUAUUGAAUUGAAAAAUUAUGAUUCAAAUAUCCAAAAGUAGAAAAAGAAAAGCAAUUGUUGGAAACACACUCGGAGUUUUAAAUUGACAUGAGAAAAGAAUAUAUUCAUCAACCUCAUACGUUAAUGAUGCGACGAGUUUAAGAAUAUAUUCCUAACGUGUGGGAAUUUAAAGACGUUACUACAAAACAUGUGUUCGUCGGUGGAGUAGAAUCAGGGAAAUUAAAGAUGCUACUACAACCACUAACGUGUGGGUGGAGAUAAGCAUAACUUUUUUCAUCAAAUGCCAAAUCCCCCCAGGUGGAGAGUGGGGACUCCUUCGCAUAAAUGUUGAUAAAAUUUUGACUAUGAUGUUAUUAGGAAUUAAGGGAAACUGUGGUGCAAUUGUGGUAUCGUGUCACAGUUGUAUUUGGUCGUUGGAUGUCAGUAGACCCUACCCAUAUAAGUGUAUCUAAUGGCUAAAUGUAAUUAUAACACGGUACCGCAAUUGCACCGUAGCCGAACCCUAAAAAUUAAGAUAUUCUCUCUCUACGUAUGCCUGCACGAAAUAAAUAAUAUGCAAAUAUAGUAUUUUAGUUUAUUAUUAAUAGUUUUACAAUAAUAAAAAUCAUUUUGAUAGACUGGAAAAUGUCAUAUUCGCAUUUUAUUUUGUACGGACGUCUGCGAGAAAGAACAUAUAUAUAUAUAUAUAUAUAGAGGAACGUGUAUUUAAGAUUUAGCUAGUGUGAAGUUGGGAAAUUUUUUUUUUGAACCCAGGCUAAAAUUAUUUCAAUAAAUUUUGAUCAUGGAGACUAAUAAGAUUUUUUUAGUUAUAUUUAUUAAUUUUUUAGGGACUAAUAAAUUUUGAUCAUGGAGACUAAUAAGAUUUUUUUAGUUAUAUUUAUUAAUUUUUUAGGGACUAACAUGAAUAUUAAUAAUUUUAUUGAGAUUAUUAAAAAAACAAUGUGCUAUUUUACAUCUAUGACUUUUCCAAUCUUUUUUUCUUUCGUUAUUUAUUCCUUUGUGAAUUUUAGUUAAUGCUUGAUAUUAUUUUUUUGCUCAUUUUUUAAAGCAGUAAUUAAAUCUGAACCCUUACAGUAGAAGAUUAUGAAAAAGUAAAGACACAAAAAUCAUAAAAAUCAUUAGUACGUCCAAAUUGUGCUAUUUUCAUACAUAACUUGAGAAUAUUUAUAAUUACGCAUCAGAACUAGUGGAGUAGAAUCAGGGAAAUUAAACAUUCUACAAUCAUUGACGUGUGGGGUGGGGAUAAGCAUAAACCUUUUCUAUGCAGUAUAAAAGAAUGCAAUAACUCCUUUUGUUUCAUAUCUUCGCAGCAAAAGCACAUCUAAUAACUCUUCAGAAUUCUCGUCUUCUUUGUCAGAAUGGUUGAUGCGAUCGUUUCCUCUCUCCUGGGGCAGCUGAGCUCUGUUGCGGCUGAUGAAGUGAAACAGCAGGUGAGGCUUGUGACUGGUGUCCGACAAGAAGUGACAAAGCUUACCAGCAAUCUUCGAGCCAUUCGAGCUGUGCUGGAAGAUGCAGAGAAAAGGCAAAUGCAGCGCGACAAUGCUGUUACUUUUUGGCUGGAUCAGCUCAAAGACGCAUCUUACGACAUGGAAGACGUGUUGGAGGAGUGGACCACUGCAAGGCUCAAAUUGCAGAUUGAAGGCGUUGAUGAUGACAAUGCUCUUGCUCUUGCUCCUCAUAAGAAGAAGGUACGCUCCUUCUUUUGUGCUGUAUCAAACUGGUUUGGUAGUUUCAAACAACUUAGUCUUCGUCAUGACAUUGCCGUCAAGAUUAGGGAAAUCAAUGGAAAGCUAGAUGGUGUUGCCUCCCAAAAAGAUACGUUUAAAUUUGUUGAGAAUGUGAGCAACAAUGUUAAGAAACCAGAGCGAGUGCGAACCACCUCCUUGAUUGAUGAGGGAGAGGUUUGCGGUAGAGUUGAUGAGAAAAAUGAGCUCUUAAACAAGUUGUGUGAAAGUAGUGAACAACAACAAGGCCUUCAUGUCAUCUCACUAGUUGGGUUAGGGGGUAUAGGUAAAACCACUCUUGCACAACUAGCCUAUACUAAUGAUGAUGUGAAAAGAAAUUUUGAAAAAGUUAUAUGGGUGUGUGUAUCAGACACUUUUGAGGAGAUUAGGGUCGCCAAAGCAAUCAUUGAAGGUCUAGGCAUGUCAGCUUCUGGUUUAAGCGAAUUCGAAUCUCUUGUGAAACAGAUUCAGGAAUAUAUUACGGGGAAGAAAUUUUUUCUUGUUUUAGAUGAUGUGUGGGAUGUAGAUUACAAAAAAUGGGACCCAUUCUUUUCUUGUCUAAAGAAUGGCCACCAUGAAAGUAAAAUUCUAAUUACCACACGUGAUAGGUCAGUUGCACUACAGUUGGGAUCAAUAGAUAUUAUCCCUGUCAAGGAGUUGGCUGAAGAGGAAUGCUGGUCGUUGCUCGAGCGGUUAGCAUUCUUCCGUCGUUCUGUUGAUGAUCAUGAAAAAUUAGAACCAAUCGGGCGAAAAAUUGCACACAAGUGCAAAGGCCUGCCUCUUGCUGCAAAGGUAAUAGGGAAUCUCUUGCGCUCUAAAAUUACAGUAAAAGAGUGGCAAAGAAUUUUAGAUAGUGAAAUGUGGAAAGUACAAGAGAUUGGGCAAGAUCUUUUGGCCCCUUUGUUGUUGAGUUAUAACGAUUUGCCCUCCAAUUCUAUGGUAAAACGGUGUUUCUCAUAUUGUGCUGUCUUUCCAAAAGACUACGAGAUGGAUAAAGAGGAGUUGAUUGAUCUGUGGAUGGCUCAAGGUUACCUUAAUGCAGAAGAAGACGAAGAGAUGGAGAUGAUUGGGGAAGAGUGUUUCAACAUUUUAGCAGCACGCUCUUUCUUUCAAGAGUUUGAGAAAAAUGAUGAUGAUGAUGAUAUUAGGAGUUGCAAGAUGCAUGACAUAGUACAUGAUUUUGCCCAAUUUGUAAGUAGAAAAGAAUGUUUGUGGGUAGAAAUGUAUGAUAACAAAGAAUCAGUCAUAAAGUCUUCUGGUGUCAAAGUCCGUCACUUAGGGUUAAAUUUUCAAAGAGGAGCUUCAUUUCCUACGUCCUUUUUUGAAUUUGAUAGAUUGCGUAGCCUCUUAAUUUAUGAUAGAAGUUAUUCCAAUCAGGUUCUUAAUAGUAAAUUGGCGUGUUUAAGGACAUUAGUUAUAAGGCAAUCGUUCCAAUAUUUUUAUCCUAUUUCUCUUGACUCAAAUGCGAUUAGAGAAAUUCCAGAAAAUGUUGGAAAAUUGAUACAUUUAAAAUAUCUUAAUUUGUCUAAAUUAGCCAUAGAGAUACUACCUGAGACUUUGUGUGAAUUAUAUAAUUUACAAAAGCUAGAUAUUAGGGAGUGCCGAUAUCUUAGGGAAUUGCCAGCGGGGAUUGGGAAGUUAAAGAACAUGAGAAGUUUACUGAAUGAUAAAACUUAUUCAUUGAAGUACAUGCCAAUAGGGAUUUCCAGAUUGACCAGCCUUCGAACAUUAGAAAAGUUUGUUGUGGGUGGAGGUGUUGAUGGUGGCAGCACGUGUAGGCUUGAAUCUCUGAAAAAUCUUCAACUCCUUCGUGAAUGUAGAGUAGAAAGGCUGAGUAAUGUAUCGCAUGUAGAUGAGGCUGAGAGGUUACAACUUUACAAUAAGAAAAACCUCCUUCGUUUGCGUCUUUGGUUUGGUGGAGUCGUAGAUGGGGAAGGCGAAGAAGGGAGGAGGAAGAAUAUUGAGAAAGAUAAACAACUUCUUGAAGCCUUACGACCGCCUUUGAAUUUAGAGGAAUUAGGGAUUGUAUCCUACCAAGGCAACAUUUUUCCCAAAUGGUUGACUUUGCUAACCAAUCUAAGGAAUUUAUUUCUUUCCUCGUGCGUUAACUGUGAGCAUUUGCCUCCUUUGGGAAAAUUGCCUCUGGAAAAACUCAAACUAUGGAAAUUAAAAAGUGUAAAAAGAGUGGGUAAUGAGUUUUUGGGAAUAGAAGAAAACAGUGAGG
rnacentral:lncRNA from 1 species